AACAUCGGAAACUGAUUGACAAUAACCACAAAAGAUCUUCCCAAGGCCUUACAUUAUAUGAAGAAGAAAGAGGUAAAUUUGGGCCACUAGAACCAGGCAUGUGGUUAUUUGACAUCGGAAGAUUUCGCUGAAAAUCAUGGGGAAUAGGUGGUCCCUGAGGCAUACUAUGCAUUCCUACUACAGGUCUACCAGUAACCUGUUGCAUAGCUUGAGGAAAUUGGAUUUGAGAAGGUUGAUACAUCACAACAUUUGCAUUUCCAAGUGGCAUAAAUUGUUGAGAUGGCCCGAAACCAUAAGGUUGUGCCUGCUGGGCUAGAAGCAUAGGCUGGAACUGCUAAAGAUGUGGGGAAAAUAGUUAUCAUAAUGUCUCUACAUUCAAAAGUCAUUUAUCCCUCCCCUAAGCAUCCAUAACUUUACCUGCAGUAACAUGGAUGGAAUAGCACCGGGAGCAGGACCAGCCAGAGGAGGUAUAGCAGGACCAAUAUCCAUGCAAGGAAGAACAGAUGAAAUCAGAAUAUAGCUACUUUUCAAUCAUAUUUAGUUAAUUUUCCAAUCAAUGUUGAAAGCUUGUAUCCAUGCGCAACUCCCUAAAUUGAUUUGAAAGACAAGGCAAGAAUUUUGAAGCCAAACCACAUAGUAACAUGAAACCCUUUUCUUCAUCUAAUAAAUAGAAAGCUUGAAACGAGAAUAAAGAGAGAUAGGAAAUAGAUGACCUAUCACAGCGUUAGACGAGAAUGGACAAAAUGAUAAGCAUCUUUACCUUAUGGCUUNNNNNNNNNNNNNNNNNNNNNNNNNNNNNNNNNNNNNNNNNNNNNNNNNNNNNNNNNNNNNNNNNNNNNNNNNNNNNNNNNNNNNNNNNNNNNNNNNNNNNNNNNNNNNNNNNNNNNNNNNNNNNNNNNNNNNNNNNNNNNNNNNNNNNNNNNNNNNNNNNNNNNNNNNNNNNNNNNNNNNNNNNNNNNNNNNNNNNNNNNNNNNNNNNNNNNNNNNNNNNNNNNNNNNNNNNNNNNNNNNNNNNNNNNNNNNNNNNNNNNNNNNNNNNNNNNNNNNNNNNNNNNNNNNNNNNNNNNNNNNNNNNNNNNNNNNNNNNNNNNNNNNNNNNNNNNNNNNNNNNNNNNNNNNNNNNNNNNNNNNNNNNNNNNNNNNNNNNNNNNNNNNNNNNNNNNNNNNNNNNNNNNNNNNNNNNNNNNNNNNNNNNNNNNNNNNNNNNNNNNNNNNNNNNNNNNNNNNNNNNNNNNNNNNNNNNNNNNNNNNNNNNNNNNNNNNNNNNNNNNNNNNNNNNNNNNNNNNNNNNNNNNNNNNNNNNNNNNNNNNNNNNNNNNNNNNNNNNNNNNNNNNNNNNNNNNNNNNNNNNNNNNNNNNNNNNNNNNNNNNNNNNNNNNNNNNNNNNNNNNNNNNNNNNNNNNNNNNNNNNNNNNNNNNNNNNNNNNNNNNNNNNNNNNNNNNNNNNNNNNNNNNNNNNNNNNNNNNNNNNNNNNNNNNNNNNNNNNNNNNNNNNNNNNNNNNNNNNNNNNNNNNNNNNNNNNNNNNNNNAUUAUAUAUGUAACAUCAUACUUCACUACGAAUCAAAUAAACUUAAGCUCUUGCAUAUAUCGUUCAAGCCUAUUAGAUUACUUCUAUAAAACUAGUAUCAUUAACCAAGAAAUCAUCACAUCCACCUUCAUGGAGAUCAAUUGUUCAAAACUUAAUGUUUAGUGGUAAACAUGAUUUUACAACCCAACCUUAUGCAUGAUUCUCACUUGGAUACCAUGAAAUAGACAUUAAGAAACACUAGUACACUAGAACUUCCAAACAACAAAUAAUUGAUCUUGACCUUACGGUCUUUCUUUUCAUACCUCAUUAGAACGUACUAUUUUAACACAUCAAGCCUACUAAUUCUUUCCCACAGAACAUACAUCAUUAAUCUCAUGCCACUAUUUUUACCACCACAUUCUACAUUAAAUUCAAGCACAUAGUCCUGUACCAAUCAUCUAUCACUACUGAAAAAUGCAACAAACUAUGCUAGUUCAUAAAAUUUGGGACAUACUAUACAAGCGCCUAAAAAAUCACUACAUACCUUCUCAUAAGUAGUACUAGUUUACAAUUAUUAACGAAAAGAAGGUCAGGGGUAAAGUUACAUAAUAGACAUGAUCAACCUUAAUCUUAUAUUAUAACCCCAUACAAUUUUUUUUACUUAUACGGAUUUCUCACCUCAUACUUACUUACCAAAACAUACAUUUAGACUACCUUCAAAUUCCACUAAUAACCAUGAGUCUAUACUUACAACUUACUGGCUAAUAUAGCCAUUUUCACACUUCAAGCAAUCGAGAAAUCACCCUAACUAACAACUCCUUCUCUACCUUCUACUAAACUAACACACAAGGAAAAAUCACCUCUUUACCAACUCAAUCUCAUGCAAACAGAUUGGUAGUCCUGUACCAAUCAUCUAUCACUACUGAAAAAUGCAACAAACUAUGCUAGUCCAUCGAUUAUUCAACCAAAAUAUUCAUUUACACAAAGUCACCCUUGCUCUGACUUCUAACUUUGUGACUUCACAUCACCAAAUUCUUGGUCUAAUUUCACUACCAAUAGGUCAUGACAACAACACUUUGACGCAUACUACAAUUCGGGUGGAAAUAUAGUUCCAACAUUCUACUACACAACAUCCCCCCCUUAAGCAAGACAUUUGUAACAUAAAUUUGAAGAGGACUACAUGCAAUUAAUACCUCAAGCUGAAAAGCAUGAUUCAAUCAGGAUCAAUGUUUACAUCGGAAUCAAUACACAUUGAAGCACUAACGGACUCUUCUCAAGUCCUUGCACAAAUUUUAACUCUUAUAUGGUUCAAUCAGAAAGGACCAUACCAUUUAGAUUCUAAAUUUCUGCACUUGAAUCACCUCAAUAAUGAGACAUAUCUGGGACAUUAGAGUAAGGAAAGAAUUGGGGAUGACUUUUUUUUACUUUUGUAUGGGCGACACCAUAGCACAAAUUAGAGUAUGAAAGAGGAACAUUCUGACUCUAUUGCAUGAACUAGAACAUGAAGAAAGAGAGACAUUCCUAAAUGCCUAGUAGCCUCCUGCUUAUAAGUAUGGCGCGCUACACACCCAUAAACAAGACUCUACUCGACGCGAUUUCACAGACACCCUGAGACUAUGAACUGUGCUUUGAUACCAAGUUUGUCACGACCCAAACCGGGGCCCUGGCCGUGACGAGCAUUCUAACCAUGAAGGCUCAAAACACCCCUAUCUAUUUGGUAAUCAUGUACAUAAUUCAUAUGAUAAUAAGAUAUGCGUAAGAUACACAAUAAUGUGAAAAAUAUGGUCAUAAAUCAAAUGAAAUCAACAAAGGGGAAUUAAUGUCCCAUAAUGUAUAUCGACAUCUGAACAACCGUCUGCGAAAUCUCUAAUACAUGACUGAAACAAAUUACUGUCUGAAAACUGGGACAAGGUCCCCAGUAGACCUAAAACUACUAAAUGAUAAAUGAACUGACAGACAUCAGGCCUUCCAAAAUAUAGAAGGCUCACCACUUGAUUCUGUAAAUCUGUCGGAAGAGAUCUACUAGUUAUCUGGACCCCUAUACUAUGCCUCUAAACCCGGGAGGGAAGAGGGUCAAUACAAAAGUACUAGUAUGCAGAGAAACCAAAAACAAAAUGUAAUAUUUUUUUCCAAAUAUAGGUGAGAGCCAUUAUAAAGCAGUUCCAUAUCAAAUCAUUUAAAAACACAUGGGCAUAAUGUAAUAGUUUUCAACAACAAUGUAAUGCAGCUGAGCUAGGUGGAAUACCCUACAUAUAACAUUUACACCAACUGUCAAAUCUCGAUCCUAACCAUAGUCCCAAAUUGGGAAUGACAUAAAGUCAAGUACAUAAGAUCACUUAUCCUGGUACCAAAUCCCCAUGUCGGCAAACACGGUUUCCAGCGAGGAGCCCUUACACUCAAACGCCUUCUUCGGGCAUUCACCUAUCUCAUGUAAAAUCAAUGCAUCAAACUCUAUUUAAUUCAAUCACAUAUCUUAUUAUUUAGGGUAUCGUCAUAUCCGACUUGCAAGCCAUCAAUAUCACAUCAUUCUUUCAUGCAACCAUUAUAUUCAUCAUAUUUCAACAUAACAACCCUCUCAUUGCAAGUCGAAACCAUGACCAUUUUCAAAAUAUUUCAUGUCACGCUUGUCAAGAUGAUUUCAAACAUUUCACAUCAUAUGAGAAUUUAAAACGAGAUCAUAUAAAAAGAGGGAUUUCAUAUAAUUCAUCCUCUCAAGUUAACAUCUUUUCGGAAUACAUGCAUAUACAUAUAUCAAACCACUUUGAGAAUAGGCCUAAAGACCAAAUGAAUAUCAUAAAACGUUUAAAACUGGAUUAUAUUCAUAAUUUCAAAACUCCCAUUUUUAAAACAUGAAUUUUUAAGCCCAUGAGAUUUUUGAGAUAACCCCACGUACCUCUAUAUGCGAAGAUAAUAUCUGCUUCUUGAAGCCUACGUUUUGGGAAUUCCAAAUAUGCAAUUAGUUUCAAAAACUCACGGUUGAAUCUUGAGUUGCUUGGUUUUUUAUUUUAGAAUCCUAAGGAGAGUUCUUGAGCAAUUUUGAUGAAUGAAGGUGUAUUUUGGGGUAUUUUGGGAACUGAAUUUUGUUUUUAUGGCUAAAUAAGGGUGGGAAAAGGACCAUUUUGCCCCAAAAAUGGAGUGUUUAAGUCACUUGAGUAAUAAUAUAUGCGGUGCAAACAUUAUCGCAUAAUAUAGGUUGUGCGGCGCACUCUUUAUUGCACACAUUAGGUUGUGUGUCGCACACCUUAUGGCAUAAGUUAGGGUGUGCAUCGCACACCUUAUGCCAUAGGUUAGGGUGUGCGUCACACACCUUAUGUUGCACGACACACUCAACUUUGCAAAGACAUAACUUCUUCCUUGGGUGUCAGAAUUUUGCAAAGUUGGUAUCGUUGGAAAGAUAAUUCGAAUACGUUUCAUUUGAUAUAUAAAGGACACUCUAAUUCAAUAUAUACAAAGAGUAAUGGUCAAUUGAAAUUGAUCUAAGUUUCAACGCUCACUAAAAUUCAAACAAUAGGAAAACUUUCAACUUGUCCUUGAGCUUGGGGACCUCUAUGAUCUCAAUUCAUGCUCAAAUAGGUUUCCACACUACAUAAUUUAUUAACACACUAAAAUUGCAUUGGAUUUAUGGCUUUUGGAACCUUUACGUAAAGAAAAUGACGAUUUUCAUUCUCGUCCAAAAUGCGGGGUGUUACAAAAUUUGUUAGAAAAUGGAAAAUACAACCAUAUGGAGUACAUUUUAGCUGCACCGUACUCUAAAUACACUAAACUGAACUUUAAAAGUACUAAUGCAUUUCUUACCUGUUGGUGUGUAGCAUUCAAAAGUUUUAUUGUCUUUGGUAGGAAGAUAGCCACAACGCCGGUUUCAAGAAUGAAGAUUAAACUAAAAAGAAGCCAUGCUUGCUCUAGAGUUCCUGCUAUAUGAUACGACAUUACUCUACAACGUUGAACCCACUUUCCUAAUCCUUGGAGUCUAAGUUCUUCCGAGAAUGAAAUAUGAUUAGGUAACACAUCCUCAACAUCAUUUGAAUCAGUGACAGGAGGGUUACUGUCGUGAUGUUCUCGAUCAGCGUCCAAACUAUUUCUCUACAACAAGGCUAGAAUCAUUGGGUCCAAUCCAUUCUCCUUCAGCACCACUGCAAAAUUAGGAUCAAGCCCUUCAUCUUGCAAUAAAUUAGCUAAUUCAAGAUCAGUGUGUCUUCCUUUCCGCUUUAACAUAGAUGUAAUCCUGGGAUCACUCAACUUUUUUUGAAAUGCAAGUGCCAAAUUCAAGUCCAGUAUCUGUUGGUUUGAAGAAGUGGAUGUACUAGAAUCACCGCCUUGGCUUUCAAGGCCACUGCUAGAACAAACAACCAAUGAACUAUUAUGCUUUAAAUUUCUGUCAACAUAUGAUGAUCCUACUUAGGCUCUUGAACAACUGAACGACAGAACUACUACGUAGAGCUAGACUUGGUCUUCCACUAUCUCUACUCUUAUCACUAUUAAUCCCCUCAAUGUUAUUCAAGGGACUGCCAUCACCAGUGCAAGGCACAGUUGCAUUACCAAGAUGACCAGCAUCAGCACUACUACUGCGUUUGACACUUGAGCCACACCCCUCAAAAGAGCUUGCGGACCUAUUUUGGUCUUUUCUGUGGAAACUUCUCUAAGGCAGAUAAUUGUGCUCUUCAAGGCAUCUCAUCUAGCUGCUAAUGGGUCUGUAACUAAUAAAUGCCGUGAAACAGUAACACCCAACAGAACAGAUGCUACAACUGCAUAACUAAUAUAAUGUCCAGAGUACCUGAAACAAAAUUGUUGCAGUAAAAGAUUAGAAGAUAUUUUUUUGAUAACAAAAGAUUAGAAGUUUCUAUUCACCAAAUAAUAUUAAAAGGGAUACAUAUGACACAAGUAUAAGAAGACUUGAUUAUGGAAGAAAAUGAAUUAGCAUGGGUUAACAAUAAACCAGUAAUGAACUCCAACACAAGUAUAAGAAGACUUGAUUAUGGAAGAAAAUGAAUUAGCAUGGUUUAACAACAAACCAGUAAUGAACUCCAAAACAGAUCAGGAACACCCGAGAUGUACCGGCAACAAAAACUACAACAACUCAACUUUUCAGAAGCUAAAAACCAUACAAGCAAGAUCCCAAGUUCCAAUUUGAUUGGAUGAAAAGGUAGUGAAUUCAUUACUUACCACAAAGAAAUAAGAAAUUAUUUCACAAUACGAGUUAGAAAAGGAGACAGAUAUAUGUAGGAAAUGAACUACCAAGGAUUAUCAUGGCAGCUGAUGUUGUUGCCCCAAGCUAGUUUGAUUCCUUUGCUGUCAGACCAUACAGGAUAGAAUACACAAGAAGUACUACAAGUGAACCAACAUAUAGAAUUCCAAGAUGCAGAGCCCUGCAGAGCCCAAGUUCAAAGUGAAGAAGAGUAAAUUAUAGAGUUCAGAGAAAAUGUUGAAAAGAUAGUGCAGAAAAUAUGAUGAGCAGUAUAAAUGAGAACCCACUGAACACAUAAUAUAACAAGGUGACUUUCUAAUCUAAAGCAGCAUUUAAAUUAAUUUGCUUAGAAGUGAGAUUUUAAGAUCUACUAUUUUUACUGGACUACUGGAGAGUGUGUUUUGUUCUCUCAGAGUUAGUAUUCCUUUUAUUCAAAUUGAUUUGAGUUACACCCAUUGUUUAGCGUUCUUUGGCUCUUAAUUUUAAAAGUCUGUUAGUUGAGAACAUUUUGGCCUAUCUUCCAUAUCUUAUAACAAAAAUUAUGUUCCAUCCAAAAAAAGAGUUGUCAUAUUCGUCAUCCAUGUCCUUUAUAUAGAACUCUUCCUAUCUUUGUUCAAAUCCCUAGCCAACAAGAAUGAUGUCCCUCUUCAAAAAGUAUUAUGUCUUACUCUGUCUUUCUAUUGCCUAUAAACAGUCUAGCACAUCAAUGAUGUCUUCUGUUAGAGCUAAUCAUCGUGUUUACACCAAAAAUAAAGAAGUGCUAAACUAUUCUUGUUGAUCUUCUGGACAUCCUCAAAACAACCCUUGUUUCUUUCUGUCCAAACUGUCCACCAUACAUAUGUUAAACAAUUUUCCAUCUCUCCUCCUUUAUUACAUUUACAUCCCCAUUCCAGCUGCUUAGUACUUUUUUAAUGCUCCCAGGUUCUACCCACCUGAUCCUCUUCAGGUUGAAAACAUUCUUUACAGCUGCUCUGUCUAUUUCCAAUGUAAGAAAAGAUGGUUGAUUGUGUAAAGAAAGGAUCUUGGGCCUAACUCAACCCCAAAAGCUAGCACAUGAGGGGUGGAUUGCUCAAGUCCAUAUAAGAAGACCGACAGUUCACUCCCAAUAAUGUGGGACUUUCACCCACUCUAACACCUUCACGCCCAGGCCUAACAAGAGCAUGGUCUGGGAACUCAAAUGUGGAUGGACCUGCUAUUUGAGAAGGAAUAUCAACUGUUGUUUGUAUGCAAGAGAGAACAGAUGAGCUGUUGUUAUUGAAUGCAUUGGGUCUAUCAGCACGUACAGGUUCAUGCAUUAUGCCAUUAGGUUUUGCAGCAGUUCCAACAUUUUCAGCAGCACUACAAGUCAAAUUUUGAUGCACUGCAGUAAGGAAAGAAAACUUAAACAUUAACUUGAGACAACAACACAAGCUUCUCAAAUGUAGGUUCUAGCAAGAACAAAGAUAACAAGCAAAUAGAAGGCAAUGAAUAUAAGGAUAAGUCUAGACGGGCUUAGGGACAGGCUCCAAAAUGAACACAAUGCUCAUCAUUCUUGUGCAGAUAAGAUCAGACAACUUAUUGUUUUGAUGUUAAGAGUUUCUUGUAGAGGGUGCUGAAUCCAUUUUGCAACUUUGGAGGCCUUGUAAAGCAUAGAGAGGCUCAUUUUUUUUAAAGAAAAUAUUACCCACAUAGUAUAUAUGCUAUCAUUUUCAAAAAAAUAUGGUGCUUGCUGGUUUUACCAAUAUCAUGUAUGGUUGUACCUUCCAAUGCAACCUCCUGGCAAAAAAUCUAACCACUAAUAGGCAUCUUUCAGCAUAGAAGAUACUAAGAUUGUCUUACUAGGAAUUAGGUAAGUACAAGUUCUUGAAGGGAAAUUGUUUGCAUCAUUGAAGAUCAGAAAGCCAGGUAUACAGGAGAUUAGACAUGUUAAAGAAAAAAUGACAGGUUUAAUAUCUGGAAAGACAUCAAAAACUCUCCUUGAUAUAUAAAUGAUGGAUCCCAAAUAACUUCAGAAGUUACACACAAAAGUAAAAUGGUACAGAAACCAAUUCCACCUUUAUAAUAACUAUGUCUGCUUGAUGUAAGCAUAAACAUUAUCAGGAAAGUCAUCAAAGACUCUCAUUGACAUAUAAAUAAUGGAUCCCAAAUAACUUCAGAAGUUACACGCAAAAGAAAAAUGGUACAAAAACCAAUUCCACCUUCAUAAUAAUUGUGCCUGCUUGAUGUAAGCAUAAACAUAAAGAACAUACUGACAUACUAAAAGAUUAUCAAAAUGUUCUACAAUGUAGUGCAUAGUUUUUUUCGUUUUUUGAAAUUGAACGCAGUAUAUAGUUUAAAAAUGUACAAACAACAUUUAAUGUGGCAGGUGAAACAUCAAGUACUAGAAGGAAAAUUUAAAACAUGGUAGAGGCAAAUGAAAGAGGGUAUCGAAAGAAUGAUCAGAGGGCAGGGUGGAACUCCCUCAUAGCAAGUCAAAUGAAGUUUAAAACUAUAUAAAGAAGAUGAAACUAGAGGCUUCUGUAUGUGUCUCACAUACUUGGUAUAAACCAUGUGUGAAUAAGCACAACAGAAUCAAAUGUACUGAGACAAAACAGGAAUUUGAUUGUAGAUCAAAUAGAAGAGUCUGCUAACCGACUAGAUUUAAAAGCAGCUCUGGUCCAUGCACCAUUUUGAGGUAAAGUUAUAUGGUUAAAAAUUUGGACGUUACUUAAUAUAUGCACAAACUGAACAUGAAGUGCCCAGUUAGACAAGUACUUUUUUGUAGCUACCCAGUGACAACCAACUCAGCAAGGUUAAUGACCUUUCCCUUGCAUGGAAUGAAAGUGUGGAUGACCCGACAUCAAAUAUACGAUUGUUAUUAUACACACAAUCUCCAUACAACAGCAACAACAUACCCGAUGUAUAUUCGGGCAGAAUAUAUGCAAACCAUACCUCUAUCUCAGAGACGAAAAGAAAAUGGUAGAACCAAUCCUCAAUAAAUAAUUCAUAAGACAAAAAACAGCCAACACUUACAAAACCAAAUGAAGAAAAAAAGUUCAUUGUCUUGAUCACCGGCAAGUAAAAGAAAUGUUUACAAUUGGAGAUUCAAAAAGGUUACAAAAGAAAGAAGCAAACUAUCUAUUUAACAAGUAUCAAAGCGGGGAAAGAAUAAGAGUAAAACCAGUAAGUAUACUAGAAGUAUGAACACUAUAGUCAAUGAACAAAAUAUGAAUUGUAGUUUGGCCAUUUAGCAUCCAUCACUCCAACAGAGAAUCAGGACUUGCAAGAAGGUUGAAAGGUUUGCCUAUCGAGUCUUUCAAGAUUGUGAUUUGACCUGUUUCAUAAGAAAGUCUUCAUCGAGAGUAUCUACCUUCCUUUUCAACAUGUUAAUCUCAUAAUUCAACAGCAUGUUCAUCUCACUAUAGCUCUUAACUUCCUCCCACAUGAAAUCCCUCUCUUGAAACACUUUUGGUAGUAUUGCCUUCACAAUGCCAAGUUCCUUCAUGCAUUCUUCCAAAUCAUUAGUGAGCUGGUUGAUAUUUCCGUCCUUUUUUAGCACCUACUAGAAUCAACCGUAAACCAUGAAAAACAAGAAAGACACAAAGAUCACCAAUAAUAUUUCAUCAGAAAUUUAAAAUAAACUCAUAGCCUAAAAGUUCAACCAAAUCAUGAAUCCUUUUUAACUGUUAAAAUUCACAAUAGAUAACUCGUGACCUUGUCCAAGAAUUAAGUCAGAUGAACGAGCAAACUUACCGAAACCCCUUCGGGUAACUUUACCAUAUCAAAGCACAAUCAGAUCAAUGGGUUUGAGGAUAUCACAAAGUUUAUCAUGUUCUUGGUUGGUUCAAGUGAUUACACAUUAAGGCGAUCAGACAUUUCACAAAAGGCUACCACAUGCCAGCAACUCAUAUAUACAAGUUCAUAAAGAAAACCAUGAACUUCAGAUGGAACAAAGAUGAACCUAAAAUCAAUUAGAAGUAGAAAGCUAAUGCAGAGAGAGUAACAUGCGAACAGGCUAUCAUAUAUAAAGACGAGGUAUCCAAAGUUGAAAAAUAAAAACUAUUCAGUUGCAACGAGAUCUUAACAUUGCCUACUUACCUAAAGCUCGAGAUAUUUCAACUUGGGUGUGGCAUAAAAAAGAGAGUCCAAUUAAUUUUGUACUUCACAUUUGAGAAUGUUGUUACCUCUAACUGUUGUGGUUAGAUCAGGCUGAAGUUGCUUUAUGUCCAUCUCCUCGGAAUAGAGCUUCUCCCUUAACACAGUUUUCAGCAAAGUCUUUGAUUUAAGCUCUUUAACCUUUUCGUGGUAGUUUUCCCGGACAUAAUCUCUAUUGUCUUGAGCUACUCGAUAUUCCGCUUGUAACUGAGUGAGCUUCUGCCUUAGAUUUUGAUUCUCCUCUGACACUUGCUCUAUUCUCUUAAAUAAAUCUUCAAGGUGUUUCUCCGAAAAUGACAUCUUGAUUCUAUUAUCUACUUUCUUCUCAUUAAAUGAAGAGACUUCCCUUUGUAGAGAGACAUUCUGCUCUACAAGCUCCCUCACCCUUUCACGGAGUCUAUGCUGUUCAAUUUGGUAUUUCUCAAGUUUUAGAGACCAAUCGCUGGAUCUUCUAUCCAACUCCUUUUCCAGUACUAAUUGUAACUCAUUCUUUUCUGUCUCCAAUCUUCGUGUCCGUGAAUCUAGUUCUGCCUGUAAUAUGCUGGCUUCUUCCUUAACAGAAGCCGUUUUAGCAACUUGAUUCUAUAGCACGCUUGAAACUUCAGAAGCCAUUUGUACCUUCUCCUUUAUCAAUCUUCUAAUAGUCCAAAUCAAUACUGGAGCGCUAAGGUCUCUGCCGUGAAGAAACAUUUGUCAUUACUUUGGACAAGCAAACGCAAAUUAAAACAUCAGUUUAAGUGUGAAAAAGGAAGCUACAGCAAAAUAAUAUGCAUACCGGCUUGAAUCACGACCAGAUUUCUUAGGAUGAACUUUCUUACUGUGACCAUGGGGAGAUUUGCUCAGAUCCGUGAAAUUCUUUUUGCCUGACCCACUGUCAUAGAAGGAUCCAGAUGACACUGAAACACUCCUCUAAGAAGAAACUUCCUUAGACUUUAAUGGUGGUGGAGAGGUCUUGUUUGCAUCAUUAGUUGAUGAUCGAGAAAAGAAGAAGUUGUUCUUCAUCAUCUCUAUGUAUGGAGACUGUACAUGAAUCAAACUAGUGUCCAUGAGAUUUCAAAGGACAAAGCAAAACACUCAUAAACAACCACUCACAAAUCAUUAUCCAUUCAUGAAAAUACUGCAAGCUAACUAAAUACCUAUGAGACAAAGAAAAACAUCUCUCUUUCUACAUGCUUCUUCUUCAACAACAACAUAUGUAACCCCUACCUUGGCAAGUAGAAAAUUUGUUUCCCAUAAAUCCUCGGCAAGGAAAGAAAACACACGAGGAUAUUAACAACAGUAGCAAGUAAGAAAACAAAGGUAUACGAUACAACAAGUAGAAAAGAAAAAUAUAUACUAAUACUACUGCCAGAAGAGACAUAACACGAAACUAUUUACUACUAGUCUUCUACUAAAAAUUAAUAAAAUACCCCACAAACAAAUAGCAUGAGAACAAUUCAAAGAACUUAUCAAAUCCUUCUGAUAAAACAAAUAAUCAUUCUAAAUAAUAAAAAAAAAGAAGAGAAAUUACUGAAUCAAAGAGUUGAAAGAGUAAGAGCCGGCAAAAGGUUGUCAGAAUCUGUAGGAUUCUUGUCAUUUUUUCUUUAAAUGUAAAAAUAGCAAAAGACUAGAAUGGAGAAAACUUUUUUUUUCCUGUGUCUUUCAUUCAUCAUCGUACAAUGCAUAUAUACAACUAACAAGGAUCUGUAAAUUGCAAGUAAAUAUUUACAAGGAUCUGUAUAUGGCAAGUGAAUAUUUACAAGGAUCCAGAAAUAUAGCAAGUGAAUAUUUACAUACUCAUAAUGAAAAACUUGAGAAAUACCCAUGAGAGAGAGAGAAGAAAAGUGUAACAAAUAUUUUGUGUUAUUCAAUGGCUAUAAAUAGCCAUAUGAGGUCAAAUUUUCCAUAUAAUUGAAAUAAAAUAUAAACUAUAAAUUAACUUUUUAAAAUUAGCACACAAAUUAACCUAAAUUAUGAAAUUUAAGAUAUUUAUUUUUUCAAAAUUUAACUUUUCCAUAUAAACAUCACUGAAUUGAUAUAAACAAUAUUUUGAAAUGUGAUAAAUUAAUUAAAUAACCCAAAAAUAUUGUAAUAUUGUAUUUAUUUUAUCUCUAGAUCUUUUUUUAAAACAUAAGAAAUACUAAAAUCAUACAAUAAUCUCCUUUCUUUUUAUAGUCUAAACUUACCAUUUAAAAAUUGUUUCAUUUGAAUUAAUAAGAUCAUAGUAGAUUGUACAAAAUCAGUUAAUAUAUGAAAUAUAUUUCCAUUAAAGAAAUAAAGUAUGAUAUAAUUGUAAUAAGACUACACAAUCAAAUAAUUAAUUUCACUUAAUUAGAUUAAAUUUUAUGAUCAUAAUAUAUAGACUAAAGUUCCUUAAAUUUAAUGCUGUAAAUUUAAAAAUAUAUUUUUGGCUAAAGUAGUAGUCAACGUUUGUUGUUUUUUUUAAUCAAUAUGUGUAUAUCAAUUACGGAACUUUGCAUAUAUUCUUUAUUACAAUAAUGGUCAAUAUUAACUGAUUUUUACCACAAUUUAAUCUAAUUAGUUUGAUAACAAUACAAUUAUUAUUAAUAUUAUAUAUUUGUUAACCAUAAAUUUGUCCUAAUUUUAUAGCUUGUUUAUAUUUAAUUAAUCUACAAUUACAUAAAGGAUUCAAAUAUGGAAACAAUUGAUAUUAAUUACCUUUAUAAUUUCAAAAAUUUAAUCCCAUGAAUUUCUCAUAUUCUUAUAGUUUGAUUAUAUCAAAUUGAUAUUAAUUACCUUUAUAAUUUUGGGAAUAAUUUUUAACAGGUAACGAUUAUUUUUUUCCUAAUUGCUGAUUUAUUUCUCAAAAAUUUCUUAUAAAUUUAUAAUUUGAUUAUAGUUAAUUGAUUAUUUAAUUAUCUUUAUAAUUUGCUAAAAACCCAAAUAAGGUAACAAUUAUUUUUUUCUCAAUUACAGAUUUUCUUAUAUUCAAUCUUUUANNNNNNNNNNNNNNNNNNNNNNNNNNNNNNNNNNNNNNNNNNNNNNNNNNNNNNNNNNNNNNNNNNNNNNNNNNNNNNNNNNNNNNNNNNNNNNNNNNNNNNNNNNNNNNNNNNNNNNNNNNNNNNNNNNNNNNNNNNNNNNNNNNNNNNNNNNNNNNNNNNNNNNNNNNNNNNNNNNNNNNNNNNNNNNNNNNNNNNNNNNNNNNNNNNNNNNNNNNNNNNNNNNNNNNNNNNNNNNNNNNNNNNNNNNNNNNNNNNNNNNNNNNNNNNNNNNNNNNNNNNNNNNNNNNNNNNNNNNNNNUCGUUGUUUUUGUAACCAAUAUAUGUAUAUCAAUUACGAAACUUUGCAUAUAUUUUUUAUUAAAAUAAUUGUCAAUAUUAACUGAUUUCUAACUCAAUUUAAUAUAAUUAAUUUUAUAACAAUAAAAUUAUUAUUAAUAUUAUAUAUUUAUUUACCAUAAAUCUGUCCUAAUUUUAUAGCUUGAUUGUAGUUAAUUAAUCUACAAUUACAUAAAGGGCUCAAAUAUGAAAACAACUGAUAUUAAUUACCUUUAUAAUAUUGGUAAUUCAAUCACAUGAAUUUCUCAUGUUUUUUAUAGAUUAAUUAUAUUAAAUUGAUAUAAAUUACCUUUUUAAUUUUAGGAAGAAUUUUAAAAAGGUAACGAUUAUUUUUUUCCUAAUUACUGAUUUAUUUCUCAAAAAAUUCGUAUAAAUUCAUAAUUUGAUUAUAGUCAAUUGAUUAUUUAAUUAUCUUUAUAAUUUGCUAAAAGCUCAAAUAAGGUAACAAUUAUUUUUUCUAAAUUACGGAUUUUUUUAUAUUCAAUUUUUUUUUUUUUUUUACUAAAAUAGUUCAAAUUUAAUUGUUUUGAGGGAUGAUAACUUUUUGUGUCUAAAUCUUUUUUAAUAUAUAAGAAAUGCUAAAGGCAUACAAUAAUCUCCUUUUUUUUUUAUGAUCCAAAAUUACCAUUUACAAAUUAUUUCAUUUGAAUUAAUAAGAUCAUAGUAGCUUACACAAAAUCAAUUCAUUAAUUAUAUGUAUUUUUAUAUAAAAAAUGAUGUACGACAUAAUUGUAAUAAAAUCACACAACCAACUAAUUAAUUUCAAUUAAUUAAAAUCAAUUUUAUGAUCAUAAUAUAUAGACUCAAGUUCCUUAAAAUUUAAUGUUAUAAAUUUUAAAAUAUAUUUAUGGCUAAAGUAGCAGUCAGUGUUCGUUGUUUUUUUUUUUUACCAAUAUAUGUAUAUCAAUUACGAAACUUUGCAUAUAUUUUUUAUUAAAAUAAUUGUCAUUAUAUUAACUGAUUUCUAUCACAAUUCGAUAUAAUUAAUUUUAUAACAAUAAAUUUAUUAUAAUAUUAUUAUAUAUUUAUUUGCCAUAAAUCUAUCAUAAUUUUAUAGCUUGAUUAUAUCUAAUUAAUCCACAAUUACAUAAAUGACUCAAAUAUGGAAACAAUUGAUAUUAAUUACUUUUAUAAUUUCAAAAAUUUAAUCCCAUGAAUUUCACAUAUUCUUAUAGUUUGGUUAUAUCAAAUUUAUAUUANNNNNNNNNNNNNNNNNNNNNNNNNNNNNNNNNNNNNNNNNNNNNNNNNNNNNNNNNNNNNNNNNNNNNNNNNNUUUUUUAAUACAUAAGAAAUGCUAAAGUCAUACAAUAAUCACCUUUAUUUUUAUAAUCCAAACCUAUCAUUUAAAAAUCAUUUCAUUUGAAUUAAUAAAAUCAUAGUAGAUUGCACAAAAAAAAUCAAUUAAUUAUAUGUAUUUUUAUUAAAUAAACGAUGUACAAAAUUGUUGUAAUAAAACUAUACAAUCAACUAAUUAAUUUCAAUUAAUUAGAAUCAAUUUUAUGAUCAUAAUAUAUAGACUCAAGUUCCUUAAAUUUAAUGUUGUAUGUAAAUUUUAAAAUAUAUUUAUAGCUAAAGUAGUAGUCAACGUUCGUUGUUUUUUUACUAAUAUAUGCAUAUCAAUUACGAAUCUUUCCGUAUAUUUUUUUUAUUAAAGUAAUUGUAAAUAUUAACUAAUUUCUAUUUCAAUUUAAUCUAAUUAAUUUGAUAGCAAUAAAAUUAUUAGUAAUAUUAUAUAUUUAUUUACCAUAAAUCUGUCCGAAUUUUGUAGCUUGAUUAUAUUUAAUUACUCUACAAUUGUAUAAAGGGCUCAAAUAUGAAAAUAAUUGAUAUUAAUUACCUUUAUAAUUUCGGAAAGUCAAUCCCAUGAAUUUCUCAUGUUUUUAUAGACUGAUUACAUUAAAUUGAUAUCAAUUACCUUUUAAAUUUUGAAAAGAAUUUUAAAAGGUAACAAUUAUUUAUUUUCCUAAUUACUAAUUUAUUUUUCAAAUAUUUCUUAUAAAUUUAUAAUUUAAUUAUACUCAAUUGAUUAUUAUUAUCUUUAUAAUUUGCUAAAAACUCACAUAAGGUAACAAAAAUAGGUAAAACUUAUUUGUUUACAAAAAUAGGUAAAACUUAAUUAUUUUGAGGGAUGAAACCUUUUUUUAAUAUUUUUUUAUUCAGAAUGAUUACAAUAUUUUCUAUAUAAAUUGAUCAAUUACUAUUUAUUAAUUGGUUAUUCUCUUAAAUAAUUUUUUUUUGUAAUAUUUCUUUUAGUCAAUUGUAAUGAAAUCAUUCAUAUUUAUUUUCUUACAAUACUAUUAUAAAAAACAUAUGAAAUGUAAUUUAUUAAAUAUGAAAUAUGAAAUAAUAUUAAAUAGUUAAAUAAUCAACAAAAUAGCUUUUUGUAAUGAAAUGAUGGUUUAUUGUUGUAAAAAUUCAAAUAGGUAGUUCUCAAUAUGACACUUGUCUUAGUUUUAGGCUAGACUAUCCUCCUUUAUUAUAUAGAUAGAUAAUUUCAACAAAAUUAAUUAGAGUAUUUUCUUAUAAAAUUUUAUAAAAAUAAUAUAAAAUAUGGUAUAUUAAUAAUAUUUACAUUAAUUAUGCUUCUAUUUUCUUACACAGUAUUUGAUUCUACGUAUUAAAAAUAACAUUGAAUCAAUGGUGAAAGUGGAGGGACUUCUUUCUUUAUUGGGGUUUUUCUUUUUGGGAAAGCUGACACUUUCUUGACUACCAUCCACCCAACACAAAGCUGACACUUCUUGGUAGAUUGGCUAUUUUUUCACACGGUACUAAUUUAUAUACAUUUUCUUUGAUAUUUGUUAUAUUGUUAUUUUUAUUUUGCGUAUCUUAUUAGUUUAUAUGCAUUUAUAUUUUAUGUUUGGUAUAUUAUUAAGAUCCUAAGCUGGGAGUCUAUCGAUAACAUCCUCUCUACUUCACCUGAGUAGUGAUAUGAUCUGCAUGUACUAACUUCCCCAGACCCCAAUAUGUGGAAAUACACUGGAUGUUGUUGUUGUUGUUUCUUAUACAGUAUUUGAUUCAAUGUAUUAAAAAUAACACAAAUUACAUAAUUUUUUUUUUUAACAUAAUACCCCCACUUUAAGUAUGUUAAUGCAUGCAUUAGAUCCAUUGCGUUACUAAUGUCAUAAAUUUUGAGGUAUUCGUAAUACACACCUCAAUAUACAAUAGAGUAUAUAACUAAUUUUUGCAUUAGUUAUACAUAAGAUAAAAAGAUAUAUAUCAAACAAGGGACUUCUAAUACACAGUAAAUUAAUGGAUGCAUUACUCUUUCAGUCAUUACUCUUUGUAUAUAUUGAAUUAGAGUUCCUACUAUAUAUCAAAUAAAAGGUCUUCGGAUUAUCUUUCUAACGAUACUAAUUUUGCAAAAAUCCGACACCUGAGGAAGAAGUUAUGGCUUUGCAAAGUGGAGUGUGUUGUGCAGCAUAAGGUGUGCACCGCAUACAUUACUACUCAAGUGACUUAAACACUCCGUUUUCGAGGCAAAAUGGUCCUUUUGCCUCCCUUAUUUAGCCACAAAUAGGAAAUUCAGUUCCCAAAUACCCCAAAAUACACCUUCAUUCAUCAAAAUUACUCAAGAACUCUCCUUAGCAUUUAAAAAUCAAAACCCAAGCAACUCAAAAUUCAACCAUGGGUUAUCCUAAAAUCUCAUGGGCCUUUAAAUUCAUGUUUUACAAUGGGGGUUUUGAAACUACGAAUAUAAUCAUAUUUUAAAUGUUUUUAUAAUAUUGAUUUGGUCUUUAGGCCUAUUUCUGAAGUGAUUUGACAUAUUAUAUAUGUAUAUGCAUGUGUUUCGAAAAGGUGUUAAUUUGAGAGCAUGAAUUAUAUAGAAUUCCUCUCUUGAUAUGAAUUUAUUUUAAAUGUUCAUAUGAUGUAAAUUUUUUGAAAACAUCUUGAAAAGCAUGACAUGAAAUGUUUUGAGAAUUGAUAUGAUUUUGACUUGAAAACGAGAGGGCUAUUUAUGUUGAAACAUGUUGAAUACAAUGGUUGAAUGAGAAGAAUAAUGUGAUAUUGAUGGCUUGCAAGUUGGGUAUGACAAUACCCUACAGAAUAUGAUAUGUGAUUGAAUCAGAUGAAAUUUGAAUGCAUUAAUUUUACAUAAGAUAGGUGGAUGUCCGAAGAAGGCAUUUGAAUAUAAGGGCUCAUUGUUGGAAACCGUGUUUGCUGACAUAGGAAUUUGGUACCCUACUUUGUGAUCUUAUGUACCUGACUUUAUGUCAUUCCCAAGUUGGGCCUAUGGUUAGGAGCCUUGCUUUGUGAUCUUGCGCACUACAAUUGGGUCGAGACACUCUGCCGUGUGAUCUUGUGUGUCUUCCCCUCACUUAUACUCUAAUCUCGGUGGAAACCGAGGUUUAACAGUUGGUGUAAAUGUGAUAUGUAGGGUAUUCCACCUAGCUUAGCUGCAUUACAUUAUUGUUGAAAAUAAUUACAUUACGCACAUGUGUUUUUAAAUGAUUUGAUAUGAAACUGCUUUAUAAUGGCUCUCAACUAUGUUUUGUUUUGAUAUCUUUGCAUACCAGUACUUUUGUAUUGACCCCCUUCCCUCUCAGGUUCGGAGGCACAGUCUAGGGGUCUAGAAAAUCAGUAGAUUCCUCAGACAGAUUUACAGAGUCAUUUGGUGAGCCUUCUAUAUUUUGGAAGGCCUAAUAUCUGGCUAUUUCAUUUAUCAUUUAUUAGUUUUGGAUCUACUGGGGGCCUUGUCCUUGUUUUUCGAUAUAUAUUUAUUUCAGUCAUGUAGUAGAGAUUUCGCAGACGUUAUAGAGAUGUUGUGUUGAGAUUGUGGGACAUUAUUCCCCGUUAUUGAUUUCAUAAGAUUUUUGACCAUGUUUCCAUAAUAUUGUUUAUCUUUUGUAUUUUUUUUAUCAUAUGAGUUAUGUGCAUGAUUAUCAGACAAAUAGGGGUGUUUCGGGCCUUCAUGGUUCCCCAUGCUCGUCAUGGCCAGGCCCCCGGUUUGGGUCGUGACAAACUUGGUACCAGAGCACAGUUUAUGGUUCCAGGGUGUCUGCAAAAUCACGUCGGGUAGAGUCUUAUUUGUGGGUGUGUAGCUCGCCACACUUAUAAGCUGGAGGCUACUAGGCGUUUAGGAAUGUCUCUCUUUCUUCAUGUUCCAGUUCGUGCAAUAGAGUCAAAAUGUUCCUCUUUCAUACUGUUAUUCGUGCUAUGGUGUCAUCCAUAUGAAGGUAAAGUCAUCCCAAAUUCUUUCCUUACUUUGAUGUUCUCAGACAUGUCCCAUUACUGGGGUGAUUCAAGUGCAAAAAGUUUAGAAUCUAUAUGAUAUAGUCUUUUUCGAUUGUGUUAUAUAAGAAAAAAAAUUGUGCAAAGACUCGAGAGGAGUCUGUUGGUGAUUCAAUAUGUGUUGAUUCUAAUGUAAACAUUGAUCCUGAUGGAAUCAUGCUUUCUAGCUUAAGGUAUUAAAUGCAUCUAGUCCCUCCCAAAAAUCUUGAUACAAAUGUGGAUGGUGUAUAGCAGAAUGUUGGAACUGUAUUUCCUCCCGAAUAGUAGCGUAAGUUAACGUGUUGUUGUCAUGACCUAUCGGUAAUGAAAUUAGACCAAGAAGUUAGUGAUGUGAAGUCACAAAGUUAGAAGUCUGAGGGUGAUUUUUGGUGUAAAUGAAUAUUUCAGUUGAAUAACUGAUAUUUGAGGAUGAUUUACCCCUUUAAAGUGAUAAACUAAUGUGGUAGCUAGUAGCAUGUGUGGAUGGUAUGGUAGUCCAUGGGGGAAGUAUUUUACUCAGCUUUUAAUUUAUACAGAGUAAGAUGUGUAUUCUUAGACCAUUAAAUAUUGUGUCAAUUUCCUAUCUCUUGUAAUAUGUAAUCUUGUUAUCAUGGUGUUUUUGAAAAAAAUAAAUUUAAAGUCUAGUGAAGCCGUGUGGGGCUCUAUCGAUUCACUAGCAUAGUUGCCUUGUCAUCCAUCUUAUUUUCUUGUUCAAAAUACAAAACCAAAGUCUAGUGAAGCUGUGUGAGGCCUAUUUUGAUUCACUAGCAACUUGUUGUCCAGCUUGUUGUUCUUUUGUUGGUUUAAUAUAUGUAUGGCUGAAUCUGUUUGCAUGAGAUUGAGUUAGUAAAGAGGUGAUUCAUCCUUGUGAAUUCGUUUAGUAUAAGGUAGAGAAGGAGUUGUUAGUCAGGGUGAUUUGUUGGUUGCUUGAAUGUGAAAAAUGGCUAUAUUAGCGAGUAAGUUAUGAUUAUAGACUCAUGGUUGUUUGAGGAAUUUGAAGGCAGUCUAAAUGUAUGCUUGAGUAAGUAAGUAUGAGGUGAGAAAUCCUCAUAAGUAGAUAAGAUCUUAUGGGGUUAUAAUAUCAGAUUAAGGUUGAUCAUGUCUAUUAUAUGACCUUACCCCUUGGCAUUUUUCGUUGGUAGUUGUAAACUAGUACUACUUAUGAGAAGGUAUGUUGCAAAUUAUGAGGUAUUUGGAUAGUACUACAUGACUGGCACAAAUUUUUUGAAGUUUUGCAGGAGUUCUCAAAACUAUUUUCUAAAAAAUUAAGAGUACUUUGAAAAAAAUCUAUAUAAAUCUUUUACUUAGUGAUUGCCUAGACAUCAAUUAGGAUGGGGAGUCAGGGGUGGAAGUCCCAACAAGAUAAAAUACCUAAAAGAUGGCGAGGGCAAAUCAAGGAUCGUAGGAGGUCAACAUGGAGUAGUUUCUUUGAUACACAAAAUGAGCGUUUCUUUCAAAAAAUCCCCAAGAAAGUCGAGAGCCAAGACAGAGCAUAUAAGGCUUAAUAACGGUACUUUUGGUAGCCCAAAAACUGGCCCAACACCUAUUUAUUGAUGACCUUUCAAAUUGUCCAUCUCAUUUCUUGAGAUCAUGGAGGACAAACAAAAGUGUCUUAUUUUCUUUACAAAUAUUGUAUUUAUAAUUUUUCUAAGAAAAUAGUUGCUAGCAAAAUUGACUUUGUGUCUACUAAUCGUCUACCUUGAGUACAAGUACAUACAGAAAGCAAGACCCUGACAAAUGAUUUCAGGAGAAACUAUUUUUAAUUUACCAAAAGAACCAUUGCAUGUCAUUGCCAACAGGGCCAUUGCAUUGUCAUUCAAUAUCUGUUGACGCGCUAGACACAAUGCUGGCAUCGAGGAUAUCAUUAUCAUUCAAUAUAUCCAUUGACAUGCAAGACAAAACGAUGGCAUUGAGAAUAUCAUCAUUAUUCAAUAGCUAUUGACGCGCUAGACACAAUGAUGGCGUCGAGGAUAUCAUCGACAUUCAAUAUAUUUGUUGACCCACAAGAAACAACACUGGAGUCGAGGAUAUCAUCAUCAUUCAAUAGAUGUUGAUGUGCUAGACACAACGCUGGCGUCGAGGAUAUCAUCAGCACUCAAUAUAUCUGUUGACACGCAAGACACAACGCUGGCGUCGAGGAUAUCAUCAUCAUUCAAUAUUUGUUGAUGCGUUAGACACAACGCUGGCGUUGAGGAUAUCAUCAUUAUUAUAUAUCUAUUGGCACGCAAGACACAAUGCUGGCAUCGAGGAUAUCAUUAUCAUGCAAUAUCUUUUAACAUGCAAGACACAAUGCUGGCAUCGAAAAUAUCAUCAUCAUGCAAUAUCUGUUGACGCACAAGACACAACGCUGGCGUCGAGGAUAUCAUUAGCAUUCAAUAUAUAUGUUGACACGCAAGACACAACAAUGGCGUUGAGGAUAUCAUCAACAUUUAAUAUAUCUGUUGACAUGCAAGACACAAUGUUGGCGUCGAGAAUAUCUUAUCAUUUUAUGAAUCAACAUCUGAAUGUAUUGAGAGCACACGAUUUGAAGGGACGCCUUUAAGUUGCUAUCUAAGGAUGAAUGAUAUAUAAGAUUUCCUAGAAAUUGAUAAUUUGAUGGUUAUUUAUAAGUCAUAUUAUUUGAAAUAGGAUAGUGUGAAAGAUCACCUAUGAGUUGAUAGCCUGUAGGUAAUCCGUAAGUCACAACAACAUCCUAACCGAACAGUAUGCAAGAUCGCCCAAAAAUCAAUAGUUCAAAGGUUAUCCAUAAGUCGCAACUAAAUCCUUACCGGAGAAUUUGCAAGAUUAUCAAAUUGAUACGUCCACGGGUUCUCUAUAAGCCAUGUCAUAUCCAAGAUCGAUUAUGUGCAGGAUUACCCAAAGACUUACAAUUUGAGGGACUAUCUAUAAGUCAUAUUGUAUUCAAGGUCGGAUGAUGUGCAGGAAUAUCUUAAAGCUAGCGAUUGGAGGGAUAUCUGUAAGCCAUCUCUUAUUCAAAGUUGGAUAACGUGCAGGAUUACUUAAAAGCUAGAAAUUAAAAGGAUAUCUAUAAGUCGCCUUAUAUCCAACAUUAAAUAAUGCGUAAGAUUAUCCAAAGAUUGAUAAUUUAAAGAAAAAUUUAUAAAUCGAUCAUCGGCUAUAACCGGAGAGGUUAUCAUUCCACAUGCAACAAAUGAUAUAGGUACCCAAAGGGUUGCCACACUAGCACAAGAUUACACGGUUGUAGAAACCGUUCUGCAUAAAGUAUCGCCGGUGUCCAAAAGGGCUACCCACUUUGAGGACAUAUUUAACCGACAAAUGUCAUAAUUAUACAACAACCAAGAGGGUUGUUGUUUUUGGUAUUUCUAGUUAUUUCAUUCCAAAUAGGUACAUGAAGAGAUGACUCUGCUUUUCAGGCCACAACUCACAUGGAGAUAUGGUAAAAGACUGCAUACCUCUUUCGUGAAUUAUGUUUAGAAAUAACACUUUUUGCUUGAAGCAUUGUCGAGAGAAUCCAAGAGGUUGAAAAUCUCAAAUCAAAACCAUGGGUGCAGAUGACUUCAAAUAGGACGCAGUACCCGAAUCAAACCCUUUUUCUUUUUCCUCUUUAUGAUCACGCCCGUUCCAUGUGAAUCCAUACGAGAAGAUGCGAGAAUCUUUUAGAAACACACUUAGGUGUCUCAUCCAACGUUCAAAUCACAAAAUUCUCGGAUAGAGGUUUACGAAUUCAUACAUAGGUGGAGUAUUUUCAUUGGCUUGUGAAGAUUAUUCCCUUUCCACCAAUUUCUAUGGGCCACUUUUUGGAAUUCCGUUUAACGAAAUCAAAAUAGAGGUACAGUUCGUUAGGGUCCGGAUCUUUUGAAUUUCAAAAAUGAACCCUUAAUCCCCUUCUAUAAGUAGCUCUCUUUAGAGCAAGAAAAAGGGAUUUUUUUGGGGAUUUUGGAAUUUUUUUCACUGGCCUCUCCUUUCCUUUAUGGGUUCUCCUCUUCUUUCUCUUUGGAGUUCGAAAUUUUAGACGCAAAGGGGGUUCAAAAGUUUUGGGUUGAAAAUUUGGGGUUAGAGAAAAUCUUCAAAAAUUUAGAAAUCCACAAAAAAAGGGGGUUAGAAAGGGGGGCUCUCAGAGGGAAAAAAUAUUCUCUUUACGCCUAAGAAACAUACAUUCUUAGGAGGUGCGUCUGAACUGUCGAAGCAGCUGCGAGUUUUUCGGUGGUCGGAAUCCUAUCUUCAGCUUAUUAUCCCAUUUUGCUGCCCCAAAAGAGGUAAAUACAUCUUUCUUUUUAAUUUUGUUGUGGUUAUCAUUUUCUUCUUCAUGGUUCCACUUCUGUUUACUGGGAAUGACUACUGUAGAGGCCUGGAAGGCAUAGGCUUUUCGUGUUUGAUAUAUUGUUCUACUAAAAAACUCAUUCUUGCCGUGUUUGAUUGGCUGUCGUUCAUGCUUGAUCUCUCUCAUUUUAUUCUAUCUGAAUAUUACUAGUCAGCUUUAAUGCUUCGACUUUAGAAACUAUUUUGCUGGUCUCAUUUUGAUGUUGCUUUCUAGUUCAUAGAGUAGGAGGGUAAAAUCUUUACGUAUUUUUGAAAUUCGAAAAAAAUUUUCAAAGAAUAGAUAUUAGGCAGCAUGUUCGCACAUUUUUUCGCUCAAACGCAGGAAAUUGUUAUAAAUAAGAACUCGCAUGUUAUUUUCUUCUGACUUGCCAUUCUCGAUGUACAAUAGUCUCAUUUGAUUCUAAAGUUUAUUUUAAAAUAUGAGAGUGGACCAUAGGGAUGAAUUAUGUUUUCUUCAUGGCUAAUUCAAUUUGCUGUAACUGACUCAUGAGAACAAAUUAAAGUUUGACAGGCUAAUGUUUCUUUCCUUUCUUGCUUUUCUUGUUCGCAUAUAAGUUGUGGCAUCUUGUCUCAUGAUUAAAUUACCUAAAAUUGGGUUUUUGUAGUUUUUGACUCUCAUUUGUUUGUUAACCCAGUGGUAACGAAGGAAUUAAGAUUUCAGCCUUGCUUUUCUUGAAGUUUCAGCUAUCGUAUUCCUUGCCUAAAGUGAUUAAGUCUUUAACUUUGUAUGUUUGGCAUUCUGGAAUUUGAACGUUGCUUGUGAUCCAUCGUUUAUGUAGUAUGAUCCAAGAGUUUUAACUCUUUUUUGUGACAUGCUUAAUUGGGUCCUUUUGUGGCAUUAAAGUGAUAAAUUAUUUUUUUUAUUUCGAUAAAGACCAUAAGAAUUCUUGUUGAAGCUUUAUUUCCUCCUGUAGUUGAAAUUUCUUUAAUUGAUUAUGAACAUUUUCUUCAAACAUUAUAGACUUUUUCUCCUGUGGCAUUUUUACCUGUGUAUGAGUGUAUUUGAAUGAAGCAGGAAUGCUAUAGCUUAUUAAUUGUUAAAAUCUUGGACGUAUGUUAAUUUCUUCAUUCCUUUCUUUGCAUGCACCCCCCUUGGAAUUCAAAUGGGCCCCUUCUCUCUUUGCAUUUCAUAAAUGGGCCAAUGAGGCCUAUCCUUCCGAGUUAAGCCAAAAAGAAAAUCCAAGAAUCCAUCGCAUGGCGUAUGGAUACGAGGAAUUGAAAGAAGAAUGGGUUAAAGUUCCAUCUUUGAAGCGGCAAACGGGACUUGAAAAUCUAGUUAUUUCUUCUUUAUUGAUUUAUUUAUCCAUUGUUUCCAUUAUUUAUUUAUUUACUUAUUUAUAUUUUUGUUUAUUUAGUGACUAAUUUAUUUAUUCAUUUGGGCCUCAAAGCCAAAGUUGUAAAUUUAAAACAGGUGGAGCGAGACUCGAGCCAAAAAGGUCUCGAAAACAUAAAAUAAAGACAGGUGAAAGAUGGGUCAAAAACCUAACUAGAUUAGAACAGGGUCGACGGUUUGGGCUUAAAAUCCUAAAUCACUACUUCUCCUCUUUCCCCUUUUUCUAUUUGCUUACUUGUUUUACGUUUGUUUUGCGAACCUAGUAAAAUCCUUAGUCAAGUCGCUAAAAAACUGGUUUUGCAUAAACACCAAAAUAUUCCUAAAAAUCGCUUUUCUUUUCAAAAAAUAAACUUUUUCAAAGUUAAUCAAAAGACGAUUUUCAAACAUUUGGAUAACCGCAAGUUAAAGGACAUUUUAGGUGCCUAAUACCUUCCUAAAAUGCUAGUAGGAACCGCUUAUCUAGAAUCUCUAACUUAAAAUGAUUUUUCUAUUUUGAAUCGUUUGCAGUAACUCUCUAAAGGUUUCUUAAUUCCUUUUAAAAAUUAAGUGGCUACUCUCAAAAAGUCAUAAUUUCCACAAAACAAUAUCAAUCACAAUCACAUCCACACAUCUACUACCCCCACCCGAAAGUAGCAGAUGAAUAAGGGUUUGUAGUAAUUCAAGUACCUUAUCCUCUUGACGCAUGCACUCCUUCUCUUUUAGUUCAUUAACAAAUUUGUUAAAUAUUUCAAGUAGAAAGCCCUCAUCACCCAUGAUUCUGUAAAAUAAUAACAGCAAAGAAAUUCACAUUCAAUGAUACGACAUAAUGAGAAUCAUGAGAUUAUGAAUAAAAAAGUAAAAAUCCAGAGCAUUUCAUUUUAUAGUCAAAGAGGCUAGACAAAUUAAAACUAGAGAUUUAGCAGCAUACUUCAUCAGAACCGUGAAACAAUUACAAAUGCCAGAAAUUAAAAAACUAAAACAAUCACAAACGUCAGAAAUUUAAAAACAAACUGCUAGAGCUAUUAAACGCCCAGUGUUGGAACAACUAAUAAUUGACAUCUACCAAUUUCUAGAGGGAUAAGUACAACAUUAGAAAUCACUUAGCAAAAUGGUAAUUCAUGCUAAUACUAUAAAGAAAUAGCCUACCAAAAUGUUGAGGAAUAUAAAACAACAAAUCAUUCAACACAACUAUUCUUCUAAGGUACAUUCUAGAACUAUGUGAAUUACUGAGUUUAGAAUAUUGAAGGAGUUGGUCCUUGAAAAUAAUAUCAAUUAUCAUUCUCCAAUGGUCCUUGCAAUCAUGUUACUAAUUCUAGAUCAAUAAAAGCAAAAGAAGCUACUUGCCUAUCUCUGAAGAGGGAUUUGCAGUCCUCCCAUUUCGAUGAUGCAGAAUUUCCUGCAACCACAGCAAACAAAUAGAUUAUGGUUUAAAGGAAAUAUCAUGGGAUCCCAUCCAUUACAAUGUGAGAGAUUGUAAACUGUUUACUAUACCUUUGAUGCAUGAAGAAGUUCAUAGAACUCAUCAGCUAGACGUUUAAGCUUUUUAGCUUUUUUUUCUUCUUUCUUCCUGGCCCUUUCCAGUAACUCCUCAAAGACAAACUAUGCAGAUGAAAUAUGCACAUUCAAUACUCAAUGACCCGGCAAGCCCAAACGCGUAGAACAUAUAGUUUAGAAAGGAAGAAUGGAAUAAGAUUCAGUAUAAUCCAUGUAUGUCCUCUUAUUCCUUCGUUUGGAAGGCAAGGGGGAUAUAAUGUAAGAGUAUUAUUACCAUCUUUUGGAGUAACUCCUCACAUUAUAAUCUUUGAUAAAAUGCUUUACAAAAGUUUUGAGCUAUUGAAAGUAAACUAAAAGCCUUAAGAGACCCAACCGUCUAAGCAUAAUUCUUCGACAAGAUACCCCUUGCAAUUCCCUCUUCCCACAUACAUAGAUUAUACGCCAUGACCAUAAAUAACCUCCAAAAUCCAAACGAUAUAUAAAGAAUAUCCUCAUUACAAAAAUAGCAAAUGAUCGUUUAUAUCAUCCAGUUAUGUUGUUUAACCAGUUUCGUAGAGUAAAACUCUUAUCCACUAACCGUAAAAAUAGAAAACUACAAGGCAAAUUGCUUUGAAUUAAGUAACUUAAGCUAUGUGUGGUAGGUGUAAUUGUAACACCCUAGAAAAUGGGUCCCGAAGCGUCACACGGUGCUUGAGGCUACGAGUAUCCCCAAGCUAACUCUUUGAGCCAUUUUCAUUCAGUUCAACACAAAUCAACGAGGUUUCCAUAAAUAACCCUCAAAUAUCAACAGAGUAAUCAUNNNNNNNNNNNNNNNNNNNNNNNNNNNNNNNNNNNNNNNNNNNNNNNNNNNNNNNNNNNNNNNNNNNNNNNNNNNNNNNNNNNNNNNNNNNNNNNNNNNNNNNNNNNNNNNNNNNNNNNNNNNNNNNNNNNNNNNNNNNNNNNNNNNNNNNNNNNNNNNNNNNNNNNNNNNNNNNNNNNNNNNNNNNNNNNNNNNNNNNNNNNNNNNNNNNNNNNNNNNNNNNNNNNNNNNNNNNNNNNNNNNNNNNNNNNNNNNNNNNNNNNNNNNNNNNNNNNNNNNNNNNNNNNNNNNNNNNNNNNNNNNNNNNNNNNNNNNNNNNNNNNNNNNNNNNNNNNNNNNNNNNNNNNNNNNNNNNNNNNNNNNNNNNNNNNNNNNNNNNNNNNNNNNNNNNNNNNNNNNNNNNNNNNNNNNNNNNNNNNNNNNNNNNNNNNNNNNNNNNNNNNNNNNNNNNNNNNNNNNNNNNNNNNNNNNNNNNNNNNNNNNNNNNNNNNNNNNNNNNNNNNNNNNNNNNNNNNNNNNNNNNNNNNNNNNNNNNNNNNNNNNNNNNNNNNNNNNNNNNNNNNNNNNNNNNNNNNNNNNNNNNNNNNNNNNNNNNNNNNNNNNNNNNNNNNNNNNNNNNNNNNNNNNNNNNNNNNNNNNNNNNNNNNNNNNNNNNNNNNNNNNNNNNNNNNNNNNNNNNNNNNNNNNNNNNNNNNNNNNNNNNNNNNNNNNNNNNNNNNNNNNNNNNNNNNNNNNNNNNNNNNNNNNNNNNNNNNNNNNNNNNNNNNNNNNNNNNNNNNNNNNNNNNNNNNNNNNNNNNNNNNNNNNNNNNNNNNNNNNNNNNNNNNNNNNNNNNNNNNNNNNNNNNNNNNNNNNNNNNNNNNNNNNNNNNNNNNNNNNNNNNNNNNNNNNNNNNNNNNNNNNNNNNNNNNNNNNNNNNNNNNNNNNNNNNNNNNNNNNNNNNNNNNNNNNNNNNNNNNNNNNNNNNNNNNNNNNNNNNNNNNNNNNNNNNNNNNNNNNNNNNNNNNNNNNNNNNNNNNNNNNNNNNNNNNNNNNNNNNNNNNNNNNNNNNNNNNNNNNNNNNNNNNNNNNNNNNNNNNNNNNNNNNNNNNNNNNNNNNNNNNNNNNNNNNNNNNNNNNNNNNNNNNNNNNNNNNNNNNNNNNNNNNNNNNNNNNNNNNNNNNNNNNNNNNNNNNNNNNNNNNNNNNNNNNNNNNNNNNNNNNNNNNNNNNNNNNNNNNNNNNNNNNNNNNNNNNNNNNNNNNNNNNNNNNNNNNNNNNNNNNNNNNNNNNNNNNNNNNNNNNNNNNNNNNNNNNNNNNNNNNNNNNNNNNNNNNNNNNNNNNNNNNNNNNNNNNNNNNNNNNNNNNNNNNNNNNNNNNNNNNNNNNNNNNNNNNNNNNNNNNNNNNNNNNNNNNNNNNNNNNNNNNNNNNNNNNNNNNNNNNNNNNNNNNNNNNNNNNNNNNNNNNNNNNNNNNNNNNNNNNNNNNNNNNNNNNNNNNNNNNNNNNNNNNNNNNNNNNNNNNNNNNNNNAAAUAAUUCUCGAAUCUGUCCUUUGGUGGACUGUUUUGAUAGUCUGAAGUAGAUCAACCAUAAUGUUUUACUCCGAUAUUCAAAUUGGAUGAAACCAAUUUCAUUAGAAAGAGGACUCUCAUAUAUUUCCGUUGAUAUAUAGUAUCUCACCCAUAUCAUUGUGUACGAGGAGUUAUGAUCGUUUGAAGUUGACCCAAAAAUUCACUUUUGAUAGGCUGAGUAGAUCGACCAUAACUUUUUGCUUUGAUAGUCAAAUUGGAUGAAACCAAUUUCAUUGGAAAAAGGACUCGCAGAGCUUUCCAUUUAUAUAUAGUAGAUCACCCAGAUCAUUAUGUACAAGGAGUUAUGAUCAUUUAUAGUUGGAGCAAAAAUACGCUAGGCCUCAGUACUUUUUCCUGCACGUUUUACUGUUCACUACUAUUCACAGUUCGAUCGGAAUGUUUUAUAACUCGUCGCUUGGGUGUCCAUUUUGGAUGAUCCACAUAUCAUUGAAAAUAUUAUUCGAUACUCUACACAAUGGUGAGUCAUAAUCUAAGACAUUUCGCACGAAAAAUUUAUAAUUCAUUCUAGAAUAUAGAACCCAACAUGUUUACGCACAAAAUUUUAUCGAAAAAUUUCCUGGGGUAUUACAGUAAUAUUAAACACCUCCGUCCAGGAAAUAAAAACUAAGGAAAAUGGUACCAAAACUGAAGAAUUGGAAGCAAAAGCUAACACCAAAUAUUUGAUCAAUUGGUCCUCGUCUUUAUUCUUGAAGGUUUCAGGCUUACUUGCUAACUGACACACUACUCUUCUAUUAACUCCAUUACAAGAACAUCCAAAUUUAAUGUGGGAUAGGUUAUGGUUGAUACUAAAGGAAAAUGCCACUAACCACAGUUGACUACCUAUGAGUUGCCAAUUUAGCAAUCACAAACUGGCCGAUUUCCAGUGAAACAUAACAUGGAAGUACUACUAAUGCUUCUGCACUCAAUCCACUCAUCUUAUGCAUGACCUGUCCCAAAGACAAAAUGGGGAAAAAUACAUAGAAAUCCAUUUAGUGAAUGGGGUACUUCAAUUUUCACAACAUUCAAUUCAAUAUGGGUCGAUGUGAAACAGUAUACAGUGCUUAGCCAUAAUUAGACCUUUAAGUUGGUAUCUGACAUUGGUGGAGAGCUAAUAUACUUGGCGAUUGCAACCUUAAAAUCAUCAAGCGUCCAGGCUGAUGUCAAUCCAAUCUGAAAGUAGAGACGGCUCAGCCAAAAUAUUAGGUACUAACCGAAGCACAACAGAGGUUAAAAUGAAGAGUGGUGAUUACCUCGGCCAUCCUAACUGCAUCUUGAAUUUGUGACUUGUCAUCAAGAUACUGAAGCAACAUACAAGUAAUAUAAAUUCAGAAUGCUUAUCAGUAACAAAAAUAGGAUACCAAAUGGAGCCUUGUCAAUGCAUUUGAGUUACCAUAAAGUCUAUAAAUUACAAUUAAGGUGAUGGGGAUGAAAUUUCUUUCAUGAAUACCAACAUUUCUCCACUUGUUCAAAGUCAUCUACAAUAUCACAAGACACUUGACACAUAAACUUAAUUGCACUGAUCAGGUGAAAUUGAAGGAAAAAUCAAGCACCCCUGUUUGGAUAAUAGAAAAAAAGUGAAUAAAUAAAAAUGGAUAGCAUCUCUGUUAACAACGCUUUCGUUAUAUUUACUUAAUAAGAAUCAUUUAUGCAUACAAACAGUAAUACAAACUUUAAAGAUAGAAGUUCACAUCUUUAUUUUACAAGGGAAAAAGAAAAGAUUUUCAGCAUCGGAGUUUAUGUAUAACUCUCACCAUCCCAUAGCAAGAGCCUAACUCAAGAAAACAUUACCAAAUUCAAUCAUUGAAUAAGAGUACGAACAGGAUCAUUACCAUGCUAGGAUACUAGGCAAACUCCCUCUUUCAUCAAGCAACGAGAUAAAUGCUAAUAACAUUUGAUCAUUCAAUUUCAAUUCUUUUUAGAAAGGGCAGAGGAUGAAACAAUAAAUCGUUUAGUUAGUCGCAAGUGUGUAUUACGGCCAAAAAAAUCAUAGCGAGGGAGAUGCAACUUUAUUUAGAGAAACAGAGAUUCUCUCAGGCACUUUUUCCGAGGCUAAUCUUUUGUAAGCCUUUACUUUCAUUACAUCUCAACUACCUCUUCAGAGGCGAAUUCUGGCACUAAGUUUAUUUAGUCCAAUUUAUAUGGUUGACAACACAAUAUAUUUUGAAUUGGGUUUUAAGUUGCACGAUAUCAUCCGAAGUGAAAUCAAAACUGGGGUAUGGUACAAAAGGACAAAACAUGGUCGAAACUUGACCAGACAAACUACUUUCAGGUCUAAUUUGUUUGCACUUAUUGGAUUUAUAAACCUGUUCAGACCUCAAACCAUUAAGUGCAUUUGUUUUUAUUAGGAUUUUAGCUCUUUAUAGGUCUGAGUAGGUCUUAAUCAUUCAGAUGUGGAACCAAAUCUAAAUAUCAUUUACAUAUAUUCUUGUGUAGGAUAAAAUUCACCCCCACUCUAUCCACAAUCACCUGUCCCCACCACCAACCACUUCCACCAUCACAACCAAAAUCACUACCAACUACACUGCCAGCCGCUACCACACCUACCACGUCCAUUAUUCUAAUUAUAUCCAUUGCCAACUAGGGGUGUUCACAGUUUGGUUUUUAACCAAACUGAACCACGAUCCAAACUAAACCGAUUAAAAAAAUCUAUAUAUGGUUAGGUUUGGUUUGGAUUUGAAUUUUAAAAAAUCGAUACUAAUUUGGUUUGGUUUGGUUUGGUUUUACUCUAAAAUAACGGACAAAAUAACCAAAACGAACCGAUAUACAUAUAUAUUAUAAUUAUUUAUAUGUUUUUCAUAAAUGUAAUCUAAAUAUUUGUUACAUUUUAUAUUUUAAUCAUGAUUUAACUUUAGUCGUAACACAUUCAGUCAUAUGUCUUCAUCUANNNNNNNNNNNNNNNNNNNNNNNNNNNNNNNNNNNNNNNNNNNNNNNNNNNNNNNNNNNNNNNNNNNNNNNNNNNNNNNNNNNNNNNNNNNNNNNNNNNNNNNNNNNNNNNNNNNNNNNNNNNNNNNNNNNNNNNNNNNNNNNNNNNNNNNNNNNNNNNNNNNNNNNNNNNNNNNNNNNNNNNNNNNNNNNNNNNNNNNNNNNNNNNNNNNNNNNNNNNNNNNNNNNNNNNNNNNNNNNNNNNNNNNNNNNNNNNNNNNNNNNNNNNNNNNNNNNNNNNNNNNNNNNNNNNNNNNNNNNNNNNNNNNNNNNNNNNNNNNNNNNNNNNNNNNNNNNNNNNNNNNNNNNNNNNNNNNNNNNNNNNNNNNNNNNNNNNNNNNNNNNNNNNNNUACAACACUCGGUUGACAUCUCAUAUGUUAGAUUGGAUUUGUUUUUUAUAAUUUUCAACUUUUAUCAUUAACUAAAGUUAUAAACCAAAAAAUCCGAAUCAAAGCGAACUAAACCGACAAGAACCAAACCGAUGGUUAUUUUUUUGUUUGGUUUUAGAAAUUUAAAAACCGAUUAAGUUGGUUUGGUUAUGGUUUUGACCAAUAACCGACCCAUAUCAACCCAUGAACACCCCUACCGCCAACGCCGCCACCAUCAACUACUACCGGUCGAUCCUUACUACCAACCAACUCAUCUAUCAGAACUAGCACUACCACUAAUGACCACCAACACAUCAUCAACUUGCACACAUCGCUAACAACCACUAACACAUCAUCAACUUCCACACAUUCUUCGGACACCAUCACCACCACUGUCACCAGCGUCACCACCUCUACCACCACCAUCCGCUACACUCGCUACAGUAUCUAUACUAACAACCAUUCCACCAUCACAGCUAACAGCAUAUCCAACGACCACCAACACAUCAUCAACCAUCAUGCAUACAGUUUUCCAUCACCACGAUCAACACCUCCAACUACUAACAUUAACCAACUUCACAUCAUAACCACCACCACCACUACCAAUCGCCAAUAUCAUGACAGUUACUACAAUGCCAGCUAUCUCUACUAUCACAACUAUCAUCACCAACAUUGCUAAUCACUAACAUCAAUUAAUUUAUUACAACCACCACCACCAUUACAAAUCAUCUCCAUUAUCACUAACAAACAUAAUUUUUUUUUAAUCAAAUAAUAAUUUAAUUGCAUUAAAUUAAAAAAAUUCUAAUAUUUAAUUAUAUUAUAUUUAAAAAUAAAUAAAUUUUGCACAUUCAGAUAUUGAGAAACACCCAACCUUAAUCAUUUAGUUUUCAGAUCUAGAGACAAUAUCUUAACCACUUAGAUGUGCAUUCAAAAUGAUUCAAAUGUCUGAAUAUUAAUAAAAACAAAUGCAGUCUUAGCUGAAACACAAUGGUGUGGUUGUGUGAUACUUUAAAGGAGUCCUCGAAAGUCAAAGAAACUACGUGAAAACAUGGAAGUUUGAUGAUCACUUCUCAGAGUUGUUCUGCUCGAUAAACUAUAACAAUUAAGGUAAUAUAACCAUUAACANNNNNNNNNNNNNNNNNNNNNNNNNNNNNNNNNNNNNNNNNNNNNNNNNNNNNNNNNNNNNNNNNNNNNNNNNNNNNNNNNNNNNNNNNNNNNNNNNNNNNNNNNNNNNNNNNNNNNNNNNNNNNNNNNNNNNNNNNNNNNNNNNNNNNNNNNNNNNNNNNNNNNNNNNNNNNNNNNNNNNNNNNNNNNNNNNNNNNNNNNNNNNNNNNNNNNNNNNNNNNNNNNNNNNNNNNNNNNNNNNNNNNNNNNNNNNNUUUUUUUUUUUAAAAAAGCAAGCAGAGGGGUAACUCUCAAAUCUCAAUCUCAUGCUUUUAUCCUACCAAGUAUGUUCUAUUGUUUAAUGCACUACAACAACAACAACAAACCCAGUAUAUUCCCACAUAGUAAUACACUAACUUCCUUUUUUACCUAAUGAAUUGAACUUUUUAGUGAGGAUCUAAAUGAUUUUCAGACUUUGUUUAACGUUUGAUUCAUUAAGAUGUAUUAACAGGUUGAAUCUUUAAAAAAAAAGCACUUAAUGGGCUGAUAUCUUAACCAUUCAGAUUCAGACCUUCAUUAAGUGAAAUCAAAUGAAAAGGGAUUGUAGUGUAAAGUCUAUAAAUAUGGCUUAGUGUAACAAAUGUAGUUGACACAAUUCAAUACUCCUAUUAGCAACGUAUUUCACCUGUUUCUCCAGCUCAUCCAUAACAUCUGUAAAUAAGUCUUUUGUUGUUGAUCCUGAAGUAUUUGAUGCAACAGCUAGAUAUGCAGCAAAAUCUUUAAUCUGAAAGCACAAAAUAAAGAAGGAAAUUAUUGGAUGAUAAAUUCAAAAAGACAAAAAGGGAACUCAAGAAGGUAAUCACUCACUGAACACAAGAAAGAAAAACUAACUUUGAUUCAAUAAUUACGCCAGUUAGUUUUUGCAUUAAGUAUUCCUAUAGCAACAUGCUUUUCCAUCAGUUUUCAGAACUCAACACGUUUUUUACGUUCAGCUUUCCUCAAUUCUUCCUAUUUGAAUCAACGGUGUAUGACCAGUGAGAAAGAGAUAAAUCAGAGUCUCCAAAUAUAAAUUUAAUUUUAACCCCCGAGUCUAAUAAGCAAUAUACCAUCCGCAGUUUCCUUUGCUCCUCCUCUUCGCUCUCUAAAUCACGUAUGUAUUCCUAAAAUAGAAAAGGUUGCAACUUAACUUUAAAACUGAGGAGUACAAAUAAGAUGUUUGGAAAAAGUUAUUUAUGAUGUAUUAGAAAAAUGAGUAGUACCUAGAAAAUCUCCAAGCGAUCAAUUUUCUCAAGGCGGGAGCGUCUUUCAUCAGUUUCCAAGCAGUCCUGAACUUUCUGCCACUGGCUACUGGCCUGAACAAAAGAAGUCAACAACAAUGGAACUAUGGAAGUUCUAUCUUCUGUAAAUAGAAAAACAUAAUCUAGGAACUGAUGCUAAUUCCACUAGAACAAAUACCUUAAUAAAGUCACAGGAUUUUAAAAAUUCUAAGUACUCCACUCUAUUGUGCUUUUGCUCCUCCAAUGCCUUCUGAUGCUCCUAAUAAAAUCCAGUACAAAGUAAAAAAAAUAAAAUUUCUCUAUAAUGAAGACAAUAUUUACAAAGAGACUUUAACUACACUUGCAUUAAAGUAUUGAAAAACUUUUUCUAUUUUACGAUGGAGGGGGGAGAGGAAGAAGCAUAUCAUAGUUUCAAGUUUCAAGAAAAAUUACAUACAAUACAUGGAAGUCUAUUUAAAUUGGAAUUCAAUGGUGAACAAAUUUAAAUGUUGUACCCUUGAGAAGCCAUUAAAAAUGUAUUCAAAGAACACAAGAUUCUAAGUUGAAUAUCUACAACAUUCCUUCUUUCUACUCUUUAAGCAAAACAAAAAAAGGGAACAAACUAAAAGACAUCCUGCAAAGGAAAGGAAUGGAAUAACUGUUGUUAAUCAAGUGGACCAACGCCUAACUCAACUUCAAAAACUAGUUCAGGUGGUGAAGAUUGUCCAAGAUCAUAUAAGGAAACUACAACACAUACACCUUACUAGUGUGGGAUUCUCAUACAUUAAUCCCACACCAAGACUAGACAUUUGUAGCAUCAGUUAACCUAGGUUGGCUAACAUCUAAUAGUAUAACAUCAAGAUAGAUCUGCCUCAAUUGGACCUUGUAUCUAUCUCAAAUGAAAGGCUAACUUAAUUAGUGAGGAGCCAAAGACCAUAUAAGGAAACUACAGUCCGCACACUUAGUUUUUAACAUAUAGAAGCUUACAAGAAAGUUUUGCAAAAGGAACUUCACCUUUUUCUCAAGUUCCUCCACAUAAUCUUCAAAAAGGUCCUCACGGUCUUUAGCUCGCUCAACAGCUUUAAAACGUUCAUCAUGUUCGAAUAUGGAGAUUGCCUAACUGAAUAAUCAAUAGCAAAUAGUUAGUGGAUCAAAUGGAACUUACACAAGUAAUGGAUCAACUUCAAGGUACCAAACACAUACAAAAAAUGACCAAGAUUAGAAAACAAGCAGCAGACAACUUAACAUUACAAGUGAAAGACAAACCUCUAUCUAGACGAUGGUGACAGCUCCUUGCAAUCCUGUAAGACUGAGAACAACAGACAUUGUUGUGAAAAAUACCACUUAUUCUUUUGAACAAGUCAAAUACCAGUCUCUAACACAUCAUGAAUACUAUGAUAAUAUUUUUUUAUUUUUGAAACUGGUAAUGUGAAUAUCAUGAUAUAUCAAAUGGAAGACACCCACAAAAGAAAAUUUCACUUCUAACAUUAUCCUGAAAUCUUCCUGAGCUUUUUNNNNNNNNNNNNNNNNNNNNNNNNNNNNNNNNNNNNNNNNNNNNNNNNNNNNNNNNNNNNNNNNNNNNNNNNNNNNNNNNNNNNNNNNNNNNNNNNNNNNNNNNNNNNNNNNNNNNNNNNNAUUGAAAGAGAGUUUUGGAAAAUGUUUUUCCUACUUUUUGAAGGGAAUUCAUUUUCCUUAAAUUUAAGGAAAAUAAGUUGAUUUGGAAAACAUUUUCCAAAAUAUUUAAGUCAACCAAACAUGAAGCAAUUGGAUAUCAAACACAAUCUAUCUUUUUGCAAUACGGUAUGUGAAACAUUGAAGCAACAAUUAACCCAUUCCAAUGCCGACUUGGAGAGAUACCUCAUUAAAAGCUUGCUUCCGCUCACAAAGGAAUUUUAGAGCACCAUAUCUCCGGUCAUUAAUUACUGCUCUCAUGGCUUGUCAAAUACAAUUCAUGUCAAAUGAUCUCCCUCAUUUGUUUGGUACACACAAAAUAGUCAAGUAAUAAACCUGAUCCCACGUGCAAUCAGACCCAAUAUUUGCAGAUUCCAAAAGAGUUUUGAAUGCACUCUUUGCCUCCUAAAUAAAAUUAGAUACUUAAAAUAGAAAUAAGAGAAAUUUCGAGAACAUACUUUAAACGGGACAAAAAGCAAUAAUCAACUAUACCGCUUUGCUCUCAUAAACUAAUGGUCCCAGCUCGACUGUUUUCUCAUNNNNNNNNNNNNNNNNNNNNNNNNNNNNNNNNNNNNNNNNNNNNNNNNNNNNNNNNNNNNNNNNNNNNNNNNNNNNNNNNNNNNNNNNNNNNNNNNNNNNNNNNNNNNNNNNNNNNNNNNNNNNNNNNNNNNNNNNNNNNNNNNNNNNNNNNNNNNNNNNNNNNNNNNNCAUAACAUCUACGAAAAGCUUUCUUGGUGUUUUAACCAGUAACCAGUAGUAAUUAACUAAUCGCAUAAGUAUUUCAGAAGGACAAAGUACCUCUCUAUUCUCUGAAGAAAAUCCAUCACCAUACACUACUGCAUCUUGAGUUGUAGUAGUCUCAGAACUAUACAAAAAUUGAAUUCCAAAUAAGAAGCAACACAAACCAGAGGCAAAUUUAUAACAUACAAAUCUGAUAAUAUACACCGGUGGCGCGAUAGAAUUUCCAAGGUUACUGCUAUUCCAAUUUUCUCCGAAUUAGCAACAGCUGGCGAAGUAGGUUCUGAAGAAUUCUUCAUUUCGACAGUUUCAAUCAUCAGAGAAGAAACCUUACCAUAUAAACUUGAUGAUUCUGAAGCCACAAUAGUUGGUAAGUUAGCAGCUGGUGACACAACAAUUGGGCUUGAUUUAGCACCGUAUGCCGAGACUAAUGAACCAUCUGCACCCGGGGAUGAUGUUUUAACAACAGAAAUGGAUCCAAAAUCAGAAGCGUGCUAAAUGGUGUCCUUUUCACAAGCCAACUGUGAAUUUAUAAAUAAUUGAACUUUAUGAGAAUAGAGUAUCCAAGAAAACAGAAUAUUGCCCCUUCUUACACGCUAUCAACUGUGAAUGUACAAAGAAUUUAUGAGAACUAGAGCAUCCAAGAAAACAGAAUAUUUUCCCUUCUUAUCAUGCUAUUUAAAGCACAGAACAAUCCCUUCUUAUCAUGCUAUUUAAAGCACGGAACAAACCCAUAUUGGAUUUAAAUCUAACAUCACCUUGAAUUCAUCAAGCAUUAACCUUGUUGUAGUAAUACCUACAGAAAACAAACAAAGCAAUUAGCAUUAUGCACAAGUAACACACAAAAGUACCCACUGUAGAAGAACAAUUGGAAAGAGGCCAAGAAAAUACAUAAGUUACACACUUUCUUCCCUCAGGACUUAUAAAUUCUCUCCAGUUAGUUGAUGUGUCUGCCCUCUGUCCCAAUGAAAAUAGCAUGAAAGAAGGUCAAGUCAAAAAAUAGAACAUAAACAGUACCCUGAGAGUAGAAAUCAGUAACUUCCAGCAGUACAAUACUGGAUGAAAGUGUUAGAAUAUGAAUUAUAUAAUGUCCCACAUGGAAAAGGACUAGAAUGUACUGUGUAGAAUAUAACUACAAGCAGGGUGGAAACAUUGCCAAGAUGCGGCCGAGCUACAGCUAUCCAAGGGUGAUCAACUGAACAACAUUCGCCUUCUGUCAUUUCUGAGUAUUUUUUAAUGAACACCCUUGCCACAAAAAACAAGACUGAGUGUGAUAGUAAGGGUGUUCAAAUCCUACACCGAGGUUCUAAGUUCCAUACUCAACACAGCCCCCCACAUAAUAUUUUUUCCAUUUGGACACAUUUGAAACUCAUAAACUACAGUUAUGCUUUUUUUCGAUGAAUCAAUUUUCGAACAUGUGUUUUUUGUCCCAAUUAGCUCUUGCAAAAGAUCUAGUAACUAGCAUGCCAUGUAUAAGAAUUUUGUUAAAAUAAACUUAAAGGUAAAUUUAUAAAGUGCUUGUUAUACUAGAUAUCUUGCAUGGGGCAGAGUGUUUGGCUGGUCAAGAGCUCGCAUGUUCGAAAGAUAAACAUAGCAGAAAUGAGGAUGUUGAGAUUAAUGUGUGGUCAUACUAGGAGAGAUAGAAUAAGGAACAAAGAUAUGCGAGAAAAAGUGGUAGUGCUCUCUGUGGUGGACAAUUGACAAGAAGACUAAAGGGUUGGGGAUAAAGAACCUAAAAAUUCAAAGUAAGGCUCUCGUGAUGAAAUGGUUAUCGAAAUAUGCAAACAAUAACCAACUGCUAUGGAGGAAAGUGAUUGGGGCUAAAUAUCCUGAAGAAGAUAGAUGGCUGACUAAAGAAGUGACCACACCAUACGGGAUUAGCCUCUAGAGAUCUAUUAGAUCUAUUAGACACUAGUGGAAUGAAGUUAAAAGCAACUCAAAAGUUAAAGUGAUGGAUGGAAACAAGACUAGGUUCUGGAAGGAUAAUUGACAUGAGGAUGGGAAUAUGGAAGUGAUUUUUCCAGAUAUCUACAACUUGGUAUUGUUUCAAUAGAGGACUAUAGUAGAAUUAUGGACACCACAUGGGUGGAACUUCAAUUUCAGAAAGAAACUUAAUAACCUAGAGGUAAUAAGAGUAGUUGAAUUUUUUAAUACUGUGGACUUAUUCAAUGGACUGCAGACAAUGAAGAACGUACUAUGGUGGAUAGGAAAUGAAAAAGGAAUGUUCAGUGUCAACAAAGCCUACAAGAUGAUAAACCAAAUAAAUCACUCGGAUCCAAGGUGGCCAUGGAAGCAAAUAUGGAAAAGUAGGAUACCUCACACAGUGUCAUGCUUUAUCUUUGUCUAGUUACUGACCAAGGAAGUAGUUCUUACACAAGAUAAUGUCAUGAAGAAAGGGAAAACCUUGUACUCCGGAUGUUUCCUCUGUGGAGAAACUUUAGAGACGGUUAACCAUGUAUUUCUACAUUGUAAGUACACCCAACAACUUUGGAGAAUCUUCUUAAGACUAAAAGGCAUUUCCAGCACAAUGCCUAGGAAAGUAUCUGAGACUUUAAUGUGCUGGGAGAAGAAGGUAUAGAUGUGAAGGACAGAAGUAGAUGGAGAAUUAUCCCAGGUGCUAUAUGGUGGGCUAUAUGGAAAGAAAGGAAUUCUAGAUGAUUUGAGAGCAUAGAGAAUAGUGUGUAGAAGGUUAAACUCAACUGCAUUUUGCUUUUAUGUUUUUGGUGUAAUCAACUAUACUCUAAUGAUACUGCCUCGAUAAUUGAUGUUCUAGACUAAAUUUAGAUAUAGAACAGUCGAUUUAGGAGUACUCUUGUAUAUAAAGGUUUCAGUACAACCCAUGUACUGUAUGAUAUAAUACAAAGUUACCAAUUUCAAAAAAAAAAGAUAAUAAUUUUUCAAGUACUAAAAGUUUAUAAAAUAACAAAUAAAUCAAUUAAAUCUGAGUUCAAAUUGGGUGGGUUGGGGUAUGACCCGCAUUUUAGAGCAUUUCAACCCAACCCAUUUCAACCCAAGUAGCUUUAGGGCGGGUUAAUAACCCACCUAUUUAUUAACUCAGACCUCUUUGAUCCAGCCAACCCCACCCAUUUGACACCUUUAGUUUAAUAGAAGUAAAGUGGACCAUGCCAGAACACAUACAAGAUCUAUUGAGUUAAAGUAAAGUGGACUAUCAAAGGACACACAACAAUCUGUUGAGCUGUUGGAUUAGAGGGUAUUAGCAAGAGUUAGAAGAAAUGGGGGAGAACAAUCCUUCCUUGUAUUUGGUGGACUGUAUGGAGCGAGAAAAUUUGAAGGUAUUUUGAAGAUAAAUAUAAUUCCAUUUAGAAAGUUAAAUGGAAUAGCAUUAAAGAUUUUUAUUUUUUGUUUAAGGGCCAAUGUGUACAGGAUGCAUAACAGGUAGUAGAUCUCUUUGAAUCCUCGCAUUAUUUUCAUUAUUUUUCAUUUCUUUUGGACUGCUAGCAUAACCUUAAUGCUGACGAAUACAAAGUAAUAACUCCAAAAAAAACUAUUUAUCUCAAAAAGAAAAGAAUCAAAAUGUUCAAACUUCCUUACAGCUCCAGUUGUUGGUCCCUUAAUACUUGUCCCUCACAACCAGCCAAACUUUCUUUGAUAACCGUCAUGUUUGGGUCAACUUUCACCUUGACUAGUUACACCAGGUACUGCUACCUCCCACCAGCACAGAUACUGGGUAACUCUAUCCAUCAAGGCUUGGACAGACAGUAAGAAAUCACCUAGUGUUUUUAUCUCUGUUGGAAAUUAAACCUGAGACCUCAUGGUUCUCAAUCUACUUCAUUGACCAUUAGGUCACACUCUUGGGUGCAAGUGUGCAACCAGCCAAACUAUUAUUCUAUAAACCAGAAUGAGAAGUGUGAACCGCAAUAUUAUAUCAGGUUUCCUCUCUCUAUAUCGCCAUUGAGUUACAAUAACAUUACAUUAAUCAGAAAGUAAAUAAAAUUGUUUAAAAUAGACCAAAUAUAAUCCUUCCUUGUAUGCUUAAACACAUUUUUUAGAACAAUAGUGUUAAAUAUAAAAUCUUUUAGAACUAUAUUGGAAAUAAAAGGUCAAUGCAAAUCCCAAAUGAAGCCUACAUAGUAUAGUAAGAUCGAGAAAAUCUGCUCGCUAAACAAACAUUCAACAGAAAUCACAUAUACUUAGGAAAGAAAAAGUGGUUCUACGAAGCUUCAUAGAAAAAGAAUUGUGUACUUCUUUUUUCAUUGAUAAGCAUAGGAAACUGGAUAAAACAACCCAUAAAAAUCUCGAUGAAACGAGAGCUCACCUCCAUUUCUAUCAUCAGCUCUCGAGGUUUCUCCCAGGUAGAGAUUCUUGUUCUUCUAUUAUAAUAGUAUCUAAAAAUCAAUUCAAGAAUUGUAAGAAUGAUAUUAAUUGGUUGGAGUAAUAAAGCCAUAGGAAAUAUGACAAUAUUAGCAACCAUAAUUAGCCUACUGAUCAUCAAAAGAUACUGAAAAUAGCAAUACCUACUAGCAUUUAGCCACAUGUAAAAUAUGUAAGAUAAUAGAGAAAUGGGGUCAAAAUAAAGUUAUCGGUAGAGGUGUAUCAAGUUCUGCUGAUCAACAGUCAGGUAGAAUUUGGUAGCGGUGAACGGCAGCCCAUAUGAUAACUUUGACAAAGAGGACUGAAACAAAGGGGCCUAUUAUCUCCAGUGCUAAUGGAAGAAGAAUGAUGUACAAAGAACUAGAUGUGGAUACUUGAGGCAUUUCUUGGCAGUGAUGGGGGCCAACAUAUCCACCACUUGUUCAUAGACAAGAAAUUAAGUGUUUGUGAUGUAGACAUUAAAUUAUUCAUAUGAGUAACCUAUGUGAAUAUAAUCCAAAAGGAAGAAUUCCAGAAAGCCAAAUUGGCAUGCUCUUUUUUUUGUCUGGAGAACACAAAGUGGUAAAAAGAUUGGAUCUGAAUGACAAUGAUAUUUUUGCAGAGCUCCUUUUCUUGUAUACCACGGUUUUACACCUUUUUUGUUCACUGGAAUCUUAAUUUUCUUACUAAAAACUAUCAUAGAAUUCAAAUGUUGACUCUCUCAAUCAACACACACCCAUUAACCCAUUAACUUAAGCAUGUUACCUGUUGACAAUAUUUAUGCAAAACGGGUACAAUAAAACACAUUGAAUUCUUACCGGAAUAACCAAGGGAGCUGCUAAUUCUCCAGUCUUCUGCAUAGUUGUUGCAGAAUUCACAUUAUGAUUACUUAUUGGCAUCCAGGGUUGUACCCCUGAUGGAAACCUAUGAUCAUUUAUCUAUGUCUGAUACUGGGAGCCAAAAGAAUCUACAUUUACCUGCUGUUAAAGAUGAUAACAAAAUGUAUUUCAUCAAUAUAUGAAUGGAACAUCGGAAACCGAUUGACAAUAACCACAAAAGAUCUUCCCAAGGACCUACAUUAUAUGAAGAAGAAAGAGGUAAAUUUGGGCCACCAGAACCAGGCAUGUGGUUAUUUGACAUCGCAAAAUUUCACUGAAAAUCAUGGGGAAUAGGUGGUCCCUGAGGCAUACUAUGCAUUCCUACUACAGGUCUACUAGUAACCUGUUGCAUAGGUUGAGGAAAUUGGAUUUGAGAAGGUUGUGACAUCGCAACAUUUGCAUGUCCAAGUGGUAAAAAUUGUUGAGAUGACCCAGAACCAUAAGGUUGUGCCUGCUGGGCUAGAAGCAUAGGCUGGAACUGCUAAAGAUGUGGGGAAAAUAGUUAUCAUAAUGUCUCUACAUUCAAAAGUCAUUUAUCCCUCCCCCAAGCCUCCAUAACUUUACCUACAGUGACAUGGAUGGAAUAGCACCAGGAGCAGGACUAGCCAGAGGAGGUAUAGGAGGCUUCUUAACUAAUAUCCAUGCAAGGAAGAACAGACGAAAUCAGAAUAUAGCUACUUUUCAAUCAUAUUUAGUUAAUUUUCCAAUCAAUGUUGAAAGCUUGUAUCCAUGCACAACUCCCUAAAUUAAUUUAAAGGACAAGGCAAGAAUUUUGAAGCUAAACCACAUAGUAACAUGAAGCCCUUUUCUUCAUCUAAUAAAUAGAAAGCUUGAAACGAGAAUAAAGAGAGAUAGGAAAUAGAUGACCUAUCACAACGUUAGACUAGAAUGGACAAAAUGAUAAGCAUCUUUACCUUAUGGCUUGGGUUCAACAGCUACUGAUGGCCUAAGUAUCUUUUCUUCGGGUGUAAAGAAGCACGUCUGUUAAUGCAAAACUAUGAUCAUUGAACUGAAACAUGAGGUAUGAGUAGGUAUUAGGAUAACCAAAAAAUACUGAGACUGGAAUGGGUUGAGCCUCAAUCUUCCCUUCUGAUGUUCUAUGUGAUACUGACAUCACUACUAGAAUCUGAAAGCCUGACUUGGUUAUUCUCUCUAUCAUCUCUCCCUUAGCUUUAAGCCAUCAAAUUAAGUUUGGGAGAUCCCUUACUAGACUCUAAACUAAAGUACACUCACUGUACUCUGGGGUCUGGAAAACUACUAUACACGCAUAUCAUGGCACUUAACCCUAAUGACUACACCUGAAAUUGGAAAACCCACUAUUAAUACUACCUUCUGAGAUACACUUUAUCAUUCUAUAGACCCAGUAGUCAUCAUAUAAUACUUGCAUACUUACUAACUUCGGGUCUUCAUGGGUAUCCCCAUAGUCGAAGUGCACACCCUCUAGUGCUUUAACUCUUAUUUCUAUUAGUUAAGCCUUUAAAAACUCAAACUUAGAAUCUAGCACUCAACAUGGAUAUAACCAAGCCUUCAAUGAAUCAUACCACUUCCUACAUAGCCUACCAAUAUUGCGACUCUAAACUUACAUCUCUCUACUAUAAGAAUCAAGAUCAUAUAAAAGGGCUCAACACUAUUAAUCAAAACUCCUUAAUUUGGCUAUUCAGAACACCAUAUACCAUCUAACUAGUCUUUCUCCACCUAGCAACUCAACGGUACCACUUGUCACACAAAACAUGUAAUAGUCUUAGAAAAUACCGCAACCUCAGAUCACCUUGGGCAUACUUCUACAUUAUAUAUGCAACAUCAUACUUCACUGCGAAUCAAAUAAACUUAAGCUCUUGCAUAUAUCAUUCAAGCCUAUUAGAUUACUUCCAUAAAACUAGUAUCAGUAACCAAGAAAUCAUCACAUCCACCUUCAUGGACAUCAAUUGUUCAAAACUUAAUGUCUAGUGCUAAACAUGAUGUUACAACCCAACCUUACGUAUGAUUCUCACUUGGAUACCAUGAAAUUGACAUCAAGAAACACUAGUACACUAGAACUUCCAAACAACAAAUAAUUGAUCUUGAUCUUACGGUCUUCCUUAUCAUAACUCAUUAGCACGGACUAUUUUAACACAUCAAGCCUACUAAUUUUUUCCCACAAAACAUAGAUCAUUAAUCUCAUGCCACUAUUUUUACCACCACAUUGUACAUUAAAUUCAAGAAUAUAGUCUUGUACCAAUCAUCUAUCACUACUAAAAAAUGCAACAUAACAUGCUAGUUCAUAAAAUUUGGGACAUACUAUACAAGCGCCUCAAAAAUCACUACUUACCUUCUCACAAGUAGUACUAGUUUACAAUAGAAGGUCAAGGGGUAAAGUUACAUAAUAAACAUUAUCAACCUUAAUCUUAUAUUAUAACCCCAUACAAUCUUUUCUACUUAUACGGAUUUCUCUCCGCAUACUUACUUACCCAAACAUACAUUUAGAGUACCUACAAAUUCCACAACAACCAUGAGUCUAUACUUACAACUUACUGGCUAAUAUAGCCAUUUUCAUACUUCAAGCAAUCGAGAAAUCAACCUAACUAACAACUCCCUCUCUAUCUUCUACUAAACUAACACACAAGGACAAAUCACCUUUCUACCAACUCAAUCUUAUGCAAACAGAUUCAGCUAUAUAUAUAUAUAUAUAUAUAUAUAUAUAUAUAUAUAUAUAUAUAUAAAAAAAACAAAAAAAANNNNNNNNNNNNNNNNNNNNNNNNNNNNNNNNNNNNNNNNNNNNNNNNNNNNNNNNNNNNNNNNNNNNNNNNNNNNNNNNNNNNNNNNNNNNNNNNNNNNNNNNNNNNNNNNNNNNNNNNNNNNNNNNNNNNNNNNNNNNNNNNNNNNAAGUCAACUAUGCUAGUGAAUCGAAAGAGCCCCACAGGGCUUCACUAGACUUUAUUUUUUUCAACAACACCUUGAUUACAAGAUUACAUAAGAUAGAAAUUUAAUAUGCAAUAUCCAAUGAACUAGGAAUACACAUCUUUCUCUGUAUAAAUAAAAUUAGAGUCAAACAAUUCCUCCACGGACUACCAUACCUUCCACACAUGCUACUAGUUACCACAUUAGUCUAUCACCAUAAGGGGUAAAUCAUUCUCAAACAUCGUUUAUUCAACUAAAAUAUUCAUUUACAUAAAAGUCACCCUCGCUCUGACUUCUAACUUUGUGACUUCACAUCACCAACUUCUUGGUCUAAUUUCACUACCAAUAGGUCAUGACAACAACACUUUAACGCAUACUACUAUUUAGGUGGAAAUAUAGUUCCAACAUUCUACUACACACCAUCCCACCCCUUAAGCAAGACAUUUGUAACAUAAAUUUGAAGGGGACUAAAUGCAAUUAAUACCUCAAACUGAAAAGCACGAUUCCAUCAGGAUCAAUGUUUACAUCAGAAUCAAUACACAUUGAAGCAAUCAACUAAUUAAUUUCAAUUAAUUAGAAUCAAUUUUAUGAUCAUAAUAUAUAGACUCAAGUUCCUUAAAUUUAAUGUUGUAUGUAAAUUUUAAAAUAUAUUUAUAGCUAAAGUAGUAGUCAAUGUUCGUUGUUUUUUACCAAUAUAUGCAUAUCAAUUACGAAUCUUUCCAUAUAUAUAUUUUUUAUUAAAGUAAUUGUCAGUAUUAACUAAUUUCUAGUUCAAUUUAGUCUAAUUAAUUUGAUAGCAAUAAAAUUAUUAUUAAUAUUAUAUAUUUAUUUACCAUAAAUCUGGCCUAAUUUUAUAGCUUGAUUAUAUUUAAUUAAUCUACAAUUGUAUAAAGGGCUCAAAUACGAAAAUAAUUGAUAUUAAUUACAUGUUUUUAUAGAUUGAUUACAUUAAAUUGAUAUCAAUUACCUUUUUAAUUUUGGAAAGAAUUUUAAAAAGGUAACAAUUAUUUAUUUUUCUAAUUACUAAUUUAGUUUUCAAAUAUUUCUUAUAAAUUUAUAAUUUAAUUAUAGUCAAUUAAUUAUUAUUAUAUUUAUAAUUUGCUAAACACUCAAAUAAGGUAACAAUUUUCUUUUUUCCUAAUUACGGAUUUUCUUAUAUUCAUUCAUUUAUUUGUUUACAAAAAUAGGUCAAACUUAAUUAUUUUGAGGGAUGACACCUUUUUUUAAUAUUUUUUACUCAGAAUGAUUACAAUAUUUUUUUAUAUAAAUUGAUCAGUUACUAUUUAUUAAUUGGUUAUUCUCUUAAAUAAUUUUUUCUUGUAAUAUUUCUUUUAGUCAAUUGUAAUUAAAUCAAUAAUAUUUAUUUUCUUAUAAUACUAUUAUUAAAAACAUUUGAAAUGUAAUUUAUUAAAUAUGAAAUAUGAAAUAAUAUUAAAUAUUUAAAUAAUCAACAAAAUAGUUUUUUGUUAUGAAAUGAUGGUUUUUUGUUGUAAAAAUUCAAAUAGGUAGUUCUCAAUAUGACACUUGUCUUAGUUUUAGGCUAGACUAUCCUCCUUUAUUAUAUAGAUAGAUAAUUUCAACAAAAUUAAUUAGAGUAUUUUCUUAUAAAAUUUUAUAAAAAUAAUAUAAAAUAUGGCAUAUUAAUAAUAUUUGCAUUAAUUAUUCUUCUAUUUUCUUACGCAGUAUUUGAUUCUACGUAUUAAAAAUAACAUUGAAUCAAUGGUGAAAGUGGAGGGACUUCUUUCUUUAUUGGGGUUUUUCUUUUUGGGAAAGCUAACACUUUCUUGACUACCAACCACCCAACACAAAGCUGACACUUCUUGGUAGAUUGGCUAUUUUUUCAUACGGUACUAAUUUAUAUACAUUUUCUUUGAUAUUUGUUAUAUUGUUAGUUUUAUUUUGCAUAUUGUAUUAGUUUAAAUGCAUUUAUCUUUUAUGUUUGGUAUAUUAUUAUGAUCCUAAGCUGGGAGUCUAUCAGAACAUCCUCUCUACUUCACCUGAGUAGUGAUAUGAUCUGCAUACACUAACCUCCCUAGACCUCACUAUGUGGGAAUACACUGGGUGUUGUUGUUGUUGUUGUUCUUUCUUACACAGUAUUUGAUUCAACGUAUUAAAAAUAACAUUUAUUACAUAAUUUUUUUUUUACAUAAUACCCCCACUUUAAGCAUGUUAAUGCAUGCAUUAGAUCCAUUGCAUUACUAAUGUCAUAAAUUUUGAGGUAUUAGUAAUACACACCUCAAUAUACAACAGAGUAUAUAACUAAUUUUUGCAUUAGUUAUACAUAAGAUAAAAAGAUAUAUAUCAAACAAGGGACUACUAAUAGACAUUAAAUUAAUGGAUGCAUUAGUUUUUACGUAAAACAUUCCAUGCUUUAUCACAGAUUUGGUUAUUAUUCCAUGUCUUGAGCUGGGAGUCUAUCAUAAACCACCUUUCUACUUCUCCGGAGGUAGUGAUAUGGACUACGUACAUCUUACCCUCUCCAAACCCCACUAUGUGGAAAUACACUAAAUUUAUUGUUGUUGUUGUUAUUAAUUUUUUAAUACACUCUAUCAAAAGACUCCAUGCUUCUCAUUUAAUAAUACCUUUAGCUCCUCUUUAAUUAUGAUAAUUGCUCUCUGACUCCACCUUGCUUUUUUAAAAUAUACAUAAAUAACAAUGAAUUUAAUUUUGCUCAUUACUCUACUAAUUGUAGUAAUGUUAGGUGAAUUCAUCAACUUAAAAUUAGAGUACAUUCACUUAAGCUACAUGUUAUAGCUAUAGCUCAAAAAAGGAAUUAUACGUUUGACAUAAUACAUAAAUGUGUUUUCAACUUGACAUCAUCAGUAAAUAUUUAUAUAUUUUAAUUUUGAGUGUUGCACAAAUAAAUACUUAGACUAUCAUAUAAAGUUAAAAUAAAGAUAUAUAUGCUAGUCUUGUAUCGCAAUUUGUCAUGCAAAAUGCAUGCAUCUCAUACAAUUUGUCAAGUAAUUAAAGCAUUUGUGUCUAGGAGAGUGCAUCAGUCGGUUCGGUUGGGUAUUACAUAUUAUCGUUAGAUUUAUCGGUUUUCAAUUUUUAAAUAUGUUAAACCAAUAACCAAACUAAUAAAGUAUUUUUUUCGGUUUUUAGUCCUUAACGAUUCGAUUUUUGGUUUAACCGAUAAGAAAAUGCACAUAAAAUAGAAAUAGAAGUAACUAACAUGUAAAAAAUGAAUGUUAGUUGCAAGAAAAAUCCUACAUGAAGUGUUUAAAUUUACAAAAAUCUUCAAGUUUGAACUAAAUAUUGUUAGGAGAAAUUAAGAGUUUAUAUAAUUGAAAUAAUAGGUUUGUUUAUUUGUAGAAAUAAAAGAUAAAUAUAAUAAUAAGUCAUAUAUAUUCUUAUUGGGUUAUCGGUUUACCCAAUAACCCAAUAAGAAAAAAUCGAACCGAAACAAUAACCCAAUAAUUUUUUGUAACACCCCAUACUUUCAGACUUGAACGUAAAUUGUUAUUCUACUUGUACACAUUCCAAAAACCAUAAAUAUAUUGUGAAUAUAGUGUUUUAAUCAACUAUGUGGUGUAUAAAUCUAGUUGAUCAUGAAUUGAGAUCAUAGAGGUCCCCUAACUCAAGGACGAGUUCAAAGCUUUUCCAUCGAUUGAGUUUUAGUAAGUGUCAAAACUUGGGUCAAUUUCAAUCAGUCAUUAAUCUUUGUAUAUAUUGAAUUAGAGUGCCUACUAUAUAUCAAAUAAAAUCCCUUCGAAUUAUCUUUCCAACGAUAUCAAUUUCGCAAAUAUCCAACACUCAAGGAAGAAGUUAUGACUUUGCAAAGUGGAGUAUGUCAUGCAGCAUAAGGUGUGCGACGCACACCCUAACUUAUUCCAUAAGGUGUGCGACGCACAACCUAAUGUGUGAGAUUAAGAGUGCGCUGCACAACCUAUAUUAUGCGAUAAGGUGUUGUCCGCAUACAUUACUACUCAAGUGACUUAAACACUCCAUUUUUGGGGCAAAAUGGUCCUUUUCCCACCCUUAUUUAGCCAUAAACACGAAAUUCAGUCACUAAAUACCCCAAAAUACACCUUCAUUCAUCAAAAUUGCUCAAGAACUCUCCUUAGCAUUUCAAAAUAAAACUCGGGCAACUUAAAAUUCAACCGUGGGUUUUUGAAACUAAUUGCAUAUUUGGAAUCCCUAAAACGUAGGCUUCAAGAAACACCUAUCAUCUUUGCAUAUAGAGGUACGUGGGGUUAUCCUAAAAUCUCAUGGGCCUUUAAAUUCAUGUUUUAAAAUGGGGGUUUUGAAACUACGAAUAUAAUCAUGUUUUGAACUUUUCUAUAAUAUUGAUUUCGUCUUUAGGCCUAUUUCCGAUGUGAUUUGACAUAUUAUAUAUAUAUGCAUGUGUUUUGAAAAGGUGUUAAUUUGAGAGCAUGAAUUAUAUGGAAUCCCUCUCUUGAUGUGAAUUUGUUUUAAAUGUUCAUAUGGUGUAAAUUGUUUGAAAACAUCUUGAAAAGCAUGACAUAAAAUGUUUUGAGAAUUGAUAUGAUUUUGACUUGAAAACGAGAGGGCUAUUUGUGUUGAAACAUGUUGACUAAAAUGGUUGAAUGAGAAGAAUGAUGUGAUAUUGAUGGCUUACAAGUCGGGUAUGACGAUACCCUAUAGAAUAUGAUAUGUGAUUGAAUCAGAUGAAAUUUGAAUGCAUUGAUUUUACAUGAGAUAAGUGGAUGCUCGACGAAGGCAUUUGAGUGUAAGGGCUCAUCAUUGGAAACCGUGUUUGUCGACAUGGGAAUUUGGUAACCUGCUUUGUGAUCUUGCGUACCUGACUUUAUGUCAUUCCCAAGUUGGGAUAUGGUUAGGAGCCCUGCUUUAUGAUCUUGCGCACUACCAUUGGGUCGAGACACCCUGCUGUGUAAUCUUGUGUAUCUUUCCCUCACUUAUACUCUAAUUUCAGCGGCAACCGAGGUUUGACAGUUGGUGUAAAUAUGAUAUGUAGGGUAUUCUACCUAGCUCAACUGUAUUACAUUGUUGUUGAAAACAAUUACAUUACGCCAAUGUGUUUUCAAAUGAUUUGAUAUGAAACUGCUUUAUAAUGGCUCUCAACUAUAUUUUUUUAAAAUGUUAUGUUUUGUUUUGAUAUCUCUGUGUACCAGUACUUUUAUAUUGACCCCCUUCCCUUCCAGGUUUGGAGGCACAGUCUAGCUGUCCAGAAAAUUAGUAGAUUCCUCAGACAGAUUUGUAGAGUCACUUGUGAGCCUUCUAUAUUUCGGAAGGCCUGAUAUCUGGCAGUUUCAUUUAUCAUUUAUUAGUUUUGGAUCUACUGGGGGAAUUGUCCCAGUUUUCAGAGAGAUAUUUAUUUCAACCAUGUAGUAGAGAUUUCGCAGACGUUAUAGAGAUGUCGUGUUGAGAUUGUGGGACAUUAUUCCCAGUUAUUGAUUUCAUAAGAUUCUUGACCAUGUUUUCGUAAUAUUGUUUAUCUUCCGUAUUUCUUUUAUGAUAUGAGUUAUGUGCAUGAUUAUCAGACAAAUAGGGGUGUUUUGGGCCUUCAUGGUUCGGAAUGAUCGUCAUGGCCAGGGCCCCGAUUCGGGUCGCGAAAAACUUUGUAUCAGAGCACGGUUCAUGGUCCCAGGGUGUCUGCAAAAUCAUGUCAGGUAGAGUCUUAUUUAUGGGUGUGUAGCGCGCCACACUUAUAAGCAGGAGGCUACUUAGCGUUUAGGAAUGUCUCUCUUUCUUCAUGUUCCAGUUCGUGCAAUAGAGUCAAAAUGUUCCUCUUUCAUACUGUCAUUCAUGCUAUGGUGUCACCCAUAUGAAGGUAAAUUCAUCCCAAAUUCUUUCCUUACUCAGAUGUUCUCAGACAUGUCCCAUUAUUGGGGUGAUUCAAGUGCAAAAAGCUUAUAAUCUCUAUGAUAUAGUCUUUUUCGAUUAUGUCAUAUAAGAAAAAAAAAUUGUGCAAAGACUCGAGAGGAGUUUGUUGGUGCUUCAAUAUGUGUUGAUUCUGAUGUAAACAUUAAUCCUGAUGGAAUCAUGCUUUCCAGCUUAAGGUAUUAAGUGCAUCUAGUCCCUCCGAAAAAUCUUGAUACAGAUGUGGAUGGUGUAUAGCAGAAUGUUGGAACUGUAUUUCCACCAGAAUAGUAGCAUAAGUUAAAGUGUUGUUGUCAUGACCUAUCGGUAAUGAAAUUAGACCAAGAAGUUAGUGAUGUGAAUUCACAAAGUUAGAAGUCAGAGUGAGGGUGAUUUUUGGUGUAAAUGAAUAUUUCAGUUGAAUAACCGAUAUUUGAGGAUGAUUUACCCCUUUAUAGUGAUAAACUAAUGUGGUAGCUAGUAGCACAUGUGGAUGGUAUGGUAGUCCAUGGGGGAAGUAUUUUACUCAGAUUUUAAUUUAUACAAAGUAAGAUGUGUAUUCUUAGACCAUUAAAUAUUGUGUCAAAUUCCUAUCUCUUGUAAUAUGUAAUCUUCUUAUCAUGGUAUUUUUGAAAAAAAAAAAUUAAAGUAUAGUGAAGCCGUGUGGGGCUCUAUCGAUUCACUAGCAUAGUUGCCUUGUCAUCCAUCUCAUUUUCUUGUUCAAAAUACAAAACCAAAUUCUAGUGAAGCCGUGUGAGGCCUAUUUCGAUUCACUAGCAACUUGUUGUCCAGCUUGUUGUUCUUUUGUUGGUUUAAUAUAUGUAUGGCUGAAUCUGCUUGCAUGAGAUGGAGUUGGUAAAGAGGUAAUUUAUCCUUGUGAGUUAGUUUAGUAUAAGGUAGAGAAGGAGUUGUUAGUCAGGGUGAUUUGUUGGUUGCUUGAAUGUGAAAAAUGGCUAUAUUAGCGAGUAAGUUAUGAUUAUAGACUCAUGGUUGUUUGAGGAAUUUGAAGACAGUCUAAAUGUAUGCUUGAGUAAGUAAGUAUGAGGUGAGAAAUCCUCAUAAGUAGAUAAGAUCGUAUGGGGUUAUAAUAUCAGAUUAAGGUUGAUCAUGUCUAUUAUGUGACCUUACCCCUUGACUUUUUUCUAUGAGAAGGUAUGUAGCAAAUUAUGAGGUAUUUGGAUAGUACUACAUGAUUGGCACAGAUUUUUUGAAGUUUUGCAGGAGUUCUCGAAACUAUUUUCUAAAAAAUUAAGAGAUUUAGCAGCAUACUUCAACAGAACCGUGAAACAAUCACAAAUGCCAGAUAUUAAAAAACUAUAACAAUCGAAACUAACUGCUAGAGCUAUUAAACGCCCAGUGUUGGAACAACUAAUAAUUGACAUCAACCAAUUUCUAGAGGAAUAAGUUCAACAUUAAAAAUCACUUAGAAAAAUGGUAAUUCAUGCUAAUACUAUAAAGAAAUAGCCUACCUAAAUGUUGAGGAAUAUAAAACAACAAAUCAUUCAACACAGCUAUUAUUUUAAGGUACAUUCUAGAACUAUGUGAAUUACUGAGUUUAGAAUAUUGAAAGAGUUGGUCCUUGAAAAUAAUAUCAAUUAUCAUUCUCCAAUGGUCCUUGCAAUCAUGUUACAAAUUCUAGAUCAAUAAAAGCAAAAGAAGCUACUUGCCUAUCUCCGAAGAGAGAUUUGCAGUCCCCCCAUUUCGAUAAUGCAAUAAUUUUCUACAACCACAGCAAACAAAUAGAUUAUGGUUUAAAGGAAAUAUCAUGGGAUCCCAUCCAUUGCAAUGUGAGAGAUUGUAAACUGUUUAAAAUACCUUUGAUGCAUGAAGAAGUUCAUAGAACUCAUCUGCUAGACGUUUACGCUUUUUAGCUUCUUUUUCUUCUUUCUCCCUAGCCCUUUCCAGUAACUCCUCAAAGACAAACUAUGCAGAUGAAAUAUGCACAUUCAAUACUCAAUGACCUGGCAAGCCCUACCGCGUAGAAAUAAUGUUUAGAAAGGAAGUAUGGAAUAAAAUUAAGUAUAAUCCAUGUAUGUCCUCUUACUCCUUCGUUUGGAAGGCAAGGGGAAUAUAAUUUAAGAGUAUUAUUACCAUCUUUUGAAGUAACUCCUCACGUUAUAAUCUUUGAUAAAAUGCUUUACAAAAGUUUUGAGCUAUUGAAAGUAAACUAAAAGCCUUAAGAGACCCAACCAUCUAAGCAUAAUUCUUCGACAAGAUACCCCUUGCAAUUCCCUCUUCCCACAUACAUAGAUUAUACGCCAUGACCAUAAAUAACCUCCAAAAUCCAAAUGAUAUAUGAAGAAUAUCCUCAUUACAAAAAUAGCAAAUGAUUGUUGAUAUCAUCCAGUUAUGCUGUUAAACCAGUUUCGUAGAGUAAAACUCUUAUCCACUAACCGUAAAAAGAGAAAACUACAAGGCAUAGUGCUUUGACUUAAGUAACUUAAGAUAUGUGCGGUAGGUUUAAUAUUAAACACCGUCGUCCAGGAAAUAAAAACUAAGGAAAAUGGUACCAAAACUGAAGAAUUGGAAGCAAAAGCUAACACCAAAUAUUUGAUCAAUGUGGUCCUCGUCUUUAUUCUUGAAGGUUUUAGGCUUACUUGUUAACUGACACACUGCUCUUCUAUUAACUCCAUUACAAGAAGAUCCAAAUUUAAUGUGGGAUAGGUUAUGGUUAAUACUAAAGAAAAAUGCCACUAACCACAGUUGACUACCUAUGAGUUGCCAAUUUAGCAAUCACAAACUGACCAAUUUCCAGUGAAACAUAACAUGGAAGUACUACUAAUGCUUUUGCACUCAAUCCACUCAUCUUAUGCAGGACCUGUCCCAAAGACAAAAAGGGGACAAAUACAUAGAAAUCCAUUUUGUGAAUGGGGUACUUCAAUUUUCACAACAUUCAACUCAACAUUGGUCGAUGUGAAACAGUAUCCAGUGCUUAGCCAUAAUUUGACUUUUAAGUUGGUAUCUGACAUUGGUGGAGAGCUAAUAUACUUGGCGAUUGCAACCUUAAAAUCAUCAAGCGUCCAGGCUGAUGUCAAUCCAAUCUGAAAGUAGAGACGGCUCAGCCAAAAUAUUAGGUACUAAUCGAAGCACAACAGAGGUUAAAAUGGAGAGUGGUGAUUACCUCGGCCAUCCUAACUGAAUCUUUAAUUUGUGACUUGUCAUCAAGAUACUGAAGCAACAUACAAGUAACACAAAUUCAGAAUGCUUAUCAGUAAAAAAAAUAGGAUACCAAAUGGAGCCUUGUCCAUGCAUUUGAGUUCCAUAAAGUCUAUAAAUUACAAGCAGUGUGAUGGGGAUGAAAUUUCUUUCAUGAAUACCAACAUUUCUCCACUUGUUCAAAGUCAUCUACAAUAUCACAAGNNNNNNNNNNNNNNNNNNNNNNNNNNNNNNNNNNNNNNNNNNNNNNNNNNNNNNNNNNNNNNNNNNNNNNNNNNNNNNNNNNNNNNNNNNNNNNAAAAAAGUGAAUAAAUAAAAAUGGAUAGCAUCUCUGUUAACAGCGCUUUCGUUAUAUUUACUUAAUAAGAAUCAUUUAUGCAUACAAACAGUAAUACAAACUUUAAAGAUAGAAGUUGACAUCUUUAUUUUACAAGGGAAAAAGAAAAGAUUUUCAGCAUCGGAGUUUAUGUAUAACUCUCACUAUCCCAUAGCAAGAGCCUAACUCAAGAAAACAUUACCAAAUUCAAUCAUUGAAUAAGAGUACGAACAGGAUCAUUACCAUGCUAGGAUAGCAGGUAAACGCCCUCUUUCAUCAAGAAUGGAGAUAAAUGCUAAUAACAUUUGAUCAUUCAACUUCAAUUCUUUUCAGAAAGGGCAGAGGAUGAAACAAUAUAUCGUUUAGUUAGUCGCAAGUGUGCAUUACGGCGAAAAAAAUCACAGUGAGGGAGAUGCAACUUUAUUUAGAGAAACAAAGAUUCUCUCAGGCACUUUUUCCAAGGCUAAUCUUUUCUAAGCCUUUACUUUCAUUACAUCUCAACUACCUCUUCAGAGGCGAAUUCUGGCACUAAGUUUAUUUAGUCCAAUUUAUAUGGUUGACAACACAAUAUAUUUUGAAUUGGGUUUUAAGUUGCACGAUAUCAUCCGAAGUGAAAUCAAAAUUGGGGUGUGGUACAAAAGGACAAAACAUGGUCGAAACUUGACCAGACAAACUACUUUCAGGUCUCAUUUAUUUGCACUUAUUGGAUUUAUGAACCUGUUCAAACCUCAAACCAUUAAGUGCACUUGUUUUUAUUAGGAUUUUAGCUCUUAAUAGGCCUGAGUAGGUCUUAAUCAUUCAGAUGUGGAACCAAGACUAAAUAUCAUUUACAGAUAUUCUUGGGUAGGAAAAAAUUCACCACCACUCUAUCCACAAUCACCUGUCACCACCACCAACCACUUCCACCAUCACAACCAACAUCACUACCAACUACACUGCUAGCCGCUACCACACCUACCACUUCCAUUAUUCUAAUUAUAUCCACCGCCAACUAGGGGUGUUCACGGUUUGGUUUUUAACCAAACUGAACCGCGAUCCAAACCAAAUUGAUUAAGAAAACCUAUAUUUGGUUAGGUUUGGUUUGGAUUUGAAUUUUAAAAAAUCGAUACUAAUUUGGUUUAGUUUGGUUUGGUUUUACUCUAAAAUAACCAAACCGAACCGAUAUACAUAGAUAUUAUAAUUAUUUAUAUGUUUUUCAUAAAUGUAAUCUAAAUAUUUGUUGCAUUUUAUAUUUUAAUCAUGAUUUAACUUUAGUCGUAACACAUUCAUUCAUAUGUCUUCAUCUAGUUGACAAUACAUUAUGAAAUUCUAAAUGAAUUUCAUAUUUUGAAUGACAAAUGAUACUAAUUGUGAAAAUAAUAUCUUGUUAUAUAUUGAAAUUUACUGCUGAAAUUCAUUAGAUUAUACACAAUCACUAAUUUUAACUUUCUUUUGAACCUUGUUGAGCAAGAAGUUUAUGUGUUCACCUUUUGGGGGUAUAUCAUAUCAUUCUAUUAAAUAUAGUUUUUAAAUAUUUUUCUAAAAGCGUUCAUAUGGUGUUAUCAUGGCUUUGCCGAAGUAUAACACUCAAUUGACAUCAUAGUUUCAAGAUUGAGCUACAACACUCGGUUGACAUCUCAUAUGUUAGAUUGGAUUUGUUUUUUUAAAAUUUUCAACUUUUAUCAUUAACUAAAGUUAUAAACCAAAAAACCCGAAUCAAACCGAACUAAACCAACAAGAACCAAACCGAUGGUUAUUUUUUUUUUUUUGGUUUGGUUUGGUUUUAGAAAUUUAAAAACCAAUUAAGUUGGUUUGGUUAUGGUUUUGACCAAUAACCGACCCAUAUCGACCCAUAAAUACCCCUACCGCCAACGCCGCCACCAUCAACUCCUACCAGUCGACCCCUACUACCAACCAACUCAUCUAUCAGAACUAGCACUACCACUAAUAACCACCAACACAUCAUCAACUUCCACACAUCGCUAACAACCACUAACACAUCAUCAACUUCCACACAUUCUGCGAACACCAUCACCACCACUGUCACCAGCAUCACCACCUCUACCACCACCAUCCGCUACACUCGCUACAGUAUCUAUACUAACAACCAUUCCACCAUCACAGCUAACAGCGUCUCCAACGACCACCAACACAUCAUCAACCAUCAUGCAUACAGUUUUCCGUCACCACGAUCAACACCUCCAACUACUAACAUUAACCAACUUCACAUCACAACCACCACCACCACUACCAAUCGCCAAUAUCAUGAUAGUUACUACAAUGCCAACUAUCUCUACUAUCACAACUAUCAACACCAACGUUGCUAAUCACUAACAUCAAUUAAUUUAUUAGAACAACCACCACCAUUAAAAACCAUCUCCACUAUCACUAACAAACAUAAAUGUUUCUUUUUUUCAUCAAAUAAUAAUAUAAUUGCAUUAAAUUUAAAAAAAUUCUAAUAUAUAAUUAUAUUAUAUUUAGAAAUAAAUAAAUUUUGCACAUUCAGAUAUUGAGAAACACUCAACCUUAAUCAUUUAGUUUUCAGAUCUAGAGACAAUAUCUUAAUCAUUCAGAUGUACAUUCAAAAUUAUUCAAAUAUCUGAAUAUUAAUAAAAACAAAUGCAGUCUUAGCUGAAACACAAUGGUGUGGUUGUGUGAUACUUUAAAGGAGUCCUCGAAAGUCAAAGAAACUACGUGAAAACAUGGAAGUUUGAUGAUCACUUCUCAGAGUUGUUCUGAUCGAGAAACUAUAACAAUUAAGGAAAUAUAACCAUUAACAGCAUUCAAUGGAGGAGAAGUCAAUUACAAUUAUCCGUGAAGUAGAAUUUAAUACAGCUUGACUAUAUUGAAAGAAUCAUCUAUAUCUAUACUACAUUAAAAGCAUGGAACCCCUAACUUAAAAGUUUACGACAAUACCAUUCCUGUCAGCCUAAUUACCUACUAUCUAGUAAAAAAAAAAGAGGAAACUAAUUGGCAUAAAGAGAAACAAUGCAGAUGUUUAAUAGGAACAACCGGUCAUUGUUUUUAUCUGAACAAAAUAUGUGUUAUUUAAAAAAAAAAAAAGCAAGUAGAGGGGUAACUCUCAAAUCUCAAUCUCAUGCUUUUAUCCUACCAAGUAUGUUCUAUUUUUUAAUGCACUACAACAACAACAACAAACCCAGUAUAUUCCCACAUAGUAAUGCACUAACUUCCCUUUUUACCUAAUGAAUUGAACUUUUUAGUGAGAAUCUAAAUGAUUUUCAAACUUUGUUUAACAUCUGAUUCAUUAAGAUGUAUUAACAGGUUGAGUCUUUAAAAAAAACACUUAAUGGGUUGAUAUCUUAACCAUUCAAAUUCAGACCUUCAUUAAGUGAAAGCAAAUGAAAAGGGAUUGUAGUGUAAAGUCUAUAAAUAUGGCUUAGUGUAACAAAUGCAGUUGACACAAUUCAAUACUCCUAUUAGCAACCUAUUUCACCUGUUUCUCCAGCUCAUCCAUAACAUCUGUAAAUAAGUCUUUUGUUGUUGAUCCUGAAGUAUUUGAUGAGACAGCUAGAUAUGCAGCAAAAUCUUUAAUCUACAAACACAAAAUAAAGAAGGAAAUUAUUGGAAAAAAAAUUUAAAAAGACGAAAAGGGAACUCAUGAAGGUAAUCACUUACUGAACACAAGAAAGAAAAACUAACUUUGAUGCAAUAAUCACGCCAGUUAAUUUUUGCAUUAAGUAUUCCCGCAGGAACAUGCUCUUCCAUCAGUUUUUGAAACUCAUCACGAUUUUUACGUUCAGCUUUCCUCAAUUUUUCCUAUAUGAAUCAACAGUGUAUGCCCGGUGAGAAAGAGAUAAAUCAAAGUCUCCAAACAUAAAUUUAAUUUUAACCCCCGAGUCUAACAAGCAAUAUACCAUCCGCCAUUUCCUUUGCUCCUCCUCUUCGCUCUCUAAAUCACGUAUGUAUUCCUAAAACAGAAAAGGUUGCAACAUAACUUUAAAACUGAGGCGUACAAAUGAGAUGUUUGGAGAAAGUUAUUUAUGAUGUAUUAGAAAAAUGAGUAGUACCUGGAAAAUCUCCAAGCGUUCGAUUCUCUCAAGGCGGGAGCAUCUUUCAUCAGUUUCAAAGCAGUCCUGAACUUUCCGCCACUGGCUACUGGCCUGAACAAAAGAAGUCAGCAACAAUAGAACUAUGAAAGUUCUAUCUCCUGGAAAUAGAAAAAAAUAAUCUAGGAACUAAUGCUAAAUCCACUAGAACAAAUACCAUAAUAAAGUCACAAGAUUUUAAAAAUUCUAAGUACUCCACUCUAUUGCACUUCUGCUCCUCUAAUGCCUUCGCAUGCUCCUAAUAAAAUCCAGUACAAAGUAAAAAAAAAAAAAAAUUUCUCUAUAAAGAAGACAAUAUUUAAAAAGUGACUUUGACUACACUUGCAUGAAUGUAUUGAAAAACUUUUUCUAUUUUACGACGGAGGGGGGAGAGGAAGAAGCAUACCAUAGUUUCAAGUUUCAAGAAAAAUUACAUACAAUACAUGGAAGUCUGUUUAAAUUGGAAUUCAAUGGUGAACAAAUUUAAAUGUUAUACCUUUGAGAAGCCAUUAAAAAUGUAUUCAAAGAACACAAGAUUUUAAGUUGAAUAUCUACAACAUUCCUUCUUUCUACUCUUUAAGCAAAACAAAAAAAGGGAACAAACUAAAUGACAUCCUAUAAAGGAAAGGAGUGGAAUGACUGUUGUUAAUCAAGUGGACCAGCGUCUAACUCAACUUUAAAAACUAGGUCAGGUGGUGAAGAUUGUCCAAGAUCAUAUAAGGAAACUACAGUACAUACACCUUACUAGUGUGGGAUUCUCAUACAUUAAUCCCACACCAUGACUAGACAUUUGUAGCAUCAGUUAACCUAGGUUGGCUAACAUCUAAUAGUCUAACAUUAAUAUAGAUCUACCUCUAAUACCAUGUUUAAGAAAUUGGACCUUGUUUCUAUCUCAAAUGAAAGGCUAACUUAAUUUGUGAGGAGCCAAAGACCAUAUAAGGAAACUACAGUCCGCACACUUAGUUUUUAACAUAUAGAAGCUUACAAGAAAGUUCUGCAAAAGGAGCUUCACCUUUUUCUCAAGUUCCUCCACAUAAUCUUCAAAAAGGUCCUCACGGUCUUUAGCUUGCUCAACAGCUUUAAAACGUUCAUCAUGUUCGAAUAUAGAGAUUGCCUUACUGAAUAAUCAAUAGCAAAUAGUUAGUGGAUCAAAUGGAACUUACACAAGUAAUGGAUCAACUUCAAGGUACCAAACACAUACAAACAAUGACCAAGAUUAGAAAACAAGAAGCAGACAACUUAACAUUACAAGUGAAAGACAAACCUCCAUCUUGACGAUGGUGAUAGCUCCUUGCAAUCCUGUAAGAUUGAGAACAACGGACAUUGUUGUGAAAAAUACCACUUAUUCUUUUGAACAGGUCAAAUACCAGUCUCUAACACAUCAUGAAUAUUAUGAUAAUAUCUUUUUAUUUUUGAAACUGGUAAUGUGAAUAUCACGAUAUAUCAAAUGAAAGACACCACAAAAGAAAAUUUCACUUACUUCUAACAUUAUCCUGAAAUCUUCCCAAGCUUUUUUCUGCUUAACACGCCUCUCUUCAGCUUCCAGUGUUUUCUUUUGGCUCAGAUACUGAUACUGGAACAGACACACAACUUCAAAAUGAUCACUAUAGACCUUGGGUGUGUUUGAUAUGAAGGAAAAUGUUUUCCUAGAAAACAAGUUGGUUUCUUACUUGUUUUCUUAUGUUUGGUUGAUGAAAGGAAAACAUUUUUCAGAAAAUGUUUUCUAGUGUUUGGUUGGUGAAUAAAAAAAUAUUUUUCAAAAAAUACAUUUGAGAGUUGUAUAAACAUUUCAACUUAAGAGUGAGAUUGAAAGAGAGUUUUGGAAAAUGUUUUUCCUACUUUUUGAAGGGAAUUAAUUUUCCUUAUAUUUAAGGAAAAUAAGUUGAUUUGGAAAACAUUUUCCAAAAUAUUUAAGUCAACCGAACAUGAAACAAUUGUAUAUCAAACAAAAUCCAUCUUUUUGCAAUACGGUAUGCUGAAACAUUGAAGCAGCAAUUAACCCAUUCCAAUGCCGACAUGGAGAGAUACCUCAUUAAAAGCUUGCUUCCGCUCACAAAGGGAUUUUAGAGCACCAUAUCUCCAGUCAUUAAUUACUGAGCUCAUGCCUUGACAAAUACAAUUCAUGUCAAAUGAUCUCCCUCAAUUGUUUGGUACGCACAAAACAGUCAAGUAAUAAACCUGAUCCCACGUGCAAUCAGACCUAAUAUUUACAGAUUCCGGAAGAGUUUUGAAUGCACUCUUUGCCUCCUAAAUAAAUCAGAUACUUAAAAUAGAAAUAAGAGAAAUUUCGAGAACAUACAUUAAAUGGGACAAAAAGCAAUAAUCAACUAUACCGUUUUGCUCUUAUAAACUAAUGGUCCCAGCUCGACUAUUUUCUCAUCUGAUGGAGUAGCACCUCUAAUUUCAGUUACUGCAGCAUCUUUCUUGACAUUCUGCAUUUUAGGCACAACAUCAAGCGCAAAGGACAAAAGCAAACCUCAUUGGAAUUUCGAGCAUAUUCUUCACCUGUUAGCAGUUGACUAACAACUGCACUACAAAAUUGUUAGAUCAACAUCCAGCAUAACAGCUACGAAAAGCUUUCUUGGUGUUUUAACCAGUAACCAGUAGUAAUUAACUAAUCGCAUAAGUAUUUCAGAAGGACAAAGUACCUCUCCAUUCUUUGAAGAAAAUCCAUCACCAUACACUACUGCAUCUUGAGUUGUAGUAGUCUCAGAACUAUACAAAAAUUGAAUUCCAAAUAAGAAGCAACACAAACCAGAGGAAAAUUUAUAACAUACAAAUCUGAAAACAUACACCGGUGGCGCGACAGAAUUUCCCAAGGUUACUACUAUUCCAAUUUUCUCCGAAUUAGCAACAGCUGGCGAAUCAGGUUCUGAAGAAUUCUUCAUUUCGACAGUUUCAAUCAUUGGAGAAGAAACCUUACCAAAUAAACUUGAUGAUUCUGAAGCCAUAAUAGUUGGUAAGUUAGCAGCUGGUGACACAGCAAUUGGGCUUGAUUUAGCACCGUGUGCCGAGACUAAUGAACCAUCUGCACCCGGGGAUGAUGUUUUAAUAACAGAAAUAGAUCCAAAAUUAGAAGCGUGCGAAAUGGUGUCUUUUCACGAGCCAACUGUGAAUUUAUAAAUAAUUGAACUUUAUGAGAAUAGAGUAUCCAAGAAAACAGAAUAUUGCCCUUUCUUAUCAUGCUAGCAACUGUGAAUGCAUAAAGAUUUUAUGAGAACUAGAGCAUCCAAGAAAACAGAAUAUUUUCCCUUCUUAUCAUGAUAUUUAAAGCACAAAACACGGAAUAUUUUUCCUUCUUAUCAUGCUAUUUAAAGCACAGAACAAUCCCUUCUUAUCAUGCUAUUUAUAGAACGGAACAAACUCAUAUUGGAUAUAAAUAUAACAUCACCUUGACUUCAUCAGGCAUUAACCUUGUUGUAGUAAUACCUACAGAAAACAAACAAAGCAAUCAGCAUUAUGCACAAGUAACACACAAAAGUACCCACUGUAGAAGAACAAUUGGAAAGAGGCCAAGAAAAUAUAUAAGUUACACACUUUCUUCCCUCAGGACUUGUAAAUUCUCUCUAAUGAGUUGAUGCAUUUGUCCUCUGUCCCAAUGAAAAUAGCAUGAAAGUAGGUCAAGUCAAAAAACAGAACAUAAAUAGUACCCUGAGAGUAGAAAUCAGUCACUUCCAGCAGUACAAUACUUGAUGGAAGUGUUAAAAUAUGAAUGAUAUAAUGUCCCACAUGGAAAAGGACUAGAAUGUACUAUGUAGAAUAUAACUACAAGCAGGGUGGAAACAUUGCCAAGCUGCGGCUGAGCUACAGCUAUCCAAGGGUGAUCUUCUGUCGUUUCUGAGUAUUUUUAAUGAACACCCAUGCUACAAAAAACAAGACUGAGUGUGACAGUAAGGGUGUUCAAAUCCUGCACUAAGGUUCUAAGUUCCAUGCUCAACACAGCCCCCCAUAAUUUUUUUUCCAUUUGGACACGUUUGAAACUCAUAAACUACAGUUAUGCUUUUUUUCGAUGAAUCAAUUUCUGAACAUGUGUUUUUUGUCCCAAUUAGCUCUUGCAAAAGAGCUAGUAACUAGCAUGCCAUGUAUAAGAAUUUUGUUUAAAUAAACUUACAGGUAAAUUUAUAAAGUGGUUAUUAUACUAGCUAUCUUGCAUGGGGCAGAGUGUUUGGCUGGUCAAGAGCUCACAUGUUCGAAAGAUAAACGUAGCAGAAAUGAGGAUGUUGAGAUUGGUGUGUGGGCAUACUAGGAGAGAUAGAAUAAGGAACAGAGAUAUGCGAGAAAAAGUGGUAGUGCUCUUUGUGGUGGACAAUUGACAAGAAUACUAGAGGGUUGGGGAUAAAGAACCUAAAAAUUCAACAUAAGGCUCUCAUGAUGAAAUGGUUGUGGAAAUAUGCAAACAAUAACUAGCUGCUAUGGAGGAAAGUGAUUGGGGCUAAACAUCCUGAAGAAGAUAGAUGGAUGACAAAAGAAGUGACCACACCAUAUGGGAUUAGCCUCUAGAGAUCUAUUAGAUCUAUUAGACACUAGUGGAAUGAAGUUAAAAGCAACUCAAAGGUUAAAGUGAUGGAUGGAAACAAGACUAGGUUCUGGAAGGAUAAUUGACAUGAGGAUGGGAAUACGAAAGUGAUUUUUCCAGAUUCUACAACUUGGUAUUGUUUCGAUAGAGGACUAUAGCAGAAUUAUGGACACCACAUGGGUGGAACUUCAAUUUCAGAAGGCAACUUAAUGACCGGGAGGUAAUGAGAGUAGUUGAAUUGUUUAAUACCGUGGACUUAUUCAAUGGACUGCAGACAGUGAAGGACGUACUAUGGUGGAUGGGAAAUGAAAAACGAAUGUUCACUGUCAACAAAGCCUACAAGAUAAUGAACCAAAUAAAUAAAUCACCUGAAUCCAAGAUGGCCAUGGAAGCAAAUAUGGAAAAGUAGGAUACCUCACACAGUGUCGUGCUUUGUCUUUGUCUGGUUACUGACCAAGGAAGUAGUUCUUACACAAGAUAAGGUCAUGAAGAAAGGGAAAACCUUGUGCUCCAGAUGUUUCCCCUGUGGAGAAACUUUAGAGACGGUUAACCAUGUAUUUCUACAUUGUAAGUACACCCAACAACUUUGGAGAAUCGUCUUAAGACUAAAAGGAAUUUCCAUGACAAUGCCUAGGAAAGUAUCCGAGACUUUAAUGUGCUGGGAGAAGUAGGUAUACAUGCGAAGGACAAAAGUAGAUGGAGAAUUAUCCCUGGUGCUACAUGGUGGGCUAUAUGGAAAGAAAGGAAUUCUAGAUGUUUUGAGAGCAUAGAGAAUAGUGUGUAGAAGGUUAAACUCAACUAUAUUUUGCUUUUAUGUUUUUGGUGUAAUCAACUAUACUCUAAUGAUACUGCCUCGAUAAUUGAUGUUCUAGACUAAAUUUAGAUAUAGAACAGUCGAUUUAGGAGUACUCUUGUAUAUAAAGGUUUCAGUACAACCCAUGUACUGUGUGAUAUAAUACAAAGUUACCAAGUUCAAAAAAAAAAAAGAUAAUAAUUUUUAAAGUACUAAAAGUUUAUAAAAUAACAAAUAAAGCAAUUAAAUCUGAGUUCAAAUUGGGUGGGUUGGGUUAUGACCCGCAUUUUAGAGCAUUUCAAUCCAACCCAUUUCAGUCCAAGUAGCUUUAGGGUGGGUUAAUAACCCACCCAUUUAUUAACUCAGACCUCUUUGAUCCAGCCAACCCCGCCCAUUUGACACCUUUAGUUUAAUAGAAGUAAAGUGGAGCAUGCUAGAACACAUACCAGAUCUAUUGAGUUGAAGUAAAGUGGACUAUCAAAGGACACACAACAAUCUGUUGAGCUGUUGGAUUAGAGGGGAUUAGCAAGAGUUAGAAGAAAUGGGGGAGAACAAUCCUUCCUUAUAUUUGGUGGACUGUAUGGAGCAAGAAAAUUUGAAGGUAUUUUGAAGAUAAAUAUAAUUCAAUUCAGAAAGUUAAAUGGAAUAGCAUUGUAGAUUUUUGUUUUUUGUUUAAGGGACAAUGUGUAUAGGAUACCUAACAGGUAGUAGAUCUCUUCAAAUCCUCGCAUUAUUUUCAUUAUUUUUCAUUUCUUUUGGACUGCUAGCAUAACCUUAACGCUAACUUAUACAAAGUAAUAUCUCCAAAAAAAAACUGUUUAUCUCAAAAAGAAAAGAAUAAAAAUGCUCAAACUUCCUUACAACUCCAGUUGUUGGUUCCUUAAUACUUGUCCCUCACAACCAACCAAACUUUCUUUGAUAACCGUCGUGUUUGGGCCAGCUUGCACCUUGACUAGUUACACCAGGUACUGCUACCUCCCACCAGCACAGAUACUGGGUAACUCUGUCGAUCAAGGCUUGGACAGAUGGUAAGAAAUCACCUAGUGUUUUUAUCUCUGUUGGAAAUUAAACCUGAGACCUCAUGGUUCUCAAUCUACUUCAUUAACCAUUAGGUCACACUCUUGGGUGCAAGUGUGCAACUAGCAAAAUUAUUAUUCUAUAAACUAGAAUGAGAAGUGUGGACCACAAUAUUAUAUCAAGUUUCCUCUCUCCAUAUCGCCAUAGAGUUACAAUAACAUUACAUCAAUCAGGAAGUAAAUAAAAUUAUUUAAAAUAGACCAAAUAUAAUCCUUCCGUGUAUGCUUAAACACAUUUUUUCAGAACAAUAGUGUUAAAUAUAAAAUAUUUUAGAACUAUAUUGGAAAUAAAAGGUCAAUGUAAAUCCCAAAUGAAGCCUACAUAGUAUAGUAAGAUCAAGGAAAUCUGCUCGCUAAACAAACAUUCAACAGAAAUCACAUAUACUUAGGAAAGAAAAAGUGGUUCUACGAAGCUUCAUAGAAAAAGAAUUGUGUACUUCUUUUUUCAUUGAUAAGCACAGGAAACUGGAUAAAACUACCCAUAAAAAUCUCGAUGAAACGAGACCUCACCUCCAUUUCUGUCAUCAGCUCUCAAGGUUUCUCCCAGGUAGAGAUUCUUGUUCUUCUAUUAUAAUAGUAUCUAAAAAUCAAUUAAAGAAUUGUAAGAAUGUUAUUAAUUGGUUGGAGUAAUAAAGCCAUAGGAAAUAUGACAACAUUAGCAACCAUAAUUGGCUUACUGUUCAUCAAAAGAUGCUGAAAGUAGCAAUACCUACUAGCAUUUAGCCACAUGUAAAAUAUGUAUGAUGAUAGAUAAAUAGGGUCAAAAUGAAGUUAUCGGUAGAGGUGUAUCAAGUUCUGCCGAUGAACAGUCAGGUAAAAUUUGGUAGCGGUGAACGGCAGCCCAUAUGAUUACUUUGACAAAGAGGACUGAAACAAAGGGGCCUUUUAUCUCCAGUGCUAAUGGAAGCAGAAUGAUGUACAAAGCACUAGAUGUGGAUACUUGAGGGAUUUCUUGGCAGUGAUGGGGGCCAACAUAUCCACCACUUGUUCAUAGACAAGACAUUAAGUGUUUCUGAUGCAGACAUUAAACUAUUCAUAUAAGUAACCUAUGUGAAUAUAAUCCAAAAGAAAGAAUUACGGAAAGCCAAAUCGGCAUGCUCUUUUUUCUGUCUGGAGAACACAAAGUGGUAAAAAGAUUGGAUCUGAAUGAAAAUGAUAUUUUUACAGAGCUUCUUUUCUUGUGUACCGCGGUUUUACACCUUUUUUGUUCACUGGAAUCUUAAUUUUCUUACUAAAAACUAUCAUAGAAUUCAAAUGUUGACUCUCUCAGUCAACACACACCCAUUAACUUAAGCAUGUUACUUGUUGACAAUAUUUAUGCAAAACGGGUACAAUAAAACACAUUGAAUUCUCACCAGAACAACCAAGGGAGCUGCUAAUUCUCCAGUCUUCUGCACAAUUGUCUCAGAAUUCACAUUAUGAUUACUUAUUGGCAUCCAGGGUUGUACCCCUGAUGGAAACCUAUGAUCAUUUAUCUGUGUCUGAUACUGGAAGCUAGAAGAAUCUGCAUUUACCUGCUGUUAAAGACGAUAACAAAAUGUAUUUCAUCAAUAUAUGAAUGGAACAUCGGAAACCAAUUGACAAUAACCACAAAAGAUCUUCCCAAGGCCUUACAUUAUAUGAAGAAGAAAGAGGUAAAUUUGGGUCACCAGAACCAGGCAUGUGGUUAUUUAACAUCGGAAGAUUUCCCUGAAAAUCAUGGGGAGUAGGUGGUCCCUGAGGCAUACUAUGCAUUCCUACUACAGGUCUACCAGUAACCUGUUGCAUAGGUUGAGGAAAUUGGAUUUGAGAAGGUUGAGACAUCGCAACAUUUGCAUGUCCAAGUGGAAAAAAUUGUUGAGAUGACUCGGAACCAUAAGGUUGUGCCUGCUGGGAUGGAAGCAUAGGCUGGAAUUGCUAAAGAUGUGGGGAAAAUAGUUAUCAUAAUGUCUCUGCAUUCAAAAGUCAUUUAUUCCUCCCCCAAGCCUCCACAACUUUACCUGCAGUGACAUGGAUGGAAUUGCACCAGGAGCAGGACCAGCCAGAGGAGGUAUAAGAGGCUUCUCAACCAAUAUCCAUGCAAGGAAGAACAGAUGAAAUCAGAAUAUAGCUACUUUUCAAUCAUAUUUAGAAAGCUUGAAUCCAUGCGCAACUCCCUAAAUUAAUUUGAAGGACAAGGCAGAAUUUUGAAGCCAAACCACAUAGUAACAUGAAACCCUUUUCUUCAUCUAAUAAAUAGAAAGCUUGAAAUGAGAAUAAAGAGAGAUAACAAAUAGAUGACCUAUCACAGCGUUAGACGAGAAUGGACAAAAUGAUAAGCAUCUUUACCUUAUGGCUUGGGUUCAACAGCUACUGAUGGCCUAAGUAUCUUUUCUUCGGGUGUAAAGAAGCACGUCUGUUAAUGCAAAGCUAUGAUCAUGGAACUGAAACGUGAGGUAUGAGUAGGUAUUAGGAUAACCGAAAAAUACUUAGACCGGAAUAGGUUGAGCCUCACUCUUCCCUUCUAAUGUUCUAUGUCAUACUGACAUCACUACUAGAAUCUGAAAGACUGACUUGGUUAUUCUCUCUGUCAUCUCCCCCUUAGCUUCAAGCCAUCAAAUUAAGUUUGGGAGAUCCCUUACUAGACUCUAAACUAAAGUACACUCACUGCACUCUGGGUCUGGAAAACUAUUAUACACACAUAUCAUGGAACUUAACCUGAAUGAAUACACCUGAAAGUGGAAAACCCACUGUUAAUACUACCUUCUGAGAUACACUUUAUCAUUCUAUAGACCCAGUAGUCAUCAUAUAAUACUUGCAUACUUACUAACUUCAGGUCUUCAUGGGUAUCCCCAUAGUCAGAGUGCACAGCCUCUAGUGCUUUAACUCUUAUUUCUAUUAGUUCAACCUUUAAAAACUCAAACUUAGAAUCUAGCACUCAACAUGGAUAUCACCAAGCCUUUAAUGAAUCAUACCACUUCCGACACAGACUACCAAUAUCGCGACUCCAAACUUGCAUCUCUCUACUAUGAGAAUCAAGAUCAUAUAAAAAGGCUUAACACUAUCAAUCAAAUCUCCUUAACUUGGAUAUUUAGAAAACCAUAUACCAUCUAACUAGUCUUUCUCCACCUAGCAACUCAACGGUACCACUCGUCACACAAAACGUGUAAUAGUCUUAGAAAAUACCGCAACCCCUUACGCAUGAUUCUCACUUGGAUACCAUGAAAUAGACAUCAAGAAACACUAGUACACUAGAACUUCCAAACAACAAAUAAUUGAUCUUGACCUUACGGUCUUCCUUAUCAUAACUCAUUAGCACGUACUAUUUUAACACAUCAAGCCUACUAAUUUUUUCCCACAAAAUAUACAUCAUUACUCUCAUGCCACUAUUUUUAUCACCACAUUCUACAUUAAAUUUAAGCAUAUAGUCCUGUACCAAUCAUCUAUCACUAUUGAAAAAUGCAACAUAAUAUGCUAGUCCAUAAAAUUUGGGACAUACUAUACAAGCGCCUCAAAAAUCACUACUUACCUUCUCACAAGUAAUACUAGUUUACAAUUACCGACGAAAAGAAGGUCAAGGGGUAAAGUUGCAUAAUAGACAUGAUCAACCUUAAUCUUAUAUUAUAACCCCAUACAAUCUUUUCUACUUAUACGGAUUUCUCACCUCAUACUUACUUACCCAAACAUACAUUUAGACUACCUUCAAAUUCCACAAACAACCAUGAGUCUAUACUUACAACUUACUGGCUAAUAUAGCCAUUUUCACACUUUAAGCAAUCGAGAAAUCACCCUAACUAACAACUCCUUCUCUACCUUCUACUAAACUAACACACAAGGACAAAUCACCUCUUUCAAUCUCAUGCAAACUGAUUCAGCUAUAUAUAUAUAUAUAUAUAUAUAUAUUAAACUAACACAAGAACAACAAGUUGGACAACAAGUUGCUAGUGAAUCGAAAUAGGCCUCACACGGCUUCACUAGACUUUACUUUUGUAUUUUUAACAAGAAAAUGAGAUGAAUGACAAGUCAACUAUGCUAGUGAAUCGAAAGAUCCCCACAGGGCAAGAUUAAUACGCAAUAUCCAAUGAACUAAGAAUACACAUCUUACUCUGUAUAAAUAAAAUAGAGUCAAACACUUCCUCCACGGACUACCAUACCAUCCACACAUGCUACUAGUUACCAUAUUAGUCUAUCACCAUAAGGGGGUAAAUCAUUCUCGAACAUCGGUUAUUCAACUAAAAUAUUCAUUUACACAAAAGUCACCCUCGCUCUGACUUCUAACUUUGUGACUUCACAUCACCAACUUCUUGGCCAAAUUUCACUACCAAUAGGUCCUGAUAACAACACUUUAACGCAUACUACUAUUCAGGUGGAAAUAUAGUUCCAACAUUCUACUACACAUCAUCCCCCCUUAAUCAAGACAUUUGUAAUAUAAAUUUGAAGGGGACUAAAUGCAAUUAAUACCUCAAGCCGAAAAGCACGAUUCCACCAGGAUCAAUGUUUACAUCGGAAUCAAUACACAUUAAAGUACUAACGAACUCUUCUCAAGUCCUUGCACAGAUUUUAACUCUUAUAUGGUUCAAUUAGAAAGGAACAUACCAUUUAGAUUCUAAACUUCUGCACUUGAAUCACCUCAAUAAUGAGACAUAUCUGAGGACAUUAGAGUAAGGAAAGAAUUUGGGAUGACUUUUUUUUUACUUUCGUAUGGGCGACACCAUAGCACGAAUUAGAGUAUGAAAGAGGAACAUUCUGACUCUAUUGCAUGAAGUAGAACAUGAAGAAAGAGAGACAUUCCUAAACGCCUAGUAUCCUCCUACUUAUGAGUAUGGCGUGCUACACACCCAUAAAUAAGACUCUACCCGAUGCAAUUUCACAGACACCCUAGGCCCAUGAACUGUGCUUUGAUACCAAGUUUGUCAUGACCUGAACUGGGGCUCUGACCGUGACGAGCAUUCCGAACCAUGAAGGCCCGAAACACCCCUAUCUAUCUGGCAAUCAUGCACAUAAUUCAUAUGAUAAUAAGAUAUGUAGAAGAUACACAAUAUUAUGAAAAACAUGGUCAUAAAUCAAAUGAAAUCAACAAAGGGGAAAUGAUGUCCCACAACAUAUAUCGACAUCUGAACAAUCGUCUAUGAAAUCUCUAAAACAUGACUGAAAUAAAUUACUGUCUGAAAACUGGGACAAGGCCCCCAGUAGACCCAAAACUACUAAAUGAUAAAUGAAUUGACAGACAUCAGGCCUUCCAAAAUAUAGAAGUCUCACCACUUGAUUCUGCAAAUCUGUCGGAAGAGAUCUACUGGUUAUUUGGACCCCUAAACUAUGCCUCCAAACCUGGGAGGGAAAGUGUUCAAUACAAAAGUACUAGUACGCAGAGAAACCAAAAACAAAAUAUAAUGUUUUUUCCAAAUAUAGGUGAGAGCUAUUAUAAAGCAGUUCCAUAUCAAAUCAUUUGAAAACACAUGGGCAUAAGUUAGGGUGUGCGUCGCACACCUUAUGGCAUAAGUUAGGGUGUGCGUCGCACACCUUAUGCUGUACGACAUACUCCACUUUGUAAAGCCAUAACUUCUUCCUCGGGUGUCGGAAUUUCGCAAAAUUGGUAUCGUUGGAAAGAUAAUUUGAAUACCUUUCAUUUGAUAUAUAGUAGGCACUGUAAUUCAAUAUAUACAAAGAUUAAUGGUCGAUUGAAGUUAACCUAAGUUUCAACGUUCACUAAAAUUCGAACGAUAGGAAAACUUUCAACUUGUCCUUGAGCUUGGGGACCUUUAUGAUCUCAAUUCAUGCUAAAAUAGGUUUCUACACUACAUAAUUUAUUAACACACUAAACUUGCAUUGGAUUUAUGGCUUUUGGAACCUUUACGUGAAGAAAAUGACGAUUUUCGUUCUCGUCCGAAAUGCGGGGUGUUACAAAAUUUUGUUAGAAAAUGGAAAAUACAACAAUAUGGAGGACAUUUUAGCUGCACCGUACUCCCAAUAUACACCGUCCUCCUAAUACACUAAACUGAACAUUAAAAGUACUAAUGCAUUUCUUACCUGCACCGUACUCCAAAUACACUAAACUGAACAUUAAAAGUACUAAUGCAUUUCUUACCUGUUGGUGUGUAGCAUUCAAAAGUUUUAUUGUCUUUUGUCGGAAGAUAGCCACAACGACGGUUUCAAGAAUGAAGAUUAAACUUAAAAGAUGCCAUGCUCGCUCUGGAGUUCCUGCUACAUGAUACAACAUGACUCUACAAUGUUGAAGCCACUUUCCUAAUCCUUGGAGUCUAAGUUCUUACGAGAAUGAAAUAUGAUUAGGUAACACAUCCUCAACAUUAUUUGAAUUAGUGACAGGAGGGUUACUGUCGCGAUGUUCUCGAUCAGCGUCCAAACUACUUCUCUGCAACAAGGCUAGAAUCUUUGGGUCUAAUCCAUUCUCCUUCAGCAUCACUGCAAAAUUAGGAUCAAGCCCUUUAUCUUGCAAUAAAUUAGCUAAUUCACGAUCAGUGUGUCUUCCUUUCUGCUUUAAUAUAGAUGUAAUCCUGGGAUCACUCAACUUUUCUUGAAAUGCUAGUGCCAAAUUCAAGUCGAGUAUCUGUUGGUUUGCAGAAGUGGAUUUACUAGAAUCACCACCUUGGCUUUCAAGUCCACUGCUAGAACAAACAACCAAUGAAAUAUUAUGCUCUAAAUUUCUAUCAACAUAUGAGGAUCCUACUUCAGGCUCUUGAACAACUGAACGACAGGAACUACUACGUAGAGCUAGACUUGGUCUUCCACUGUCUAUGCUCUUAUCACUAUUAAUCCCCUCAAUGUUAUUCCAGGUACUGCCAUCACCAGUGCAAGGCAUAGUUGCAUUACCAAGAUGACCAGCAUCAGCACUUCUAAUGCGUUUGACACUUGAGCCACACCCCUCAGAAGAGCUUACGGAGCUAUUUUGGUCUUUUCUGCGGAAACCUUCUCUACGGCGGAUAACUAUACUCUGCAAGGCAUCUUGUUAGCUGCUAAUGGGUCUGUAACUGAUAAAUGCUGUGAAACAGCAGCACCCAACAGCACAGAUGCUACAACUACAUAACUGAUACAACAAAAUUGUUGCAAUAAAAGAUUAGAAUAUUUUUUUUUGAUAACAAAAGAUUAGAAGUUUCUAUUCAACAAAUAAUAUUAAAAGGGAUGCAUAUGCCACAAGUAUAAGAAGAUUUGAUUAUGGAAGAAAAUGAAUUAGCAUAGGUUAACAACAAACCAGUAAUGAACUCCAAAACAGACCAGGAACACCCGAGAUGUUCCGACAACAAUAAGUAUGAUGACUCAGCUUUUCAAAAGCUUAAAACCAUACAAGAAAGCUUCCAAGUUCCAAUCUAAUUGAAUGAAAAGAUAGUGAAUUCAUUACUUACCACAAAGAAAUAAGAAAUUAUUUCACAAUACGAGUCAGAAAAGGAGACAGAUAUAUGUAGGAAAUUAACUACCAAGGAUUAUCAUGGCAGCUGAUGUUGUAGCCCCAAGCCAGUUUGAUUCCUUUGUUGUCAGACCAUACAGGAUCGAAUACACAAGAAGUACUACAAGUGAACCAAUAUAUAGAAGUCCAAGAUUGAGAGCCCUGCAGAGCCCAAGUUCAAAGUGAAGAAGAGUAAAUUAUAGACUUCAGAGAAAAUGUUGAAAAGAUAGUGCAGAAAAUAUGAUGAGCAGUAUAAAUGAGAACCCACUGAACACAUAAUAUAACAAGGUGACUUUAUAAUCUAAAGCAGAAUUUAAAUUAAUUUGCUUAGCAGUGAGAUUUUAAGAUCUACUGUUUUUACUGGACUACUGGAGAGUGUGUUUUGUUCUCUCAGAGUUAGUAUUCCUUUUAUUCAAAUAGAUUUGAGUUACACCCAUUGUUUAGCGUUCUUUGGCUCUUAAUUUUAAAAGUCUGUUAGUUGAGAACAUUUUGGCCUAUCUUCAUAUCUUCCAUAUCUUAUAAAAAAAAUUAUGUUCCAUCCAGAAAAAGAGUUGUCAUAUUAGUCAUCCCUGUCCUUUAUAUAGAGCUCUUCCCAUCUUUGUUCAAAUCCCUAGCCAACAAGAAUGAUGUCCCCUUCAAAAAGUAUUACAUCUUACUCUGUCUUUCUAUUGCCUAUAAACAGUCUAGCACAUCAAUGAUGUCUUCUGCUAGAGCUAAUCAUCAUGUUUACACCAAAAAUAAAGAAGUGCUAAACUAUUCAAGUUGAUCUUCUGGACAUCCUCAAAACAACCCUUGUUUCUUUCUGUCCAAACUGUCCACCAUAUACAUGUUGAACAAUUUUCCAUCUCUCCUCCUUUAUUACAUUUACAUCCCCAUUCAUGCUGCUUAGUACUUUUUUAAUGCCACUAGGUUCUACCCACCUGAUCCCCUUCAGGUUGAAAACAUUCUCUACAGUUGCUCUGUCCGUUUCCAAUGUAAGAAAGAUGGUUGAUUAUGUAAAGAAAGGAUCUUGGGCCUAACUCAACCCUAAAAGCUAGCACAUGAGGGGAGGAUUGCUCAAGUCCAUAUAAUAAGACCGACAGUUAACUCCCCAACAAUGUAGGACUUUCACCUACUCUAACACCACCUUCACGCCCAGGCCCAAUAAGAGCGUGGUACGAGAGCUCAAACGUGGAUGGACCUGUUGUUUGAGAAGGAAUAUUAACUGCUGUUUGUAUGCAAGAGAGAAUAGAUAAGAUGUUUUUACUGAAUACAUUGGGUCUAUCAGCACAUACAGGUUCAUGCAUUAUGCCAUUAGGUUUUGCAGCAGUUCCAAUAUUUUCAGCAGCACCACAAGUUGAAUUUUGAUGCACUGCAGUAAGGAAAGAAAACUUAAACAUUAACUUGAGACAACAACACAAGCUUCUCAAAUGCAGGUUCUAGCAAGAACAAAGAUAACAAGCAAAUAGAAGGCAAUGAAGAUAAGGAUAAGUCUAGAUGAGCUUGGGGACAGGCUCCAAACUGAACACAGUGCUCGUUAUUCUUGUUGUAGAUAAGAUCAGACAACUUAUUAUUUUGACGUUAAGAGUUUCUUGUAGAGGAUGCUGAAUCCAUUUUGCAACUUUGGAGGCCUUGUAAAGCACAGAGAGGCUCAUUUUUGUAAAGAAAAUACUGCCCACAUAGUAUCUAUGCUAUCAUUUUUAAAAAAAUAUGGUGCUUGCUGGUUUUACCAAUAUCUUGUAUGCUUGUACCUUCCAAUGCAACCUCCCGGCGAAAAAACUAACCACCAAUAGGCAUCUUUUAGCAUAGAAGAUUCUAAGACUGUCUUACUAGGAAUUAGGUAAGUACAAGUUCUUGAAGGGAAAUUGUUUGCAUCAUUGAAGAUCAGAAAGCCAGGUAUAUAGGAGAUUAGACAUUUUAAAGAAAAAAUAACAGGUUUAAUAUCAGGAAAGACAUCAAAAACUCUUAUUUACAUAUAAAUGAUGGAUCCCAAAUAACUUCAGAAGUUACACACAAAAGGAAAAUGGUACAGAAACCAAUUCCACCUUCAUAAUAACUAUGUCUGCUUGAUGUAAGCAUAAACAUUAUCAAGAAAGACAUCAAAGACUCUCAUUGACAUAUAAAUAAUGGAACACAAAUAACUUCAGAAGUUACACGCAAAAGGAAAAUGGUACAGAAACCAAUUCCACCUUCAUAAUAAUUGUGUCUGCUUGAUAUAAGUAUAAACAUAAAGAACAUACUGACAUACCAAAAAAUUAUCAAAAUGUUCUACAAUGUAGUGCUAAUUUUUUUUGUUUUUUGAAAUUAAACGCAGUGUAUAGUUUAAAAAUGUGCAAACAACAUUUAAUGUGGCACGUGAAGCAUCAGGUACUGGAAGGAAAAUUUAAAACAUGGUGGAGGCAAAUGAAUCAAAUAUACUAAGACAAAGAAGGCAUUUGAUUGCAGAUCAAAUGGAAGAGUCUGCCAACCGACCAGAUUUAGGAGCAGCUCUGGUCCAUGCACCAUUUUGAGGUAAAUUUAUAUGGUUAAAAAUUUGGAUGUUACUUAAUAUAUGCACAAACUGAACAUGAACUGCCCGGUUAGACAAGUGCUUUUUGUAGCUACCCAGUGACAACCUUAGUGAAAGAAUACAUCAAUGAGAAGUUAACUCAGUAAGCUUAAUGAGCUUUCCCCUGUAAGGAAUGAAAGUGUGGAUGACCCGACAUCAAAUAUACGAUUGUUAUUAUACACACAAUCUCUAUACAAUAGCAACAACAUACCCGAUGUAUAUUCGGGCAGAAUAUAUGGAAACCAUACCUCUACCUCAAAGACGAGAAGAAAACGGUAGCACCAAUCCUCACUAAAUACUUCAUAAGAUAAAAAAACAGCCAAUACUUACAAAACCAAAUGAAGCAAAAGAAGUUCAUUUUCUUGAUCACCAGCAAGUAAAAGAAAUGUUUACAAUUGGAGAUUUAAAAAGGUUGCAAAAGAAAGAAGCAAACUUUCUAUUUAACAAGUGUCAAAGUGGGGAAAGAAUAAGAGUAAAACCAAUAAGUAUACGAGAAGUCUGAACACUAUAGUCAAUGAACAAAAUAUGAAUUGUAGUUUGGAAAUUUAGUAUCCAUCACUCCAACAGAGAAUCAGGACUUGCAAGAAGGUUGAAAGGUUUGCCUAUCGAGUUUUUCAAGAUUGUGAUUUGACCCUUUUUCAUAAGAAAGUCUUCAUCGAGGGUGUCUACCUUUCUUUUCAACAUGUUGAUCUCAUAAUUCAACAACAUGUUCAUCUCACUGUAGCUCUUAACUUCCUCCCACAUGAAAUCCCUCUCCUGAAAUACUUUUGGUAGUAUCGCCUUUACAACGCAAAGUUCCUUCAUGCAUUCUUGCAAAUCAUUGGUGAGCUAGUUGAUAUUUUCAUCCCUUUUUAGCACCUGUGAGAAUCAACCGUAAACCAUGAAAAACAAAAAAGACACAAAGAUCACCAAUAACAUUUCAUCAGAAAUUCAAAACAAACUCAUAGCCUAGAAGUUCAACCAAAUCAUGAAUCCUUUUUAACUAUUAAAAUUCAUAGUAGAUAACUCCUGAGCUUGUCCAAGAAUUAAGUAAGAUGAACGAGCAAAGUUACCAAAACCCCUUCGGGUAACUUUACCACAUCAGAGCAUAAUCAGAUCAAUGGAUUUGACGAUAUCACAAAGUUUAUCAUGUUCUUGGUUGGUUCAAGUGAUGACACAUUAAGGCGAUCAGAAAUUUCACAGAAGACUACCACAUGCCAGCAACUCAUGUAUACAAGUUCAUAAAGAAAUCUGUGAACUUUAGAUGGAACAAAGAUGAACCUAAAAUCAAAUAGAAGUAGAAAGCUAAUGCAGAGAGAGUAACAUGCGAACAGGCUAUCAUAUAUGAAGACAGGGUAUCCAAAGUUGAAAAAUAAAAACUAUUCAGUUGCAACGAGAUAUUAACAUUGCCUGCUUACCUGAAGUUUGAGAUAUUUCAACUUGGGUGUGGCAUAAGAAAGAGCAUCCAGUUUAUUUUGCACUUAACAUUGGAGAAUGUCGUUACCUCUAACUGUUAUGGCUAGAUUAGCCUGAAGUUGCUUUAUGUCCAUCUCCUCGGAAUAGAGCUUCUCCCUUAGCACAGUUGUCAGCAAAGUCUCUGAUUUAAGCCCUUUAACCUUUUCCUGGUAGUUUUCUCAGACAUAAUCUCUAUUGUCUUGAGAUACUCGAUAUUCCACUUGUAACUAAGUGAGAUGCUGCCGUAGAUUUUAAUUCUCCUCUGACACUUGCUCUAUUCUCUUAGACAAAUCUUCAAGGUGUUUCUCCGAAAAUGAUAUCUUGAUUCUAUUAUCUACUUCCUUCUCAUUAAAUGAAGAGACUUCCCUUUGUAGAGACACAUUCUGCUCUGCAAGCUCCCUCGCCCUUUCACGGGUCUAUGUUGUUCAAUUUGGUAUUUCUCAAGUUUUAGAGACCAAUUGUUGGAUCUUCUAUCCAACUUCUUUUCCAAUACUGAUUUUAACUCAUUCUUUUCUGUCUCCAAUCUUCGUGUCCGUGAAUCUAGUUCUGCCUGUAAUAUGCUGGCUUCUUGCUUAGCAGAAGCCCUUUCAGCAACUUGAUUCCAUAGCAUGCUUGAAACUUCAGAAGCCAUUUGUACCUUCUCCUUUGUCAAUCUUGUAAUAGUCCGAAUCAAUAAUGGAACGCUAAGGUCUCUGCCAUGAAGAAACAUUUGUUAUUACUUUGGACAAGCAAAUGCAAAUUAAAACAUCAGUUUAAGUGUGAAAAAGGAAGCUAAAGCAAAAUGAUAUGCAUACCGGCUUGAAUCACGACUAGAUUUCUUAGGAUGAACUUUCUUACUGUGACCAUGGGGAGAUUUGCUCAGAUCCAUGAAAUUCUUUUUUCCUAACCCACUGUCAUAGAAGGAUUCGGAUGAUAAUGAAACACUCCUCCAAGAAGAAACUUCCUUGGACUUUAAUGGUGGUGAAGGGGUCUUGUUUUCAUCAUUAGUUGAUGAUCGAAAAAAGAAGAAGUUGUUCUUCAUCAUCUCUAUGUAUGGAGACUGUACAUGAAUCAAACUAGUGUCCAUGAGAUUUCAAAGGGCAAAGCAAAACACUCAUAAAUAGCCACUCACAAAUCAUUAUCCAUUCAUGAAAAUACUGCAAGCUAACUAAAUACUUAUGAGACAAAGCAAAACAUCUCUCUUUCUACAUGCUUCUUCUUCAACAACAACAUACGUAACCCCUACCUUGGCAAGUAGAAAAUUUGUUUCUCAUAAAUCCUCGGCAAGGAAAGCAAAANNNNNNNNNNNNNNNNNNNNNNNNNNNNNNNNNNNNNNNNNNNNNNNNNNNNNNNNNNNNNAUACAACAAGUAGAAAAGAAAAAUAUAUACUAAUACUACUACCAGAAGAGAUAUGACGUGAAACUAUUUACUAAUAGUCUUCUACUGAAAAUUAAUAAAAUACCCCAUAAACAAAUAGCACAAGAACAAUUCAAAGAACUUAUCAAAUCCUUCUGAUAAAACAAAUAAUCAUGGUAAAUAAUCAAAAAAUAAGAGAAAUUACUGAAUCAAAGAGUUGAAAGAGUAAGAGCCGGCAAAAUGUUGUCAUAAUUUGUACGAUUCUUGUCAUUUUUUCUUGAAAUGUAAAAAUAGCAAAAGACUAGAAUUCUGUGUCUUUCAUUCAUCAUCGUACAAUGCAUAUAUACAACUAACAAGGAUCUGUAAAUUUCAAGUAAUAUUUACAAGGAUCUGUAAAAUUCAAGUAAAUAUUUACAAGGAUCUGUAUAUGGCAAGUGAAUAUUUACAAGGAUCCAGAAAUAUGGCAAGUGAAUAUUUAUAUACUCAUAAUGAAAAACUUAAGAAAUACCUAUGAGAGAGAGAAGAAAAGUGUAACAAAUAUUUUGUGUUAUUCAAUAGCUAUAAAUAGCCAUAUGAGAUCAAAUUUUCCAUAUAAUAGAAAUAAAAUUAAAACUAUAAAUUAAAUUUUUCAAAUUAGCACACAAAUUAACUUAAAUUAUGAAAUUUAAGAUAUUUAUUUUUUCAAAAUUUAACUUUUUCAUAUAAACAUCACUGAAUUGAUAUAAACAAUAUUUUGAAAUGUGAUAAAUUAAUUAAAUAACCCAAAAAUAUUGUAAUAUUGUAUUUNNNNNNNNNNNNNNNNNNNNNNNNNNNNNNNNNNNNNNNNNNNNNNNNNNNNNNNNNNNNNNNNNNNNNNNNNNNNNNNNACUUACCAUUUAAAAAUUGUUUCAUUUGAAUUAAUAAGAUCAUAGUAGAUUGUACAAAAUCAGUUAAUAAAUGAUAUAUAUUUCAAUUAAAUAAAUAAAGUACAAUAUAAUUGUAAUAAGAAUACACAAUCAACUAAUUAAUUUCACUUAAUUAGAUUAAAUUUUAUGAUCAUAAUAUAUAGACUAAAGUUCCUUAAAUUUAAUGUUGUAAAUUUCAAAAUAUAUUUAUGGCUNNNNNNNNNNNNNNNNNNNNNNNNNNNNNNNNNNNNNNNNNNNNNNNNNNNNNNNNNNNNNNNNNNNNNNNNNNNNNNNNNNNNNNNNNNNNNNNNNNNNNNNNNNNNNNNNNNNNNNNNNNNNNNNNNNNNNNNNNNNNNNNNNNNNNNNNNNNNNNNNNNNNNNNNNNNNNNNNNNNNNNNNNNNNNNNNNNNNNNNNNNNNNNNNNNNNNNNNNNNNNNNNNNNNNNNNNNNNNNNNNNNNNNNNNNNNNNNNNNNNNNNNNNNNNNNNNNNNNNNNNNNNNNNNNNNNNNNNNNNNNNNNNNNNNNNNNNNNNNNNNNNNNNNNNNNNNNNNNNNNNNNNNNNNNNNNNNNNNNNNNNNNNNNNNNNNNNNNNNNNNNNNNNNNNNNNNNNNNNNNNNNNNNNNNNNNNNNNNNNNNNNNNNNNNNNNNNNNNNNNNNNNNNNNNNNNNNNNNNNNNNNNNNNNNNNNNNNNNNNNNNNNNNNNNNNNNNNNNNNNNNNNNNNNNNNNNNNNNNNNNNNNNNNNNNNNNNNNNNNNNNNNNNNNNNNNNNNNNNNNNNNNNNNNNNNNNNNNNNNNNNNNNNNNNNNNNNNNNNNNNNNNNNNNNNNNNNNNNNNNNNNNNNNNNNNNNNNNNNNNNNNNNNNNNNNNNNNNNNNNNNNNNNNNNNNNNNNNNNNNNNNNNNNNNNNNNNNNNNNNNNNNNNNNNNNNNNNNNNNNNNNNNNNNNNNNNNNNNNNNNNNNNNNNNNNNNNNNNNNNNNNNNNNNNNNNNNNNNNNNNNNNNNNNNNNNNNNNNNNNNNNNNNNNNNNNNNNNNNNNNNNNNNNNNNNNNNNNNNNNNNNNNNNNNNNNNNNNNNNNNNNNNNNNNNNNNNNNNNNNNNNNNNNNNNNNNNNNNNNNNNNNNNNNNNNNNNNNNNNNNNNNNNNNNNNNNNNNNNNNNNNNNNNNNNNNNNNNNNNNNNNNNNNNNNNUAUUUAUUUACCAUAAAUCUGUCCUAAUUUUAUAUCUUGAUUGUAGUUAAUUAAUCUACAAUUACAUAAAGGUCUCAAAUAUGAAAACAAUUGAUAUUAAUUACCUUUAUAAUUUUGGCAAUUCAAUCCCAUGAAUUUCUCAUGUUUUUUAUAGAUUGAUUAUAUUAAAUUUAUUUCAAUUACCUUUUUAAUUUUGGUAAGAAUUUAAAAAAGGUAACGAUUAUUUUUUUUCCUAAUUACUGAUUUAUUUCUCAAAAAGUUCUUAUAAAUUCAUAAUUUGAUUAUAGUCAAUUGAUUAUUUAAUUAUCUUUAUAAUUUGCUAAAAGCUCAAAUAAGGUAACAAUUAUUUUUUUCUAAAUUAUGGAUUUUCUUAUAUUCAAUCUUUUAUUGUUUUACUAUAAUAGUUCAAAUUUAAUUGUUUUGAGGGAUGACAACUUUUUGUGUCUAAAUCUUUUUUAAUACAUAGGAAAUGCUAAAGGCAUACAAUAAUCUCCUUUCUUUUUAUAAUCCAAACUUACCAUUUACAAAUUAUUUCAUUUGAAUUAAUAAGAUCAUAGUAGCUUGUACAAAAUCAAUUAAUUAAUUAUAUGUAUUUUGAUAUAAAAAAAAAUGAUGUACGACAUAAUUGUAAUAAAAUUACACAAUCAACGAAUUAAUUUCAAUUAAUUAGAAUCAAUUUUAUAAUCAUAAUAUAUAGACUCAAGUUCCUUANNNNNNNNNNNNNNNNNNNNNNNNNNNNNNNNNNNNNNNNNNNNNNNNNNNNNNNNNNNNNNNNNNNNNNNNNNNNNNNNNNNNNNNNNNNNNNNNNNNNNNNNNNNNNNNNNNNNNNNNNNNNNNNNNNNNNNNNNNNNNNNNNNNNNNNNNNNNNNNNNNNNNNNNNNNNNNNNNNNNNNNNNNNNNNNNNNNNNNNNNNNNNNNNNNNNNNNNNNNNNNNNNNNNNNNNNNNNNNNNNNNNNNNNNNNNNNNNNNNNNNNNNNNNNNNNNNNNNNNNNNNNNNNNNNNNNNNNNNNNNNNNNNNNNNNNNNNNNNNNNNNNNNNNNNNNNNNNNNNNNNNNNNNNNNNNNNNNNNNNNNNNNNNNNNNNNNNNNNNNNNNNNNNNNNNNNNNNNNNNNNNNNNNNNCAUGAAUUUCACAUAUUCUUAUAGUUUGGUUAUAUCAAAUUUAUAUUAAUUACCUUUAUAAUUUUGGGAAGAAUUUUAAAAAGGUAACAAUUAGUUUUUUUUUCCAAUUACUGAUUUAUUUCUCAAAAAUUUCUUAUCAAUUUACAAUUUGAUCAUUUAAUUAUCUUUACAAUUAGCUAAAAGCUCAAAUAAGGUGACAAUUAUUUCUUUUCUUAGUUACGGAUUUUCUUAUAUUCAAUCUUUCAUUGUUUCACUAAAAUAGUUCAAAUUUAAUUGUUUUGAGGCAUGACAUCUUUUUGUCUAUAAAUCUUUUUUAAUACAUAAGAAAUGCUAAAGUCAUACAAUAAUCACCUUUAUUUUUAUAAUCCAAACUUAUCAUUUAAAAAUCAUUUCAUUUGAAUUAAUAAAAUCAUAGUAUAUUGCACAAAAUCAAUAAAUUAAUUAUAUGUAUUUUUAUUAAAUAAAUUAUAUACGAAAUUGUUGUGAUAAAACUAUACAAUCAAGUAAUUAAUUUCAAUUAAUUAGAAUCAAUUUUAUGAUCAUAAUAUAUAGACUCAAGUUCCUUAAAUUUAAUGUUGUAUGUAAAUUUUAAAAUAUAUUUAUAGCUAAAGUAAUAGUCAACGUUCGUUGUUUUUUUUACCAAUAUAUGCAUAUCAAUUACGAAUCUUUCCAUAUAUUUUAUUAUUAAAGUAGUUGUCAAUAUUAACUAAUUUCUAGUUCAAUUUAAUCUAAUUAAUUUGAUAGCAAUAAAAUUAUUAUUAAUAUUAUAUAUUUAUUUACCAUAAGUCUGUCCUAAUUUUGUAGCUUGAUUAUAUUUAAUUAAUCUACAAUUGUAUAAAGGGCUCAAAUAUGAAAAUAAUUGAUAUUAAUUACCUUCAUAAUUUUGGAAAUUCAAUCCCAUGAAUAUCUCAUUUUUUUAUAGAUUGAUUACAUUAAAUUGAUAUCAAUUACCUUUUCAAUUUUGGAAAGAAUUUUAAAAAGGUAACAAUUAUUUAUUUUCCUAAUUACUAAUUUAUUUUUCAAAUAUUUCUUAUAAAUUUAUAAUUUAAUUAUAGUCAAUUAAUUAUUAUUAUCUUUAUAAUUUGCUAAAAACUCAAAUAAGGUAACAAUUAUUUUUUUCCUAAUUACGGAUUUUCUUAUAUUCAUUCAUUUAUUUGUUUACAAAAAUAGGUCAAACUUAAUUAUUUUGAGGGAUGACACCUUUUUUUAAUAUUUUUUAUUCAAAAUGAUUGCAAUAUUUUCUAUAUAAAUUGAUCCGUUACUAUUUAUUAAUUGGUUAUUCUCUUAAAUAAUUUUUUCUUGUAAUAUUUCUUUUAAUCAAUUGUAAUGAAAUAAUUCAUAUUUAUUUUCUUAUAAUACUAUCAUUAAAAACAUAUGAAAUGUAAUUUAUUAAAUUCUUAGUUUUAGGCUAGACUAUCCUCCUUUAUUAUAUAGAUAGAUAAUUUCAACAAAAUUAAUUAGAGUAUUUUCUUAUAAAAAUAAUAUAAAAUUUUAUUUUAUAAAAAUAAUAUAAAAUAUGGUAUAUUAAUAAUAUUUGCAUUAAUUAUGUUUCUAUUUUCUUACAUAUUAUUUGAUUCUACGCAUUAAAAAUAACAUUGAAUCAAUGGUGAAAGUGGAGGGACUUCUUUCUUUAUUGGGGUUUUUCUUUUUGGGAAAGCUGACACUUUCUUGACUACCAACCACCCAACACAAAGCUGACACUUCUUGGUAGAUUGGCUAUUUUUUCAUACGGUACUAAUUUAUAUGCAUUUUCUUUGAUAUUUGUUAUAUUGUUAGUUUUAUUUUGCGUAUCGUAUUAGUUUAUAUGCAUUUAUUUUUUAUGUUUGGUAUGUUAUUAUGAUCCUAAGCUAGGAGUCUAUCGGAAACAUCCUCUCUACUUCACCUGAGUACUGAUAUGAUCUACAUAUACUAACCUCCCCAGACCCCACUAUCUGGAAAUACACUGAUUUUUGUUAUUGCUGUUGUUGUUUCUUAUACAGUAUUUGAUUCAAAGUAUUAAAAAUAACACGAAUUACAUAAUUUUUUUUUACAUAAUACCCCAACUUUAAGCAUGUUAAUGCAUGCAUUAGAUCCAUUGUAUUACUAAUGUCAUAAAUUUUGAAGUAUUAGUAAUACACGCCUCAAUACACAAUAGAGUAUAUUACUAAUUUUUGCAUUAGUUAUACAUAAGAUAAAAAGAUAUAUAUCAAACAAGGGACUACUAAUACACAUUAAAUUAAUGGAUGCAUUAAUUUUUACGUAAUACAUUCCAUGCUUUAUCACAGAUUUGAUUCCUUGUCUUAAGCUGGGAGUCUAUCGGAAAUAGCCUUUCUACUUCUUCGGAGGUAGUGAUAUGAACUACGUACAUCUUACCCUCUUUAGACCCCACUAUGUGGAAAUACACUGAAUUUAUUGUUGUUGUUGUUAUUAAUUUUUGAAUACACUCUAUCAAAAGACUCUAUGCUUCUCAUUUAAUUAUACCUUUAGCUCCUUUUUAAUUAUGAUAAUUGCUCUCUGACUCCACCUUGCUUUUUAAAAAUAUAAAUAAAUAGCAAUGAAUUUAAUUUUGCUCAUUACUCUACUAAUUGUAGUAAUGUUAGGUGAAUUCAUCAACUUAAAAUUAGAGUACAUUCACUCAAGCUACAUGUUAUAGAUAUAGUUCAAAAAAGGAAUUAUACGUUUGACAUAAUACAUAAAUGUGUUUUCAACUUGACAUCAUUAGCAAAUAUUUAUAUAUUUUAAUUUUGAAUGUUGCACAAAUAAAUACUUCGACUAUCAUAUAAAGUUAAAAUAAAUAUAUAUAUAUGUGAGUCUUGUAUCGCAAUUUGUCAUGCAAAAUGUGUGCAUCUCAUACAAUUUGUCAAGUAAUUAAAGCGUUUGUGUCUAGGGGAGUGCAUCGGUCGGUUCGGUUGGGUUUUACAUAUUAUCAUUAGAUUUAUCGAUUUUCGGUUUUUAAAUAUGCUAAACCAAUAACCAAACCAAUAAAAUAUUUUUUUUUGGUUCUUAGUCCUUAACGAUUUGGUUUUGGGUUUAACCGAUAAGAAAAUACUCAUAAAAUAGAAAUAGUAGUAACUAACAUGUAAAAAAUGAAUCUUAGUUGCAACAAAAAUCCUACAUGAAGUGUUUGAAUUUACAAAAAUCUUCAAGUUUGAACUAAAUGUUGUUAGGAGAAAUUCAGAGUUUAUAUAAUUGAAAUAACAGGUUUGUUAAUUUGUAGAAAUAAAAUAUAAAUAUAUAAUAAUUCAUAUUAUAUAUGUAUAUGCAUAUGUUUUGAAAAGGUGUUAAUUUGAGAGCAUGAAUUAUAUGGAAUCCCUCUCUUGAUGUGAAUUUGUUUUAAAUGUUCAUAUGAUGUAAAUUGUUUGAAAACAUCUUGAAAAGCAUGACAUGAAAUGUUUUGAGAAUUUAUAUGAUUUUGACUUGAAAACUAGAGGGCUAUUUGUGUUGAAACAUGUUGAAUACAAUGGUUGAAUGAGAAGAAUGAUGUGAUAUUGAUGGCUUGGAAGUCGGUUAUGAUGAUACCCUACAGAAUAUGAUUUGUGAUUAAAUCGGAUGAAAUUUGAAUGCAUUGAUUUUACAUGAGAUAGGUGGAUAUCCGAAGAAGGCAUUUGAGUAUAAGGGCUCAUCGCUAGAAAUCGUGUUUGCCGACAUGGGAAUUUGGUACCCUGCUUUGUGAUCUUGCGUACCUGACUUUAUGUCAUUCCCAAUUUGGGACUAUGGUUAGGAGCCCUGCUUUGUGAUCUUGUGCACUACCAUUGGGUCGAGAUAUCCUGUUGUGUGAUCUUGUGUGUCUUCCCCUCACUUAUACUCUAAUCUUGGCGGCAACCGAGGUUUGACAGUUGGUGUAAAUAUGAUAUGUAGGGUAUUCCACCUAGCUCAGCAGGAUUAUAUUGUUGUUGAAAACAAUUAUAUUAUGCCCAUGUGUUUUCAAAUGAUUUGAUAUGAAACUGCUUUAUAAUGGCUCUCAACUAUAUUUUGUAAAACUAUUAUGUUUUGUUUUGAUAUCUCUGCGUACCAGUACUUCUGAAUUGAACCCCUUUCCUCCCGGGUACAAAGGCACAGUCUAGGGGUCCAGAAAAUCAGUAGAUUCCUCAAACAGAUUUACAGAGUCACUUGGUGAGCCUUCUAUUUUUUGGAAGGCCUGAUAUUUGGAUCUACUGGAGGCCUUGUCCCAGUUUUCAAAUAGAUAUUUAUUUCAGUCAUGUAGUAGAGAUUUCACAAACGUUAUAGAGAUGUUGUGUUGAGAUUGUGGGACAUUAUUCCCCGUUAUUGAUUCAUAUGAUUCUUGACCAUGUUUCCAUAAUAUUGUUUGUCUUCCAUAUUUCUUUUAUCAUAUGAGUUAUGUGCAUGAUUAUCAGACAAAUAGGGGUGUUUCGGGCCUUUAUGGUUCGGAAUGCUCGUCACGGACAGGGCCCCAAUUUGGGUCGUGACAAACUUGGUAUCAGAGCAAGGUUCAUGGUCCCAGGGUGUCUACAAAAUCAUAUCGGGUAGAGUCUUAUUUAUGGGUGUGUAGCGUGCCACACUUAUAAGUAGGAGGCUCCUAAGCAUUUAGGAAUGUCUCUCUUUCUUCAUGUUCCAGUUCGUGCAAUAGAGUCAAAAUGUUCCUCUUUCAUACUGUCAUUCAUGCUAUGGUGUCGCUCAUAUGAAGGUAAAGUCAUACCAAAUUCUUUCCUUACUCUGAUGUUCUCAGACAUGUCCCAUUAUUGGGGUGAUUCAAGUGCAAAAAGUUUAGAAUCUACAUGAUAUAGUCUUUUUCGAUUGUGUCAUAUAAGAAAAAAAAUUGUGCAAAGACUCGAGAGGAGUCUGUUGGUGCUUCAAUAUGUGUUGAUUCUGAUAUAAACAUUGAUCCUGAUGGAAUCGUGCUUUCUAGCUUAUGGUAUUAAGUGCAUCUAGUCCCUCCCAAAAUUCUUGAUACAGAUGUGGACGGUGUAUAGCAGAAUGUUGGAACUAUAUUUCCACCCAAAUAGUAGCAUAAGUUAAAGUGUUGUUGUCAUGACCUAUUGGUAAUGAAAUUAGACCAAGAAUUUAGUGAUGUGAAGUCACAAAGUUAGAAGUCAGAGUGAGGGUGAUUUUUGGUGUAAAUGAAUAUUUCAGUUGAAUAACCAAUAUUUGAGGAUGAUUUACCCCUUUAUAGUGAUAAACUAACGUGGUAGCUAGUAGCACGUGUGGAUGGUAUGGUAGUCCAUGGGGAAGUAUUUUACUCAAAUUUUAAUUUAUAAAGAGUAAGAUGUGUAUUCUUAGACCAUUAAAUAUUGUGUCAAUUUCCUAUCUCUUGUAAUAUGUAAUCUUGUUAUCAUGGUAUUUUUGAAAUAAAUUUUAAAGUCUAGUGAAGCCGUGUGGGGCUCUUUCGAUUCACUAGCAUAGUUGCCUUGUCAUCCAUCUCAUUUUCUUGUUCAAAAUACCAAACCAAAGUCUAGUGAAGCCGUGUGAGGCCUAUUUCAAUUCACUAGCAACUUGUUGUCCAACUUGUUGUUCUUUUGUUGGUUUAAUAUAUGUAUGGCUGAAUCUGUUUGCAUGAGAUGGAGUUGGUAAAGAGGUGAUUCAUCCUUGUGAGUUAGUUUAGUAUAAGGUAGAGAAGGAGUUGUUAGUCAGGGUGAUUUGUUGGUUUCUUGAAUGUGAAAAAUGGCUAUAUUAGCGAGUAAGUUAUGAUCAUAGACUCAUGGUUGUUUGAGGAAUUUGAAGGCAGUCUAAAUGUAUGCUUGAGAAAGUAAGUAUGAGGUCAGAAAUCCGCAUAAGUAGAUAAGAUCUUAUGGGGUUAUAAUAUCAGUUAAGGUUGAUCAUGUCUAUUAUGUGACCUUACUCCUUGACUUUUUUCGUUGGUAGUUGUAAACUAGUACUACUUAUGAGAAGGUAUGUAGCAAAUUAUGAGGUAUUUGGAUAGUACUAUAUGACUGGCAGAGACUUUUCAAAGAUUUGCAGGAGUUCUCGAAACUAUUUUCUAAAAAAUUAAGAGUACUUUGAAAAAAAUCUAUAUAAAUCUUUUACUUAGUGAUUGCCUAGACAUCAAUUAGGAUGGGGAGUCAGGGGUGGAAGUCCCAACAUGAUGAAAUACCUAAAAGAUGGCAAGGGCAAAUCAAGGAUCGUAGGAGGUCAACACGGAGUAGUUUCUUUCAAACUAAUCAUUUUUUGUGGCUGCAGGGAUUGAUACACAAAAUGAGCGUUUCUUUCGAAAAAUCCCCAAGCAAGUCGGGAGCCAUGACAGAGCAUAUAAGGCUUAGUAACGGUACCUUUGGUAGCCCAAAAACCGGCUCAACACCCAUUUAUUGACGACCUUUCGAAUUGUCCAUCUCAUUUCUUGAGACCAUGGAGGACAAACAAAGUGUCUUGUCUUUUUUACAAAUAUUGUAUUUAGAAUUUUUCUAAAAAAAAAAAUAGUCGCUAGCAAAAGCGACUUUGUGUCUACUAAUCGUCUACCUUGAGUACGGGUACAUGCAGAAAGCAAGACCCUGACAAAUGAUUUCAGGAGAAACUAUUUUUAAUUUAUCGGAAGAACCAUUGCAUGUCAUUGCCAAGAGGGCCAUUACAUAUCAUCGUCAUUCAAUAUCUGUUGGCGUGCUAGACACAAUGCUAGCAUCGAGGAUAUCAUUAGCAUUCAAUAUAUCCAUUGACAUGCAAGACACAACACUGGCGUCGAGGAUAUCAUCAUCAUAUAAUAUCUAUUAACGCGCUAGACACAACGCAGGCAUUGAGGAUAUCAUCAACAUUCAAUAUAUCUGUUGACACGCAAGACACAAUGCUAGCGUCGAGAAUAUUAUCAUCAUUCAAUAUCUAUUGACGAUCUAGAUACAACGCUGGCGUCGAGGAUAUUAUCAGCAUUCAAUAUAUCUGUUGACACGCAAGACACAAUGCUGGCGUCGAAGAUAUCAUCAUCAUUCAAUAUAUGUUGACGCGCUAGACACAACGCUAGCGUCGAGGAUAUCAUCAUUAAUAUAUAACUAUUGACACGUAAGACACAACACUGGCAUUGAGGAUACCAUCAUGAUGCAAUAGCUGUUGACAUGCAAGACAUAACUCUGGCGUCGAGGCUAUCAUCAUCAUGCAAUAUUUGUUGACGCGGAAGACACAAUGCUAGUGUCGAGGAUAUCAUCAGCAUUCAAUAUAUCUGUUGACACGUAAGACACAACACUGGCAUCGAGGAUAUCAUCAUCAUUCAAUAUAUCUGUUGAUACGUAAGACACAACGUUGGCGUCGAGGAUAUCAUCAUCAUUUUAUUUCUGUUGACAUGCAAGACAUAAACACUAGCGUCGAGGAUAUCUUAUCAUUUUAUGAAUCAGCAUCCGAAUGCAUCAAGAGCACAUGAUUUGAAGGGACGCCUUUAAGUCGCUAUCUAAGGAUGAAUGAUAUAUAAGAUUUCCUAGAAAUUUACAAUUUGAGGGUCAUCUAUAAGUUAUAUUAUUUGAAAUAUGAUAGUGUACAAGAUCACCUAUGAGUUGAUAGCCGGUAGGUCAUCCGUAAGCCACAACAAAAUUCUAACCGGAUAGUGUGCAAGAUCGCCCAAAAAUUGAUAGUUCAAAGGUUAUCCAUAAGUCGCAACUAAAUCCUUACCAGAGAAUAUGCAAGAUUAUCAAAUGGAUACAUCCAAGGGUUCUCUAUAAGCCGUGUCAUAUCCAAGUUCGAUUAUAUGCAGGAUUACCCAAAGACUAACAAUUUGAGGGAUUAUCUAUAAGUCAUAUUAUAUCCUAGGUCGGAUGAUGUGCAGGAACACCUGAAAUCUAGCGAUUGGAGGGAUAUAUGUAAGCCAUCUCUUAUUUAAAGUCGGACAAUGUGCAGGAUUACCUAAAAGCUAGAAAUCAAAAGGAUAUCUGUAAGUCGCCUCGUAUCCAACAUCAAAUAAUGUGUAAGAUUAUCUAAAGAUUGAUAAUUUAAAGGAAAUUUAUAAAUCGAUCAUCGGCUAUAACUGGAGAGGUUAUCAUUCCACAUGCAACAAAUGAUAUAGGUACCCAAAGGGUUGCCACACCAGCACGCCAUUGUCCAAAAGGGCCACCCACUUUGAAGACAUAUUCAACCGACAAAUGUCAUAAUUAUACAACAACCAAGAGGGUUGUUGUGUUUGGUAUUGUCGGUUAUUUCAUUCCAAACAGGUACAUGAAGAGAUGACUCCACUUUUCAGGCCACAACUCACGUGGAGAUAUGGUAAAAGACUGCAUGCCUCUUUCGUGAAUUAUGUUUAGCACUAAAAAUUUUUGCUUGAAGCAUUGUCGAGGGCAUCCGUGAGGAUGAAAAUCUUAAAUCAAAACCACAGGUACGGAUGACUUCAAAUAGGAUGCAAUACCCGAAUCCAACCCGUUUUCUUUUUCCUCGUUAUGAUCACGCACGUUCCACAUGAAUCCAUACGAGAAGAUGCUAAGAAUAUUCUAGAAACACACUUAGGUGUCUCAUCCAACGUUCAAAUCUCAAAAUUCUCGCAUAGAGGUUUACGAAUUCGUACAUAGGUGGAGUAUUUUCAUUGGCUUGUGAAGAUUAUUCCCUUUCCACCAAUUUCUAUUGGCCACUUUUUGGAAUUCCGUUCAAGAAAAUCAAAAUAGAGGUAUAGUUUGUUAGGGUCCAGAUCUUUUUAAUUUAAAAAAUGAACCCUCAAUCCCCUUCUAUAAGUAGCUCUCUUUAGAGCAAGAAAAAGGGAUUUUUUAGGGGAUUUUGGAAUUUUUUUUCACUGGCAACUCCUUUCCUUUGUGGGUUUUCCUCUUCUUUCUCUUUGGAGUUUGAAAUUUUAGAAGCAAAAGGGGUUCAAAAGUUUUUAUUUGAAAAUUUGGGGUUAGAGAAAAUAUUCAAAAAUUCAGAAAUACACAAAAAAAAGAGGGUUAGAAAGGGGGGCUCUCAGAGGGAAAAAAUAUUCUCUUUACGCCCAAGAAACAUACAUUUUUAGGAGGUGCGUCUGAACUGUCGAAGCAGUUGUGAGUUUUUCGGUGGUUGGAAUCCUAUCGUCAGCUCGUUAUACCAUUUUGCUGCCCCGAAAGAGGUAAAUACACCUUUCUUUUUAAUUUUGUUGUGGUUAUCAUUUUCUUCUUCGUGGUUCCACUUCUGUUUGCUGGGAAUGACUGCUGUAGAGGCCUGAAAGGCAUAGGAUUUUCAUUUUUGAUAUAUUGUUCUACUAAAAAACUCAUUCUUGAUCAUGUUUGAUUGGUUGUCGUUCAUUCUUAAUCUCUCUCAUUUUAUUCUGUCUGAAUGUUACUAGUUAGCUUUAAUGCUUCAACUUUAGAAACUAUUUUACUGGUCUCAUAUUUGUUGUUGCUUUGUAGUUCAUAGAGUAGGAGAGUAACAUAUUUACGUAUUUUCGAAAUUCGAAAAAAUGUUCAAAGAAUAGAUAUUAGGCAGCCUGUUUGCAUAUCUUUUUCGCUCAGACGUAGGAAAUUGUUAUAAAUAAGAACUCCAAUGUUAUUUUCUACCGACUUGCCACUCUCGAUGUACGAUAGUCUCAUUUGAUUCUAAAGUUUAUUUUAAAAUAUGAGAGUGGACCAUAGGUCUGAAUUAUGUUUUCUUCAUGGCUAAUUCAAUUUGCUGUAAUUGACUCAUGAGAACAAAUUAAAGUUUGACGGGCUAAUGUUUCUUUCCUUUCUUGCUUUUCUUGUUCGGAUAUAAGCUGUGGCAUCUUGUCUUAUGAUUAAAUUACCUAAAAUUAGGUUUAUGUAGUGUUAGAAUCUCAUUUGUUUGUUAACCCAGUGGUAACGAAGGUAUUAAGAUUUCAGCCUUGCUUUUCUUGAAGUUUCAGCUAUCGUAUUCCUUGCCUAAAGUGAUUAAGUCUUUAAUUUUGUAUGUUUGGCAUUCUGGAAUUUGAAAGUUGCUUGUGAUCUAUCGUUUAUGUAGUAUGAUCUAGGAUUUGUAACUCUUUUUUGUGACAUGCUUAAUUGGGUCCUUUUGUGGCAUUAAAGUGAUAAAUUAUUUUCUUUAUUUUGCUAAAGACCAUAAGAAUUUCUUGUUGAAGCUUUAUUUCCUCCUGUAGUUGAAAUUUCUUUAAUUGAUUAUUAACAUUUUCUUCAAACAUAAUAGACUUUUUAUCCUAUGGCAUUUUUACCUGUGUAUGAGUGUAUUUGAAUGAAGAAGGAAUGCUAUAGCUUAUUAUAUGUUAAAAUCUUGGACGUAUGUUAAUUUCUUCAUUCCUUUCUUUACAUGUUCAUUCCUUUCUUUACAUGCACCCCCUUUGGAGUUCAAAUGGACCCCUUCUCUCUUUGCAUUUCAUAAAUGGGCCAAUGAGGCCUAUCCUUCUGAGUUAAACCCAAAAGAAAAUCCAAGAAUCCAUCACAUGGCGUAUGGAUACAAGGAAUCGAAAUAAGAAUGGGUUAAAGUUCAAUCUUUGAAGCGGCAAAGGGGACUUGAAAAUCUCGUUAUUUCUUAUUUAUUGAUUUAUUUAUCCAUUGUUUUCAUUAUUUAUUUAUUUAUUUACUUAUUUAUAUUUUUUUUUAUUUAGUGACUUAUUUAUUUAUUCAUUCGGGCCUCGAAGCCAAAGUUGUAAAUUUAAAACAGGUGGAGCGAGACUCGAGCUGAAAAGGGCUCAAAAACAUAAAAUUAAGACAGGUGAAAGAUGGGUCAAAAACCUAACUAGAUUAGGACAGGAUCGACUGUUUGGGCUUGAAAGCCUAAAUCACUACUUCCCCCCUUUCCCUUUUUUCUAUUUGCUUACUUGUUUUACGUGUGUUUUGCGAACCUAGUAAAAUCCUUAGUCAAGUCGCUAAAAAAAUUGGUUUUGCAUAAACACCAAAAUAUUCCUAAAAUUGCUUUUCUUUUCAAAAAAUACACUUUUUCAAAGUUAAUCAAAAGAUGAUUUUCAAACAGUCCGGAUAACCGCAAGUUAGCGGACAUUUUAGGUGCCUAAUACCUUCCUAAAACGUUAAUAGGAACCGCUUAUCUUGAAUCUCUAACUUAAAACGAUUUUUUUGUUUUGAAUCGUUUGCAGUAACUCUCUAAAGGUUUCUUAUUUCCUUUUCAAAAUUAAGUGGCGACUCUCAAAAAGUCAAAAUUUCCACAAAAAAAUAUCAACCACAAUCACAUCCACACAUCUACUACCCCCACCCGAAAGUAGUAGAAGAAUAAGGGUUUGUAGUAAUUCAAGUACCUUAUCCUCUUGACGCUUGCACUUCUUCUCUUUUAGUUCAUUAACAAAUUUGUUAAAUAUUUCAAGCAGCAAGCCCUCACCACCCAUUAUUCUGUAAAAUAAUAACAGCAAAGAAAUUCACAUUCAAUGUUACGGCAUAAUGAGAAUCAUGAGAUUAUGAAUAAAAAAGUAAAAAUCCAGAGCAUUUCAUUUUAUAGACAAAGAGGCUAGACAAAUUGAAACUAGAGAUUUAGCAGCAUACUUCAUCAGAACCGUGAAACAAUCACAAAUGCCAGCAAUUAAAAAACUAAAACAAUCACAAAUGUCAGAAAUUUAAAAAACUAACUGCUAGAGCUAUUAAACGCCCAGUGUUGGAACAACUAAUAAUUGACAUCAACCAAUUUCUAGAGGGAUAAGUUCAACAUUAAAAAUCACUUAGCAAAAUGGUAAUUCAUGCUAAUACUAUAAAGAAAUAGCCUACCUAAAUGUUGAGGAAUAUAAAACAACAAAUCAUUCAACACAGCUAUUAUUCUAAGGUACAUUCUAGAACUAUGUGAAUUGCUGAGUUUAGAAUAUUGAAGGAGUUGGUCCUUGAAAAUAAUAUCAAUUAUCAUUCUCCAAUAGUCCUUGCAAUCGUGUUACGAAUUCUAGAUCAAUAAAAGCAAAAGAAGCUACUUGCCUAUCUCUGAAGAGGGAUUUCCAGUCCUCCCAUUUCGACGAUGCAGUAAUUUCCUGCAACCAUAGCAAACAAAUAGAUUAUGGUUUAAAGGAAAUAUCAUGGGAUCCCAUCCAUUGCAAUGUGAGAGAUUGUGAACUGUUUUCUAUAUCUUUGAUGCAUGAAGGAGUUCAUAGAACUCAUCUGCUAGACGUUUACGCUUUUUAGCUUCUUUUUCUUCUUUCUCCCUGGCCCUUUCCAGUAACUCCUCAAAGACAAACUAUGCAGAUGAAAUAUGCACAUUCAAUACUCAAUGACUCGACAAGCCCAAACGCGUAGAACAUAAAGUUUAUAAAGGAAGUAUGGAAUAAGAUUCAGUAUAAUCCAUGUAUGUCCUCUUAUUCCUUCGUUUGAAAGGCAAGGGUGAUAUAAUGUAAGACUAUUAUUACCAUCUUUUGGAGUAACUCCUCGCAUUAUAAUAUUUGAUAAAAUGCUUUAAAAUAGUUUUGAGCUAUUGAAAGUAAACUAAAAGCCUUAAGAGACCCAACCGUCUAAGCAUAAUUCUUCGACAAGAUACCCCUUGCAAUUCCCUCUUCCCACAUACAUAGAUUAUACGCCAUGACCAUAAAUAAACUCCAAAAUUGAAAUGAUAUAUGAAGAAUAUCCUCAUUACAAAAAAAGAAAAUGAUCGUUGAUAUCAUCCAUUUAUGCUGUUUAACCACUUUCGCAGAGUAAAACUCUUAUCCACUAACCGUAAAAAUAGAAAACUACAACGCAAAUUGCUUUGAAUUAAGCAACUUAAGAUAUGUGCGGUAGGUGUAAUAUUAAACACCGCCAUCCAGGAAAUAAAAAGUAAGGAAAAUGGUACCAAAACUAAAGAAUUGGAAGAAAAAGAUAACACCAAAUAUUUGAUCAAUGUGGUCCUCGUCUUUAUUCUUGAAGGUUUCAGGCUUACUUGCUAACCGACACACUACUCUUCUAUUAACUCCAUUACUAGAAGAUCCAGAUUUAAUGUGGGAUAGGUUAUGGUUGAUACUAAAGGAAAAUUCCACUAACCACAGUUGACUACCUACGAUUUGCCAAUUUAGCAAUCACAAACUGACCGACUUCCAGUGAAACAUAACAUGGAAGUACUACUAAUGCUUUUGCACUCAAUCCACUCAUCUUAUGCAGGACCUGUCCCAAAGACAAAAAGGGGACAAAUACAUAAAAAUCCAUUUAACGAAUGGGGUACUUCAAUUUUCACAACAUUCAAUUCAACAUAGGUCGAUGUGAAACAGUAUACAGUGCUUAUCCAUAAUUAGACCUUUAAGUUGGUAUCUGACAUUGGUGGAGAGCUAAUAUACUUGGCGAUUGCAACCUUAAAAUCAUCAAGCAUCCAGGCUAAUGUCAAUCCAAUCUGAAAGUAGACAUGGCUCAGCCAAAAUAUUAGGUACUAACCAAAGCACAACAGAGGUUAAAAUGAAGAGUGGUGAUUACCUCGGCCAUCCUAACUGCAUCUUUAAUUUGUGACUUGUCAUCAAGAUACUGAAGCAACAUACAAGUAACACAAAUUCAGAAUGCUUAUCAGUAACAAAAAUAGGAUACCAAAUGGAGCUUUGUCCAUGCAUUUGAGUUACCAUAAAGUCUAUAAAUUACAAGCAGGGUGAUGGGGAUGAAAUUUCUUUCAUGAAUACCAACAUUUCUCCACUUGUUCAAAGUCAUCUACAAUNNNNNNNNNNNNNNNNNNNNNNNNNNNNNNNNNNNNNNNNNNNNNNNNNNNNNNNNNNNNNNNNNNNNNNNNNAAAAAUGGAUAGCAUCUCUGUUAACAGCGCUUUCAUUAUAUUUACUUAAUAAGAAUCAUUUAUGCACACAAACAGUAAUACAAACUUUAAAGAUAGAAGUUGACAUCAUUAUCUGACAAGGGAAAAAGAAAAAAUAUUCAGCAUCUGAGUUUAUGUAUAACUCUCAACAUCCCAUAGCAAGAGCCUAACUCAAGAAAACAUUUCCAAAUCCAAUCAUUGAAUAAGAGUACGAACAGGAUCAUUAUCAUGCUAGGAUACCAGGUAAACUCCCUCUUUCAUCAAGCAAGGAGAUAAAUGCUAAUAAAAUUUGAUCAUUCAACUUCAAUUCUUUUCAGAAAGGGCAGAGGAUGAAACAAUAUAUCGUUUAGUUAGUCGCAAUGGUGUAUUACGGCCAAAAAAAUCAUAGUGAGGGAGAUGCAACUUUAUUUAGAGAAACAGAGAUGCUCUCAGGCACUUUUUCCGAGGCUAAUCUUUUCUAAGCCUUUACUUUCAUUACAUCUCAACUACCUCUUCAGAGGCGAAUUCUGGCACUAAGUUUUUUUAGUCUAAGCUAUAUGGUUGACAACACAAUAUAUUUUGAAUUGGGUUUUAAGUUGCAUGAUAUCAUCCGAAGUGAAAUCAAAACUGGGGUGUGGUACAAAUGGACAAAACAUGGCCAAAACUUGACCAGACAAACUACUUUCAGGUCUCAUUUGUUUGCACUUAUUGGAUUUAUGAACCUGUUCAGACCUCAAACCAUUAAGUGCAUUUGUUUUUAUUAGGAUUUUAGCUCUUAAUAGGUCUGAGUAGGUCUUAAUCAUUCAUAUGUGGAACCAAGUCUAAAUAUCAUUUACAGAUAUUCUUGUGUAGGAUAAAAUUCACCACCACUUUAUCCACAAUCACCUGGCACCACCACCAACCACUUCCACCAUCACAACCAACAUCACUACCAACUACACUACCAGCCGCUACCACACCUACCACUUCCAUUAUUCUAAUUAUAUCCACCUCCAACUAGGGGUGUUCAAGGUUUGGUUUUUAACACAACUUAACCGCGAUACAAACAAAACCGAUUAAAAAAAACUAUAUUUGGUUAGGUUUGGUUUGGAUUUGAAUUUUAAAAGACCGAUACUAAUUUGAUUUGGUUUGGUUUGGUCUUACUCUAAAAUAACCAACAAAAUAACCAAAACGAACCAAUAUACAUAUAUAUUAUAAUUAUUUAUAUGUUUUUCAUAAAUGUAAUCUAAAUAUUUGUUACAUUUUAUAUUUUAAUCAUGAUUUAACUUUAGUCGUAACACAUUCAGUCAUGUGUCUUCAUCUAGUUGACAAUACAUUAUGAGAUUCUAAAUGAAUUUCAUAUUUUGAAUGACAAAUGAUACUAAUUGUGAAAGUAAUAUCUUGUUAUAUAUUGAAAUUUACAGCUGAAAUUUAUUAGACUAUACACAAUCACUAAUUUUAACUUUCUUUUGAACCUUGUUGAGCAAGAAGUUUAUGUGUUCACCUUUUGGGGGUUUAUCAUAUCAUUCUAUUAAAUAUAGUUUUAAAAUAUUUUUUAAAAGCGUUCAUAUGGUGUUAUCAUGGCUUUGCCGAAGUAUAACACUCAGUUGACAUCAUAGUUUCAAGAUUGAGAUACAACACUUGGUUGACAUCUCAUAUGUUAGAUUUGAUUUGUUUUUUAAAAAUUUCAACAUAUAUCAUUAACUAAAGUUAUAAACUAAAAAACCCGAAUCAAACCAAACUAAACCGACAAGAACCAAACCGAUGGUUAUUUUUUUGUUUGGUUUGGUUUGGUUUUAGAAAUUUAAAAACCAAUUAAUUUGGUUUGGUUAUGGUUUUGACCACUAACCGACCCAUAUUGACCCAUGAACACCCCUACCGCCAACGUCGCCACCAUCAACUGCUACCAGUUGAUCCCUGCUACCGACCAACUCAUCUAUCAGAACUACCACUACCACUAAUAACCACCUACACAUCAUCAACUUCCACACAUCACUAACAACCACUAACACAUCAUCAACUUCCACACAUUCUUCGGACACCAUCACCACCACUGUCACCGGCGUCACCACCUCUACCACCAGCAUCCGCUACACUCGCUACAGUAUCUGUACUAACAACCAUUCAACCAUCACAGCUAACAGUGUCUCCAACAACCACCAACACAUCGUCAACCAUCAUGCAUACAGUUUUUCAUCACCACGAUCAACACCUUCAACUACUAACAUUAACCAACUUCACAUCACAACCACCACCACCACUACCAAUCGCCAAUAUUAUGACAGUAACUACAAUUCCAACUAUCUCUACUAUCACAACUAUUAUCACCAACAUUGCUAAUCACUAACAUCAAUUAAUUUAUUACAACCACCACCACCAUUACAAACCAUCUCCACUAUCACUAAUAAACAUAAAUGUUUCCUUUUUUAAUCAAAUAAUAAUUUUAUUGCAUUAAAUUAAAAAAAUUUCUAAUAAAUAAUUAAAUUAUAUUUAGAAAUAAAUAAAUUUUGCAUAUUCAGAUAUUGAGAAACACCCAACCUUAAUCAUUUAGUUUUCAGAUCUAGAGACAAUAUCUUAACCAUUCAGAUGUGCAUUCAAAAUGAUUCAAAUGUCUAAAUAUUAAUAAAAACAAAUGCAGUCUUAGCUGAAACACAAUAGUGUGGUUGUGUGAUACUUUAAAGGAAUCCUCGAAAGUCAAAGAAACUACAUGAAAACAUGGAAGUUUGAUGAUCACUUCUCAGAGUUGUUCUGCUCGAGAAACUAUAACAAUUAAGGUAACAUAACCAUUAACAGCAUUCAACGGAGGAGAAGUCAAUUACAUAUGUCUGUGAAGUAGUAUUUAAUAUAGCUUGGCUAGAUUGAAAGAAUCAUCUAUAUCUAUACUACAUUAAAAGCAUGGAACCCCUAACUUAAAAGUUUACGACAAUAUGAUUCCUAUCAGCAUAAAUACGUACUAUCUAGUAAAAAAAAAGAGGAAACUAAUUGGCAUAAAGAGAAACAACACAGAUGUUUAAUAGGAACAACCGAUCAUUGUUCUUAUCUCAACAAAAUAUGUGUUAUUUAAAAAAAAAAAAAGCAAGCAGAGGGGUAACUCUCAAAUCUCAAUCUCAUGCUUUUAUCCUACCAAGUAUGUUCUAUUCUUUAAUGCACAACAACAACAACAACAACAACAACAAACCCAGUAUAUUCCCACAUAGUAAUGCACUAACUUACUUUUUUACCCAAUGAAUUGAACUUUUUAGUGAGGAUCUAAAUGAUUUUCAGACUUUGUUUAACAUCUGAUUCAUUAAGAUAUAUUAACAGGUUGAAUCUUUUUUUAAAAAAAGCACUUAAUAGGCUGAUAUCUGAACCAUUCAGAUCCAAACCUUCAUUAAGUGAAAGCAAAUGAAAAGGGAUUGUAGUGUAAAGUCUAUAAAUAUGGGUUAGUGUAACAAAUGUAGUUGACACAAUUCAAUACUCCUAUUAGCAACCUAUUUCACCUGUUUCUCCAGCUCAUCCAUAACAUCUGUAAAUAAGUAGUACCUGGAAAAUCUCCAAGCGAUUGAUUUUCUCAAGGCAGGAGCAUCUUUCAUCAGUUUCCAAGCGGUCCUGAACUUUCCACCACUGGCUACUAGCCUGAACAAAAGAAGUCAGCAACAAUGGAACUAUGGAAGUUCUAUCUUCUUGAAAUAGAAAAACAUAAUCUAGGAACUGAUGCUAAGACCACUAGAACAAAUACCUUAAUAAAGUCAAAGGAUUUUAAAAAUUCUAAGUACUCCACUCUAUUGCGCUUCUGCUCCUCCAAUGCCUUCGCAUGCUUCUGGUAAAAUCCAGUACAAAGUAAAAAAAAUAAAAUUUCUCUUUAAAGAAAACAAUAUGGACAAAGAGACUGUAACUACACUUUCAUGAAAGUAACGAAAAACUCUUCCUGUUUUACGAUGGAGAGGGGAGAGGAAGAAGCAUAUCAUAGUUUCAAGUUUCAAGAAAAAUUACAUACAAUACAUGGAAGUCUAUUUAUAUUAGAAUUCAAUGGUGAACAAAUUUAAAUCUUGUACCCUUGAGAAGCCAUUAAAAAUGUAUUCAAAGAACACAAGAUUUUAAGUUGAAUAUCUACAACAUUCCUUCUUUCUACUCUUUAAGCAAAACAAAAAAAGGGAACAAACUAAAAGACAUCCUGCAAAGGAAAGGAAUGGAAUGACUGUUGUUAAUCAAGUGGACCAGUGCCAAACUCAACUUCAAAGUCUAGGUCAGGUGGUGAAGAAUGUCCAAGAUCAUAUAAGGAAACUACAGCACAUACACCUUACUAGUGUGGGAUUCUCAUACAUUAAUCGAACACCAAGACUAGACAUUUGUAGCAUCAGUUAACCUAGGUUGGCUAACAUCUAAUAGUCUAACAUCAAGAUAGAUCUGCCUCUAAUACCAUGUUUAAGAAAUUGGACCUUGUUUCUAUCUCAAAUGAAAGGCUAACUUAAUUUGUGAGGAGCCAAAGACCAUAUAAGGAAACUACAAUCCGCACACUUUGUUUUUAACAUAUAGAAGCUUACAAGAAAGUUCUGCAAAAGAAGCAUCAACUUUUUAUCUUAUUCCUCCACAUAAUCUUCAAAAAGGUCCCCACAGUCUUUAGCUCGCUCAACAGCUUUAAAAUGUUCAUCAUGUUCAAAUAUGGAGAUUGCCUUACUGAAUAAUCAAUAGCAAAUAGUUGGUGGAUCAAAUGGAACUUACAUAAGUAAUGGAUCAACUUCAAGGUACCAAAACACAUACAAACAAUGACCAAUAUUAGAAAACAAGCAACAGACAACUUAACAUUACAAGUGAAAGACAAACCUCCAUCUUGAUGAUGGUGACAGCUCCUUGCAAUCCUGUAAGAUUGAGAACAACGGACAUUGUUAUGAAAAAUACCACUUAUUCUUUUGAACAAGUCAAAUACCAGUCACUAACACAUCAUGAAUAUUAUGAUAAUAUCUUUUUAUUUUUGAAACUGGUAAUGUGAAUAUCAUGAUAUAUCAAAUAUAAGACACCCACAAAAGAAAAUUUCACUUACUUUUAAAAUUACCCUGAAAUCUUCCCGAGCUUUUUUCUGUUUAACACGCCUCUCUUCAGCUUCUAGUUUUCUCUUUUGGCUCAAAUACUGGAACAGACACACGACUUCAAAAUGAUCACUAUAGACCUUAGGUGUGUUUGGUAUGAAGGAAAAUGUUUUCCUAGAAAACAAGUUGGUUUCUUACUUGAUUUCUUAUGUUUAGUUGAUGAAAGGAAAAUAUUUUUUAGAAAAUUUUUUCUAGUGUUUGGUUGGUGAAUAAAAAAAUAUUUUUCAGAAAAUACAUUUGAGAGUUGUAUAAAAAUUUCAACUUAAGAGUGAGAUUGAAAGAGAGUUUUGGAAAAUGUUUUUCCUACUUUUGGAAGGGAAUUCAUUUUCCUUAAAUUUAAGAAAAAUAAGUUGAUUUGGAAAACAUUUUCCAAAAUAUUUAAGUCAACCAAACAUGAAACAAUUCAAUAUCAAACACAAUCUAUCUUUUUGCAAUAUGGUAUGCUGAAACAUUGAGGCAACAAUUAACCAUUCCAAUGCCGACUUGGAGAGAUACCUCAUUAAAAGCUUGCUUCUGCUCACAAAGGGAUUUUACAGCACCAUAUCUCCGGUCAUUAAUUACUGCUCUCAUGGCCUGACUAAUACAAUUCAUGUCAAAUGAUCUCCCUCAAUUGUUUGGUACGCACAAAACACUCAAGUAAUAAACCUGAUUCCACAUGCAAUCAGACCCAAUAUUUGCAGAUUCCAAAAGAGUUUUGAAUGUACUCUUUUCCUCCUAAAUAAAAUCAGAUACUUAAAAUAGAAAUAAGAGAAAUUUCGAGAACAUACAUUAAACGAGACAAAAAGCAAUAAUCAACUAUACCGCUUUGCUCUCAUAAACUAAUGGUCCCAGCUCGACUAUUUUCUCAUCUGAUGGAGUAGUACCUCCGAUUUCAGUUAUUACAACAUCUUUCUUGACAUUCUGCAUGUUAGGCACAACAUCAAUCACAAAGGACAAAAGCAAACCUCAUUGGAAUUUGUAGCAUAUUCUUCACCUGUUAGCAGUUGACUAACAACUACACUACAAAAUUGUUGGAUCAACAUCCAGCAUAACAGCUAUGAAAAGCUUUCUUGGUGUUUUAACCAGUAACCAGUAGUAAUUAACUAAUUGCAUAAGUAUUUCAGAAGGACAAAGUACCUCUCUAUUCUUCGAAGAAAAUCCAUCACCAUACACUACUGUAACUUGAGUUGUAGUAGUCUCAAAACUACAGAAAAAUUGAAUUCCAAAUAAGAAGCAACAUAAACCAGAGGCAAAUUUAUAACAUAUAAAUCUGAAAACAUGCACCGGUGGCGCGACAGAAUUUCCCAAGGUUACUGCUAUUCCAAUUUUCUCUGAAUUAGCAACAGCUGGCAAAGCAGGUUCUGAAGAAUUCUUCAUUUCAACUGUUCCAAUCAUCGGAGAAGAAACAUUACCAGAUAAACUUGAUGAUUCUAAAGCCACAAUAGUUGGUAAGUUAGCAGCUGGUGACACAGCAAUUGGGCUUGAUUUAGCAUCGUGUGCCGAGACUAAUAAACCAUCUGCACCCGGGGAUGAUGUUUUAACAACAGAAAUGGAUCCAAAAUCAGAAGCGUGCAAAUUCUCUCCAGGACUUGUAAAUUCUCUCCAGUAAGUUGAUGCGUCUGCCUUCUGUCCCAAUGAAAACUGAAUAAAAGUAGGUUAAGUCAAAAAAUAGAACAUAAACAGUACCCUGAGAGUAGAAAUCAAUAACUUCCAGCAGUACAAUACUGGAUGGAAGUGUUAGAAUAUGAAUGAUAUAAUGUCCCACAUAAAAAAGGACUAGCAUGUACUGUGUAGAAUAUAACUACAAGCAGGGUGGAAACAUUGCCAAGCUGCGGCUGAGCUACAACUAUCCAAGGGUGAUCAACUCAACAACAUUCGCUUGAUAAUCGUAUUUUGUAUAUAUAUAUAUAUAUAUAUAUAGGUCAAAUUCUGUCGUUUCUAAGUAUUUUUUAAUGAACACCCUCGCCACAAAAAACAAGACGGAGUGUGACAGUAAGGGUGUUCAAAUCUUGCAAUGAGGUUCUAAGUUCCAUACUCAACACAGCCCCCCCAUAAUUUUUUUUUUCAUUUGGACACGUUUGAAACUCAUAAACUACAGUUAUGCUUUUUUUGAUGAAUCAAUUUCUGAACAUGUGUUUUUUGUCCCAAUUAGCUCUUACAAAAGAGCUAGUAACUAGCAUGCCAGGUAUCAGAAUUUUGUUAAAAUAAACUUAAAGGUAAAUUUAUAAAGUGGUUGUUAUACUAGCUAUCUUGCAUGGGGCAGAGUGUUUGGCUGGUCAAGAGCUCGCAUGUUCGAAAGAUAAACGUAGAAGAAAUGAGGAUGUUGAGAUUGGUGUGUGGGCAUACUAGGAGAGAUAGAAUAAGGAACAAAGAUAUGCGAGAAAAAGUGGUAGUGCUCUCUGUGGUGGACAAUUAACAAGAAGACUAGAGGGUUGGGGAUAAAGAACCUAAAAAUUCAAAGUAAGGCUCUCGUGAUGUAAUGGUUUUGGAAAUAUGCAAACAAUAACCAGCUGCUAUGGAGGAAAGUGAUUGGGACUAAAUAUCCUGAAGAAGAUAGAUGGAUAAAUAAAGAAUUGACCACACCAUACGGGAUUAUCCUCUAGAGAUCUAUUAGACAAUAGUGGAAUGAAGUUAAAAGAAACUCAAAGGUUAAAGUGAUGGAUGGAAACAAGACUAGGUUCUGGAAGGAUAAUUGACAUGAGGAUGGGAAUAUGGAAGUUAUUUUUCCUGAUAUCUACAACUUGGUAUUGCUUCAAUAGAGGACUAUAGCAGAAUUAUGGACACCACAUGGGUGGAACUUCAAUUUCAGAAGGCAACUUAAUGAACGGGAGGUAAUGAGAGUAGUUGAAUUUUUUAAUACCAUGGACUUAUUCAAUGGACUGCAAACAGUGAAGGAUGUACUAUGGUGGAUGGGAAAUGAAAAAGGAAUGUUCAGUGUCAACAAAGCCUACAAGAUAAUGAACCAAAUAAAUCACCCAGAUCCAAGAUGGCCAUGGAAGAAAAUAUGGAAAAGUAGGAUACCUCACACAGUGUCGUGCUUUGUCUUUGUCUGGUUACUAACCAAGGAAGUAGUUCUUACACAAGAUAAUGUCAUGAAGAAAGGAAAAACCUUGUGCUCCAUAUGUUUCCUCUGUGGAGAAACUUAGUGAUGGUUAACCAUGUAUUUCUACAUUGUAAGUACACCCAACAACUUUGGAGAAUCGUCUCAAGACUAAAAGGCAUUUCCAGGACAAUGCCUAGGAAAGUAUCCAAGACUUUAAUAUGCUGGGAGAACCAGGUGUACAUGCGAAGAACAGAGGUAGAUGGAGAAUUAUCCCUGGUGCUAUAUGGUGGGCUAUAUGGAAAGAAAGGAAUUCUAGAUGUUUUGAAAGCAUAGAGAAUAGUGUGCAGAAGGUUAAACUCAAUUGCAAUUUUGCUUUUAUGUUUUUAGUGUAAUCAACUAUACUCUAAUGAUAUUACCUCGAUAAUUGAUGUUCUAGACUAAAUUUAGAGAUAGAACAGUUGAUUUUGGAGUACUCUUGUAUAUAAAGGUUUCAGUACAACCCAUGUACUGUGUGAUAUAAUACAAAGUUGCCAAGUUCAAAAAAAAAGAUAAUAAUUUUUCAAGUACUAAAAGUUUAUAAAAUAACAAAUAAAGCAAUUAAAUCUGAGUUCAAAUUAGGUGGGUUGGGUUAUGACCCGAAUUUUAGAGCAUUUCAACCCAACUCGUUUCAGCCCAAGUAGCUUUAGGGCGGGUUAAUAACCCGCCCAUUUAUUAACUCAGACCUCUUUGAUCCGCCCAAAUCCAGCCAACCCCGCCCAUUCGACACCUUUAUUUUAAAAGAAGUAAAGUGGACCAUGCCAGAACACAUACCAGAUCUAUUGAGUUGAAGUAAAGUGGACUAUCAAAGGACACACAACAAUCUGUUGAGUUGUUGGAUUAGUGGGGAUUAAAAAGAGUGAGAAGAAACGGGGGAGAACAAUCCUUCCUUGUAUUUGGUGGACUGUAUGGAGCGAGAAAAUUUGAAGGUAUUUUGAAGAUAAAUAUAAUUCCAUUCAGAAAGUUAAAUGAAAUAACAUUGUAGAUUUUUGUUUAUUGUUUAAGGGCCAAUGUGUACAGGAUGCAUAACAGGUAGUAGAUCUCUUCGAAUCCUAGCAUUAUUUUCAUUAUUUUUCAUUUCUUUUGGACUGUUAGCAUAAUCUUAACGCUGACGAAUACAAAGUAAUAUCUCUGAAAAAAAACUGUUUAUCUGAAAAAAAAAAGGAAUAAAAAUGUUCAAACUUCCUUACAGCUCCAGUUGUUGGUCCCUUAAUACUUGUCCCUCACAACCAGCCAAACUUUCUUUGAUAACCGUCAUGUUUGGGCCAGCUUGCACCUUGACUAGUUACACCAGGUACUGCUACCUCCCACCAGCACAGAUACUAGGUAACUCUGUCCAUCAAGGCUUGGACAGACGGUAAGAAAUCACCUAGUGUUUUUAUCUCUGUUGGAAAUUAAACCUGAGACCUCAUGGUUCUCAAUCUACUUCAUUGACCACUAUGUCACACUUUUGGGUGCAAGUGUGCAACCAGCCAAACUAUUAUUCUGUAAACCAGAAUGAGAAGUGUCAACCACAAUAUUAUAUCAAGUUUCCUCUCUCCAUAUCAUCAUUGAGUUACAAUAACAUUACAUUAAUCAGAAAGUAAAUAAAAUUGUUUAAAAUAGACCAAAUAUAAUCCUGUCGUGUAUGCUUAAACACAUUUUUUAGAACAAUAGUGUUAAAUAUAAAAUCUUUUAGAACUAUAUUAGAAAUAAAAGGUCAAUGCAAAUCCCAAAUGAAGCCUACAUAGUAUAGUAAGAUCGAGGAAAUUUGCUCGCUAAACAAAUUUUCAACAGAAAUCACAUAUACUUAGGAAAGAAAAAGAGUUUCUGCGAAGCUUCAUAGAAAAAGAAUCAUGUACUUCUUUUUCAUUGAUAAGCACAGGAAACUGGAUAAAACUACCCAUAAAAAUCUCGAUGACAUGAGACCUCACCUCCAUUUCUGUCAUUAUCUCUCGAGGUUUCUCCCAGGUAGAGAUUCUUGUCCUUCUAUUAUAAUAGUAUCUAAAAAUCAAUUCAAGAAUUGUAAGAAUGUUACUAAUUGGUUGGAGUAAUAAAGCCAUAGGAAAUAUGACAACAUUAGCAACCAUAACUGGCCUACUGAUCAUCAAAAGAUGCUGAAAAUAGCAAUACCUACUAGCAUUUAGACACAUGUAAAUAUGUAUGAUAAUAGAGAAAUGGGGUCAAAAUGAAGUUAUCGGUAGUGGUGUAUCAAGUUCUGCUGAUCAACAGUCAGGUAGAAUUUGGUAGCGGUGAACGGCAGCCCAUAUGAUAACUUUGACAAAGAGGACUGAAACAAAUGGGCCUAUUAUCUCCAGUGCUAAUGGAAGCAGAAUGAUGUACAAAGCACUAGAUGUGGAUACUUGAGGAUUUCUUGGCAGUGAUGGGGGCCAACAUAUCCACCACUUGUUCAUAGACAAGAAAUUAAGUGUUUGUCCAAAUCGGCAUGCUCUUUUUUCUGGAGAACACAAAGUGGUAAAAAGAUUGGAUCUAAAUGAAAAUGAUUGCAGAGCUCCUUUUCUUGUAUACUGUGGUUUUACACCUUUCUUGUUCACUGGAAUCUUAAUUUGCUUACAAAAAACUAUCAUAGAAUUCAAAUGUUGACACUCUCAGUCAACACACACCCAUUAACCCAUUAACUUAAGUAUGUUACUUGUUGACAACAUUUAUGCAAAACGGGUACAAUAAAACACAUUGAAUUCUUACUGGAAUAACCAAGGGAGUUGUUAAUUCUCCAGUCUUCUACAUAGUUGUCGCAGAAUUCACAUUAUGAUUAAUUAGUGGCAUCCAGGGUUAUACCCCUGAUGGAAACGUAUGAUUAUUUAUCUGUGUCUGAUACUGGGAGCCAGAAGAAUCAACAUUUACCUGCUGUUAAAGACGAUAACAAAAUGUAUUUCAUCAAUAUAUGAAUGGAACAUCGGAAACUUAUUGACAAUAACCAAAAAAGAUCUUCCCAAGGCCUUACAUUAUAUGAAGAAGAAACAGGUAAAUUUGGGGCACCAGAACCAGGCAUGUGGUUAUUUGACAUCGGAAGAUUUCGCUGAAAAUCAUGGGGAAUAGGUGGUCCCUAAGGAAUACUAUGCUUUCCUACUACAGGUCUACCAGUAACCUAUUGCAUAGGUUGAGGAAAUUGGAUUUGAGAAGGUUGAGACAUCGCAACAUUUGAAUGUCCAAGUGGCAGAAAUUAUUAAGAUGACCCGGAACCAUAAGGUUGUGCCUGUGGGCUGGAAGCAUAGGCUGAAACUGCUAAAGAUGUGGGGAAAAUAGUUAUCAUAAUGUCUCUACAUUCAAAAGUCAUUUAUACCUCCCCCGAGCCUCCACAACUUUACCUGCAAUGACAUGGAUGGAAUAGCACCAGGAGCAGGACCAGCCAGAGGAGGUAUAGGAGGCUUCUCAACCAAUAUCCAUGCAAGGAAGAACAAAUGAAAUCAGAAUUUAGCUACUUUUCAAUCAUAUUUAGUUAAUUUUCUAAUCAAUGUCGAAAGAUUGUAUCCAUGCGCAACUCCCUAAAUUAAUUUGAAAGACAAGGAAAGAAUUUUGAAGCCAAACCACAUAGUAACAUGAAACCAUUUUCUUCAUCUAAUAAAUAGAAAGCUUGAAACGAGAAUAAAGAGAGAUAGGAAAUAGAUGACCUAUCAUAGCGUUAGAAGAGAAUGGACAAAAUGAUAAGCAUCUUUACCUUAUGGCUUGGGUUCAACAUCUACUGAUGGUCUAAGUAUCUUUUCUUCGGGUGUAAAGAAGCACGUCUGUUAAUGCAAAACUAUGAUCAUGGAACUGAAACAUGAGGUAUGAGUAGGUAUUAGAAUAACUGAAAAAUACUGAGACCAGAAUGGGUUGAGCCUCACUCUUCCCUUCUGAUGUUCUAUGUCAUACUGACAUCACUACUAGAAUCUGAAAGCCUGACUUAGUUAUUCGCUCUAUCAUCUCCCCCUUAGCUUCAAGUCAUCAUAUUAAGUUUAGGAGAUCCCUUACUAGACUCUAAACUGAAGUACACUCACUGCAAUCUGGGGUUUGAAAAACUACUAUACACGCAUAUCAUGGCACUUAACCCAAAUGACUACACCUAAAAGUUGAAAACCCACUGUUAAUACUACCUUCUGAGAUACACUUUAUCAUUCUAUAGACCCAGUAGUCAUCAUAUAAUACUUGCAUACUUCUAACUUUGGGUCUUCAUAGGUAUCCCCAUAGUCGGAGUGCACACCCUCUAGUGCUUUAACUCUUAUUUCUAUUAGUUCAACCUUCAAAAACUCAAACUUAGAAUCUAGCUCUCAACAUGGAUAUCACUAAGACUUCAAUGAAUCAUACUACUUCCGACAUAGCCUACCAAUAUCGCGACUCCAAACUUACAUCUCUCUACUAUGAGAACUAAGAUCAUAUAAAAAGUCUCAACACUAUCAAUCAAACUCCUUAACUUGGCUAUUUAGAACGCCAUAUACCAUCUAACUAGUCUUUCUCCACCUAGCAACUCAACGGUACCACUCAUCACACAAAACGUGUAAUAGUCUUAGAAAAUACCGCAACCCCAGAUCACCUUGGGUAUACUUCUACAUUAUAUAUGCAACAUCAUACUUCACUACGAAUCAAAUAAACUUAAGCUCUUGCAUAUAUCUUUCAAUCCUAUUAGAUUACUUUCAUAAAACUAGUAUCAUUAACCAAGAAAUCAUCACAUCCACCUUCAUGGACAUCAAUUGUUCAAAACUUAAUGUCUAGUGCUAAACAUGAUUUUACAACCCAACCUUACACAUGAUUCUCACUUGGAUACCAUGAAAUAGACAUCAAGAAACACUAGUACACUAGAACUUCCAAACAAAAAAUAAUUGAUCUUGACCUUAUGGUGUUCCUUAUCAUAACUCAUUAGCACGUACUAUUUUAACACAUCAAGCCUAAUAAUUUUUUUCCCACAAAACAUACAUCAUUAAUCUCAUACCACUAUUUUUACCACCACAUUCUACAUUAAAUUCAAGCAUAUAGUCCUGUACCAAUCAUCUAUCACUACUGAAAAAUGCAACAUAAUAUGCUAGUCCAUAAAAUUUGGGACAUACUAUACAAGCGCCUAAAAAAUCACUACAUACCUUCUCACAAGUAGUACUAGUUUACAAUUACCAACGAAAACAAGGUCAAGGGGUAAAGUUACAUAAUAGACAUGAUCAACCUUAAUCUUAUAUUAUAACCCCAUACAAUCUUUUCUACUUAUACGGAUUUCUCACCUCAUACUUACAUACCCAAACAUACAUUUAGACUACUUUCAAAUUCCACAAACAACCAUGAGUCUAUACUUACAACUUACUGGCUAAUAUAGCCAUUUUCACACUUCAAGCAAUCGAGAAAUCACCCUAACUAAAAACUCCUUCUCUACCUUCUACUAAACUAACACACAAGGACAAAUCACCUCUUUACCAACUCAAUCUCAUGCAAACAGAUUCAGCUAUAUAUAUAUAUAUAUUAAACUAACACAAGAACAACAAGUUGGACAACAAGUUGCUAGUGAAUCGAAAUAGGCCUCACACAGCUUCACUAGACUUCGAUUUCGUAUUUUGAACAAGAAAAUGAGAUGAAUGACAAGUCAACUAUGCUAGUGAAUCAAAAGAUCCCCACAGAGCUUCACUAGACUUUAUUUUUUUCAACAACACCUUGAUGACAAGAUUACAUGAGAUACAAAUUUAAUAUGCAAUAUCCAAUGAACUAAGAAUACACAUCUUACUUUGUAUAAAUAAAAUCGGAGUCAAACACUUCCUCCACGAACUACCAUACCAUCAACACAUGCAACUAGUUACCACAUUAGUCUAUCACCAUAAGGAGGUAAAUCAUUCUCGAACAUCGGUUAUUAUACUAAAAUAUUCAUUUACACAAAAGUCACCCUCGCUCUGACUUCUAACUUUGUGACUUCACAUCACCAACUUCUUGGUCUAAUUUCACUACCAAUAGGUCAUGACAACAACACUUUAGCACAUACUACUAUUCGGGUAGAAAUAUAGUUCUAACAUUCUACUACACAUCAUCCCCCCUAAAGCAAAACAUUUGUAACAUAAAUUUGAAGGGGACUAAAUGCAAUUAAUACCUCAAGAUGAAAAUCACGAUUCCAUCAGGAUCAAUGUUUACAUCGGAAUCAAUACACAUUGAAGCACUAAUGGACUCUUCUCAAGUUCUUGCACAAAUUUUAACUCUUAUAUGGUUCAAUCAGAAAGGACCAUACCAUUUAGAUUCUAAACUUCUUCACUUGAAUCACCACAAUAAUGAGACAUAUCUGAGGACAUUAGAGUAAGGAAAGAAUUUGGGAUGUCUUUUUUUUUUUACUUCCGUAUGGGCGACACCAUAGCACGAAUUAGAGUAUGAAAGAGGAACAUUCUGACUCUAUUGCAUGAACUAGAACAUGAAGAAAGAGAGACAUUCCUAAACGCCUAGUAGCCUCCUACUUAUAAGUGUGGCGCGCUACACACCCAUAAACAAGACUCUACCCGACGCGAUUUCACAGACACCCUGGGACCAUGAACCGUGCUUUGAUACAAAGUUUGUCACGACCCGAACCGGGGCCCUGGCCGUGACGAGCAUUCUGAACAAUGACUAAAACAACCAUGUCCCACAAUAUAUAUCGACAUCUGAACAACCGUCAGCGAAAUCUCUAAUAUAUGACUGAAACAAAUUACUGUCUGAAAACUGGUCCCCAGUAGACCCAAAAAUACUAAAUGAUAAAUGAACUGACACAGAACUUCCGAAAUAUAGAAGGCUCACCACUUGAUUCUGCAAAUCUGUCGAAAGAGAUUUACUGGUUAUCUGAACCCCUAAACUAUGCCUCCAAACCUGGGAGAGAAGGGGGUCAAUAUAAAAGUACUAGUACGCAGAGAAACCAAAAACAAAAUAUAAUAUUUUUUUCCAAAUAUAGGUGAGAGCCAUUAUAAAGCAGUUCUAUAUCAAAUUAUUUGAAAACACAUGGGCACAAUGUAAUAGUUUUCAACAAUAAUGUAAUACAGCUGAGCUAGGUGGAAUACCCUGCAUAUAACAUUUACACCAACUGUCAAAUCUCGGUUGCCGCUGAGAUUAGAGUAUAAGUGAGAGGAAGACAUACAAGAUCACAUAGCAGGGUGUCUCGACCCAAUAAAGUAUAGUACUGCCCAAGAUCACUUAUCCUGGGCGCCUAACCAUAGUCCCAAUUUGGGAAUGACAUAAAGUCAAGUACACAAGAUCACUUAGCCAAGUACCAAAUCCCCAUAUCGGCAAACAUGGUUUCCAGCGAUGAGCCCUUACACUCAAACGCCUUCUUCGGGCAUCCACCUAUCUCAUGUAAAAUCAAUGCAUCAAACUCCAUUUAAUUCAAUCACAUAUCUUAUUCUGUAGGGUAUGGUCAUACCCGACUUACAAGCCAUCAAUAUCACAUCAUUCUUUCAUGCAACUAUUAUAUUCAUCAUAUUUCAACAUAACAACACUCUUAUUGUAAGUCAAAACCAUGACCAUUUUAAAAAUAUUUCAUGUCACGCUUGUCAAGAUGAUUUCAAACAUUUCAUAUCAUAUGAGAAUUUAAAACGAGAUCAUAUAAAAAGAGGGAUUUCAUAUAAUUCAUGCUCUCAAGUUAACAUCUUUUCGGAAUACAUGCAUAUACAUAUAUCAUAUAUCAAACCACUUCGGGAAUAGGCCUAAAGACCAAAUCAAUAUCAUAAAAUGUUUAAAAUGGGAUUAUAUUCAUAAUUUCAAAACCCCCAUUUUUAAAACAUAAAUUUUUAAGCCCAUGAGAUUUUUUAGAUAACCCCGCGUACCUCUAUAUGCGAAGAUGAUAGGUGCUUCUUGAAACCUACGUUCUAGGGAUUCCAACUAUGCAAUUCGUUUCAAAAACCCACGGUUGAAUCUUGAGUUGCUUAGGUUUUUAUUUUGAAACCCUCAGGAGAGUUCUUGAGAAAUUUUGAUGAAUGAAGGUGUAUUUUGGGGUAUUUUGGGAACUGAAUUUCGUGUUUAUGGCUAAAUAAGGGUGGAAAAAGGACCAUUUUGGCCCAAAAAUGGAGUGUUUAAGUCACUUGAGUAAUAAUAUAUGCGGCACAAACCUUAUCACAUAAUUUAGGUUGUGCGUCACACUCUUUAUCGCACACAUUAGAUUGUGCGUCGCACACCUUAUGGCAUAAGUUAGGGUGUGCGUCGUACACCUUAUGGCAUAAGUUAGGGUGUGCAUCGCACACCUUAUGCUGUACGAUACACUACACUUUGCAAAGCUAUAACUUCUUCCUCGGGUGUCAAAAUUUUGUUAAAUUGGUAUCGUUGGAAAGAUAAUUCGAAUAUCUUUCAUUUGAUAUAUAUUAGGAACUCUAAUUCAAUAUAUACAAAGAGUAAUGGUCGAUUGAAGUUGACCUAAGUCUCAACGCUCACUAAAAUUCGAAUGAUAGGAAAACUUUCAACUUGUCCUUGAGCUUGGGGACCUCUAUGAUCUCAAUUCAUGCUCAAAUAGGUUUCCACACUACAUAAUUUAUUAACACACUAAAUUUGCAUUGGAUUAUGGAUUUUGGAACCUUUAUGUGAAGAAAAUGACAAUUUUCGUUCUCGUCCGAAAUGCGGGGUGUUACAAAAUUUUGUUAGAAAAUGGAGUACAUUUUAGCUGCAUCGUACUCCAAAUACACUAAACUGAACUUUAAAAGUAAUAAUGCAUUUCUUACCUGUUGGUGUGUAGCAUUCAAAAGUUUUAUUGUCUUUGGUCGGAAGAUAGCCACAACGACGGUUUCAAGCAUGAAGAUUAAACUAAAAAGAAGCCAUGCUCGCUCUGGAGUUCCUGCUACAUGAUGCAAUAUUACUCUACAAUGUUGAAGCCACUUUCCUAAUCCUUGGAGUCUAAGUUCUUUCGAGAAUGAAAUAUGAUUAGGUAACACAUCCUAAACAUCAUUUGAAUCGGUGACAGGAGGUUUACUAUCGCGAUGUUCUCCAUCAGCAUCCAAACUACUUCUCUACAAUAAGGCUAGAAUCAUUGGGUCCAAUCCAUUCUCCUUCAGCAUCACUGCAAAAUUAGGAUCAAGCCCUUUAUCUUGCAAUAAAUUAGCUAAUUCAUGAUCAGUGUGUCUUCCUUUCCGCUUUAACAUAGAUGUAAUCCUCGGAUCACUCAACUUUUCUUGAAAUGCAAGUGCGAAAUUCAAGUCCAGUAUCUGUUGGUUUGCAGAAGUGGAUGUACUAGAAUCACAGCCUUGGCUUUCAAGGCCACUGCUAGAACAAAAAAACAAUGAACUAUUGUGCUCUAAUUUUCUGUCAACAUAUGAUGAUCCUACUUCAGUCUCUUGAACAACUGAACGAUAGGAACUACUACGUAGAGCUAGACUUAGUCUUUCACUGUCUAUGCUCUUAUCACUAUUAAUCCCCUCAAUAUUAUUCCAGGUACUGCCAUCACUAGUGCAAGGAACAAUUGCAUUAUCAAUAUGACCAGCAUCAGCACUACUACUACAUUUGAUACUUGAGCCACAACCCUCAGAAGAGCUUGCGGAGCUAUUUUGGUCAUUUCUGUGGAAACCUUCUCUAAGGCGGAUAACUGUGCUCUACAAGGCAUCUCGUCUAGCUGCUGAUGGGUCUGUAACUGAUAAAUGCCGUGAAACAGCAGCACCCAACAACACAGAUGUUACAAUUUCAUAACUGAUACAAUGUCCAAAGUACCUGAAACAAAAUUAUUGCAGUAAAAGAUUAGAAGAUUUUUUUUGAUAACAAAAGAUUAGAAGUUUCUAUUCAACAAAUAAUAUUAAAAGGGAUGCAUAUGCCACAAGUAUAAGAAGACUUAAUUAUGGAAGAAAAUGAAUUAGCAUGGGUUAAAAACAAACCAAUAAUGAACUCCAAAAUAGAUCAGGAACACUCGAGAUGUACCGGCAACAAAAAGUAUGAUGACUCGACUUUUCAGAAGCUUAAAGCCAUACAAGCAAACUCCUAAGUUCCAAUCUGAUUGAAUGAAAAGAUAGUGAAUUCAUUACUUACCACAAAGAUAUAAGAAAUUAUUUCACAAUACGAGUCAGAAAAGGAGACAGAUAUAUGUAGAAAAUGAACUACCAAGGAUUAUCACGGCAGCUGAUGUUGUAGCCCCAAGCCAGUUUGAUUUCUUUUCUGUCAGACCAUACAGGAUAGAAUACACAAGAAGUACUACAAGUGAACCAACAUAUAGAAGUCCAAGAUGCAGAGCCCUGCAGAGCCCAAGUUCAAAGUGAAGAAGGGUAAAUUAUAGACUUCAGAGAAAAUAUUGAAAAGAUAGUGCAGAAAAUAUGAUGAGCAGUAUAAAUGAGAACCCACUGAACACAUAAUAUAAUAAGGUACUUUCUAAUCUAAAGCAGCAUUUAAAUUAAUUUUCUUAGCAGUGGGAUUUUAAGAUCUACUAUUUUUACUGGACUACUGGAGAGUGUGUUUUGUUCUCUCAGAGUUUGUAUUCCUUUUACUCAAAUAGGUUUGAGUUACACCCAUUGUUUAGCGUUCUUUGGCUCUUAAUUUUAAAAGUCCAUUAGAAUGAUUAGAGGGCAGGGUGGAACUCCCUCAUAGCAAGUCAAAUGAAGUUUAAAACUAUAUAAAGAAGAUGAAACUAGAGGCUUCUGUAUGUGUCUCACAUACUUGGCAUAAACCAUGUGUGAAUGAGCACAACAGAAUCAAAUGUACUGAGACAAAGCAAGCAUUUGAUUGCAGAUCAAAUGGAAGAGUCUGCCAACCAACCAAAUUUAAGAGCAGCUCUGGUCCAUGCACCAUUUUGAGGUAAAGUUAUAUGGUUAAAAAUUUGGACGUUACUUAAUAUAUGCACAAACUGAAAAUGAACUGCCCAGUUAGACAAGUGCUUUUUGUAUCUACCCAGUGACAACCUUAGUGAAAGAAUACAUCAAUGAGAAGUUAACUCAGUAAGCUUAAUGAGCUUUCUCCUGCAAGGAAUGAAAGUGUGGAUGACCCAACAUCAAAUAUACGAUUAUUAUUAUACACACAAUCUCCAUACAACAGCAACAACAUACCCGAUGUAUAUUCGGGCCGAAUAUAUGCAAACUAUACCUCUACCUCAGAGACGAGAAAAAAAUGGUAGCACCAAUCCUCACUAAAUACUUCAUAACACAAAAAACAGCCAAUACUUACAAAACCAAAUAAAGCAAAAGAAGUUCAUUGUCUUGAUCACCAGCAAGUAAAACAAAUGUUUACAAUUGGAGAUUCAAAAAGGUUGCAAAAGAAAGAAGCAAACUUUCUAUUUAACAAGUAUCAAAGGGGGGAAAAUAAGAGUAAAACCAGUAAGUAUACGAGAAGUAUGAACACUAUAGUCAAUGAACAAAAUAUGAAUUGUAGUUUAGCCAUUUAGCAUCCAUCACUCCAACAGAGAAUUAGGUCUUGUAAGAAGGUCGAAAGAUUUGCCUAUCGAGUCUUUCAAGAUUAUGAUUUGACCCUCUUUCAUAAGAAAGUCUUCGUUGAGGGUAUCUACCUUCCUUUUCAACAUAUUGAUUCAUAAUUCAACGGCAUGUUCAUCUCACUGUAGCACUUAACUUCCUCCCACAUGAAAUCCCUCUCCUGAAACACUUUUGGUAGUAUCUCCUUCACAAUGCCAAGUUCCUUCAUGCAUUCUUGCAAAUCAUUAGUAAGCUGGUUGAUAUUUUCAUCCUUUUUUAGCAGCUGCCAGAAUCAACCGUAAACCAUGAAAAACAAGAAAGACACAAAGAUCACCAAUAACAUUUCAUCAAAAAUUCAAAACAAAACCAUAGCCUAGAAGUUCAACCAAAUCAUGAAUCCUUUUUAACUGUUAAAAUUCACAGUAGAUAACUCGUGAACUUGUCCAAGAAUUAAGUCAGAUGAACGAGCAAACUUACCGAAACCCCUUCGGGUAACUUUACCACAUCAGAGCAAAAUCAGAUCAAUGGGUUUGAGGAUAUCACAAAGUGUAUCAUGUUCUUGGUUGGUUCAACUUAUUACACAUUAAGGCGAUCAGACAUUUCAUAGAAGACUACCACAUGCCAGCAACUCAUGUAUACAAGUUCAUAAAGAAAAUCGUGAACUUCAGAUGGAACAAAGAUGAACCUAAAAUCAAACAGAAGUAGAAAGCUAAUGCAGAGAGAGUAAGAUAUGAACAGACUAUCAUAUAUGAAGACGAGGUAUCCAAAGUUGAAAAAUAAAAACUAUUUCGUUGCAAUGAGAUCUUAACAUUUCAUGCUUACCUGAAGCUCGAGAUAUUUCAACUUAGGUAUGGCAUAAGAAAGAGUGUCCAACGCAUUUCGCACUUCAUAUUUGAGAAUGUCGUUACCUCUAACUAUUGCGACUAGAUCAGCCUGAAGCUGCUUUAUGUCCAUCUCCUCGGAAUAGAGCUUCUCCCUUAGCAUAGUUGUUAGCAAAGUCUCUGAUUUAAGAUCUUUAACCUUUUCCUGGUAGUUUUCUCAGACAUAAUCUCUAUUGUCUUGAGCUACUCGAUAUUCCGUUUGUAACUGAGUGAGCUGCAACCUUAGAUUUUGAUUCUCCUCUGACACUUGCUCUAUUCUCUUAGACAAAUCUCCAAGGUAUUUCUCCGAAAAUGACAUAUUGAUUCUAUUAUCUACUUCCUUCUCAUUAAAUAAAGAGACUUCCCUUGGUAAAGAGACAUUCUACUCUACAAGCUCCCUCACCCUUUCAUAGAGUCUAUGUUGUUCAAUUUGGUAUUUCUCAAGUUUUAAAGACCAAUCACUGGAUCUUCUAUCCAACUACUUUUCCAUUAUUGAUUGUAACUCAUUCUUUUCUGUCUCCAAUCUUCGUGUCCAUGAAUCUAUUUCUGCCUGUAAUAUGCUAGCUUCUUCCUUAGCAGAAGCCCUUUCAGCAACUUGAUUCCAUAGCAUGCUUAAAACUUCAGAAGCCAUUUGUACCUUCUCCUUUGUCAAUCUUCUAAUAGUCUAAAUCAACACUGGAAUGCUAAGGUCUCUGCCAUAAGAAAUAUUUGUCAUUACUUUGGACAAGCAAAUGCAAAUUAAAACAUCAGUUUAAGUGUGAAAAAGAAAGCUAUAGCAAAAUGAUAUGCAUACCGGCUUGAAUCACGACCAGAUUUCUUAGGAUGAACUUUCUUACUAUGACCAUGGAGAGAUUUGCUCAGAUUCGUGAAAUUCUUUUUUCCUAACCCACUGUCAUAAAAGAAUCCAGAUGACAAUGAAACACUUCUCCUAGAAGAAACUUCCUUGGACUUUAAUGGUGGUGAAGGGGUCUUGUUUGCAUCAUUAGUUGAUGAUCAAAAAAAGAAGAAGUUGUUCUUCAUCAUCUCUAUGUAUGGAUACUGUACAUGAAUCAAAACUAGUGUCCAUGAGAUUUCAAAGGAUAAAGCAAAACACUCAUAAACAGCCACUCACAAAUCAUUAUCCAUUCAUGAAAAUACUGCAAGCUAACUAAAUACUUAUGAUACAAAGAAAAACAUCUCUCUUUCUACAUGCUUCUUCUUCAACAACAACAUACGUAACCCCUACCUUGGCAAGUAGAAAAUUUAUUUCCCAUAAAUCCUCGGCAAGGAAAGCAAAAACACGAGGAUAUUAACAACAGUAGCAAGUAUGAAAAUAGAGGUAUACGAUACAAAAAGUAGAAAAAAAAAUAUGUACUAAUACUACUACCAGAAGAGACAUGACGCGAAACUAUUUAGUACUAGUCUUCUACUGAAAAUAAAUAAAAUACCCCACAAACAAAUAGCCCAAGAACAAUUCAAAGAACUUAUCAAAUCCUUCUGAUAAAACAAAUAAUCAUGGUAAAUAAUUAAAAAAAAAAAAAGAGAAAUUACUGAAUCAAAGAGUUGAAAGAGUAAGAGCCGGCAAAAGGUUGUCAGAAUCUGUAGGAUUCUUGUCAUUUUUUCUUGAAAUGUAAAAAUAGCAAAGGACUAGAAUGGAGAAAACUUUAUUUCUGUGUCUUUCAUUCAUCAUCGUACAAUGCAUAUAUACAACUAACAAGGAUCUGUAAAUUGCAAGUAAAUAUUUACAAGGAUCUGUAUAUGGCAAGUAAAUAUUUACAAGGAUCCAUAAAUAUGACAAGUGAAUAUUUACAUACACAUAAUGAAAAACUUGAGAAAUACCCAUGAGAGAGAGAGAGAAGAAAAGUGUAACAAAUAUUUUGUGUUAUUCAAUGGCUAUAAAUAGCCAUAUGAGGUCAAAUUUUCCAUAUAAUAGAAAUAAGAUGUAAACUAUAAAUUAACUUUUUCAAAUUAGCACACAAAUUAACUUAAAUUAUGAAAUUAAAGAUAUUUAUUUUUUCAAAAUUUAACUUUUCCAUAUAAACAUCACUGAAUUGAUAUAAGCAAUAUUUUGAAACGUGAUAAAUUAAUUAAAUAACACAAAAAUAUUGUAAUAUUGUAUUUCUUUUAUCUCUAGAUCUUUUUUAAUACAUAAGAAAUACUAAAGUCAUACAAUAAUCUCCUUUCUUUUUAUAGUCCAAACUUACCAUUUAAAAAUCGUUUCAUUUGAAUUAAUAAGAUCAUAGUAGAUUGUACAAAAUCAGUUAAUAAAUGAUAUAUAUUUCCAUUAAAUAAAUAAAGUACGAUAUAAUUGUAAUAAGACUACACAAUCAACUAAUUAAUUUCACUUAAUUAGAUUAAAUUUUAUGAUCAUAAUAUAUAGACUAAAGUUCCUUAAAUUUAAUGUUGUAAAUUUCAAAAUACAUUUAUGGCUAAAGUAGUAGUCAAUGUUCGUUAUUUUUUUUAAUCAAUAUAUGUAUAUCAAUUAUAGAACUUUGCAUAUAUUCUUUAUUAAAAUAAUUGUCAAUAUUAAUUGAAUUUUACCAUAAUUUAAUCUAAUUAGUUUGAUAACAGUACAAUUAUUAUUAAUAUUAUAUAUUUUUUAACCAUAAAUUUGUCCUAAUUUUAUAGAUUAUUCUAUUUAGUUAAUCUACAAUUACAUAAAGGACUCAAAUAUGGAAACAAUUGAUAUUAAUUACCUUUAUAAUUUCAAAAAUUUAAUCCCAUGAAUUUCUCAUACUCUUAUAGUUUGAUUAUAGCAAAUUGAUAUUAAUUACCUUUAUAAUUUUGGGAAGAAUUUUUAAAAGUUAACGAUUAUUUUUUUCCUAAUUGUUGAUUUAUUUCUCAAAAAUUUCUUAUAAAUUUAUAAUUUGAUUGUAGUUAAUUGAUUAAUUAAUUAUCUUUUUAAUUUGCUAAAAACUCAAAUAAGGUACAAUUAUUUUUUCUCAAUUACAGAUUUUCUUAAAUUCAAUCUUUUAUUGUUUUACUAAAAUAGUUCAAAUUUAAUUGUUUUGAGGCAUGACAUCUUUUUGUCUAUAAAUCUUUUUUAAUACAUAAGAAAUGCUAAAGUNNNNNNNNNNNNNNNNNNNNNNNNNNNNNNNNNNNNNNNNNNNNNNNNNNNNNNNNNNNNNNNNNNNNNNNNNNNNNNNNNNNNNNNNNNNNNNNNNNNNNNNNNNNNNNNNNNNNNNNNNNNNNNNNNNNNNNNNNNNNNNNNNNNNNNNNNNNNNNNNNNNNNNNNNNNNNNNNNNNNNNNNNNNNNNNNNNNNNNNNNNNNNNNNNNNNNNNNNNNNNNNNNNNNNNNNNNNNNNNNNNNNNNNNNNNNNNNNNNNNNNNNNNNNNNNNNNNNNNNNNNNNNNNNNNNNNNNNNNNNNNNNNNNNNNNNNNNNNNNNNNNNNNNNNNNNNNNNNNNNNNNNNNNNNNNNNNNNNNNNNNNNNNNNNNNNNNNNNNNNNNNAUUUCAUUUGAAUUAAUAAGAUCAUAGUAGAUUGCACAAAAUCAAUCAAUUAAUUAUAUAUAUUUUUAUUAAAUAAAUGAUGUACGAAAUUGUUGUAAUAAAACUAUACAAUCAACUAAUUAAUUUCAAUUAAUUAGAAUCAAUUUUAUGAUCAUAAUAUAUAGACUCAAGAUCUUUAAAUUUAAUGUUUUAAAUUUUAAAAUAUAUUUAUGGCUAAAGUAGAAGUCAGUGUUCGUUGUUUUUGUAACCAAUAUAUGUAUAUCAAUUACGAAAAUUUGCAUAUAUUUUUUAUUAAAAUAAUUGUCAAUAUUAACUAAUUUUUAACUCAAUUUAAUGUAAUUAAUUUGAUAACAAUAAAAUUAUUAUUAAUAUUAUAUAUUUAUUUACCAUAAAUCAGUCCUAAUUUUAUAGCUUGAUUAUAGUUAAUUAAUCUAUAAUUACAUAAAGGGCUCAAAUAUGAAAACAAUUGAUAUUAAUUACCUUUAUAAUUUCGGCAAUUCAAUCCCAUGAAUUUCUCAUGUUUUUAAUAGAUUGAUUAUAUUAAAUUGAUAUCAAUUACCUUUUUAGUUUUGGGAAGAAUUUAAAAAAGGUAACGAUUAUUUUUUUUCCUAAUUACUGAUUUAUUUCUCAGAAAAUUCUUAUAUAUUCACAAUUAGAUUAUAGUUAAUUGAUUAUUUAAUUAUCUUUAUAAUUUUCUAAAAGCUCAAAUAAGGUAACAAUUAUUUUUUUCUAAAUUAAGGAUUUUCUUAUAUUCAAUCUUUUAUUGUUUUACUAAAAUAUUUCAAAUUUAAUUGUUUUGAGGGAUGACAACUUUUUGUAUCUAAAUCUUUUUUUAAUACAUAAGAAAUGCUAAAGGCAUACAAUAAUCUCCUUUCUUUUUAUAAUCCAAACUUACCAUUUACAAAUUAUUUCAUUUGAAUUAAUAAGAUCAUAGUAGCUUGCACAAAAUUAAUUUAUUAAUUAUAUGUAUUUUUUUAUAAAAAAUAAUGUACGACAUAAUUGUAAUAAAAUUACACAAUCAACUAAUUAAUUUCAAUUAAUUAGAAUCAAUUUUAUGAUCAUAAUAUAUAGACUCAAAUUCCUUAAAUUUAAUGUUGUAAAUUUUAAAAUAUAUUCAUGGCUAAAUUAAUAGUCAGUGUUCGUUGUUUUUUACCAAUAUAUGUAUAUCAAUUACGAAAAUUUGCAUAUAUUUUUUAUUAAAAUAAUUUCAAUAUUAACUGAUUUCUUUCUCAAUUUUGAUCUAAUUAAUUUUAUAACAAUAAAAUUAUUAUUAAUAUUAUAUAUUUAUUUACCAUAAAUCUAUCCUAAUUUUAUAGCUUAAUUAUAUUUAAUUAAUCUACAAUUACAUAAAGGACUCAAAUAUUGAAACAAUUGAUAUUAAUUACUUUUAUAAUUUUAAAAAUUUAAUCCCAUGAAUUUCACAUAUUCUUAUAGUUUGGUUAUAUCAAAUUUAUAGUAAUUACCUUUAUAAUUUUGGGAAGAAUUUAAAAAGGUAACGAUUAUUUCAUUUCCUAAUUACUGAUUUAUUUCUCAAAAAUUUCUUAUCAAUUCACAAUUUGAUUAAUUAAUUAUCUUUACAAUUUGCUAAAAACUCAAAUAAGGUGACAAUUAUUUCUUUUAUUAAUUAUGGAUUUUCUUAUAUUCAAUCUUUCAUUGUUUCACUAAAAUAGUUCAAAUUUAAUUGUUUUGAGGGAUGACAUAUUUUUGUCUAUAAAUCUUUUUUAAUACAUAAGAAAUGCUAAAGUCAUACAAUAACCACCUUUAUUUUUAUAAUCCAAACUAAUUGCAUAUUUGGAAUCCCCAGAACGCAGGCUUCAAGAAACACCUAUCAUCUUCGCAUUUAGAGGUACGUGGGGUUAUCCUAAAAUCUCAUAGGCCUUUAAAUUCAUGUUUUACAAUGGGGGUUUUAAAACUACGAUCAUGUUUUGAAUGUUUCUAUAAUAUUGAUUUGGCCUUUAGGCCUAUUUCCGCAGUGAUUUGACAUAUUAUAUAUGUAUAUGCAUGUGUUUUGAAAAGGUGUUAAUUUGAGAGCAUGAAUUAUAUGGAAUCCCUGUCUUGAUGUGAACUUGUUUUAUAUUUUCAUACGAUUUAAAUUGUUUGAAAACGUCUUGAAAAGCAUGAGAUGAAAUGUGUUGAGAAUUGAUAUGAUUUUGACUUGAAAACGAGAAGGCUAUUUGCGUUGAAACAUGUUGAAUACAAUGGUUGAAUGAGAAGAAUGAUGUGAUAUUGAUGGUAUGCAAGUCGGGUAUGACGAUACCCUACAGAAUAUGAUAUGUGAUUGAAUCAGAUGAAAUUUGAAUGCAUUGAUUUUACAUGAGAUAGGUGGAUGCCCGAAGAAGGCGUUUGAGUGUAAGGGAUCAUCACUGGAAACUGUGUUUGCCGACAUAGGAAUUUGGUACCCUGCUUUGUGAUCUUGCAUACCUGACUUUAUGUCAUUCCCAAGUUGGGACUAUAGUUAGGAGCCCUACUUUGUGAUCUUGUGCACAACCAUUAGGCCGAGACACCCUGUUGUGUAAUCUUGUGUGUCUUCCCCUCACUUAUACUCUAAUCUCGGUGGAAACCAAGGUUCAACAGUUGGUGUAAAUGUGAUAUGUAAGGUAUUCCACCUAGCUCAGCUGCAUUAAAUUGUUGUUGAAAACAAUUACAUUACGCCCAUGUGUUUUCAAAUGAUUUGAUGUGAAACUGCUUUAUAAUGGCUCUCAACUAUAUUUUGUAAAAAUAUUAUGUUUUGUUUUGAUAUCUCUGCGUACCGGUACUUUUGUAUUGACCCUCUUCCCUUCCAGGUUCGGAGGCACAGUCUAGGGGUCCAAAAAAUCAGUAGAUUCCUCAGACAGAUUUGCAGAGUCACUUGGUGAGCCUUCUAUAUUUCGGAAGGCCUGAUCUCUGGCAGUUUCAUUUAUCAUUUAUUAGUUUUGGAUCUACUGGGGGCCUUGUCCUAGUUUUCAGAUAGAUAUUUAUUUCAGUCAUAUAGUAGAGAUUUUGCAAACAUUAAUAGAGAUAUUGACUUGAGAUUAUGGGACAUUAUUCCCCGUUAUUGAUUUCAUAUGUUUCUUGACCAUGUUUCCGUAAUAUUAUUUAUCUUCCGUAUUUCUUUUAUCAUAUGAGUUAUGUACAUGAUUAUCAGACAAAUAAGGGUAUUUUGGGCCUUCAUGGUUCGGAAUGCUCGUCACAGCUAGGGCCCCAGUUUGGGUUGUGACAAACUUGGUAUCAGAGCACGGUUCAUGGUCCUAGGAUUUUUACAAAAUCACAUCGGGUAGAGUCUUAUUUAUGGGUGUGUAGCGCGCCACACUUAUAAGCAGGAGGAUACUAGGCGUUUAGGAAUGUCUCUCUUUCUUCAUGUUCCAAUUUGUGGAAUAGAGUCAAAAUGUUGCUAUUUCAUACUGUCAUUCGUGCUAUAGUGUCGCCCAUAUGAAGGUAAAGACAUCCCAAAUUCUUUCCUUACUCUGUUUUUCUUAGACAUGUCCCAUUAUUGGGGUGAUUCAAGUGCAAAAAGUUUAGAAUCUACAUGAUAUAGUCUUUUUCGAUUGUGUCAUAUAAGAAAAAAAAUUAUGCAAAGACUCGAGAGGAGUCUGUUGGUGCUUCAAUAUGUGUUGAUUCUGAUGUAAACAUUGAUCCUGAUGGAAUUGUGCUUUCCAGCUUAAGGUAUUAAGUGCAUCUAGUCCCUCCCAAAAAUCUUGAUACAGAUAUGGAUGGUGUAUAGCAGAAUGUUGGAACUGUAUUUCCACCCAAAUAGUAGCAUAAGUUAAAUUGUUGUUGUCAUGACCUAUCGGUAAUGAAAUUAGACCAAGAAGUUAGUGAUGUGAAGUCACAAAUUUAGAAGUCAGAGUGAGGGUUAUUUUUUGUGUAAAUGAAUAUUUCAGUUGAAUAACCGAUAUUUGAGGAUGAUUUACCCCUUUAUAGUGAUAAACUACUGUGGUAGCUAGUAGCACAUGUGGAUGGUAUGGUACUCCAUGGGGGAAGUAUUUUACUCUGAUUUUUAUUUAUACAGAGUAAGAUAGGUAUUAUUAGACCAUUAAAUAUUAUGUGUCAAUUUCCUAUCUCUUGUACUAUGUAAUAUUGUUAUCAUGGUGUUUUUGAAAAAAAAAAAAAUUUAAGUCUAGUGAAGCCAUGUGGGGAUCUUUCGAUUCACUAGCAUAGCUGUCUCAUGUAAUAUGUAAUCUUGUUAUCACGAUGUUUUUGGAAAAAAAAAUGUAAAAACUUUUUAAAGUCUAGUGAAGCCGUGUGGGCUCUUUCGAUUCACUAACAUAGUUGCCUUGUUAUUCAUCUCAUUUUUUGGUUCAAAAAUAUAAAAUUAGAGUCUAGUGAAGCCGUGUGAGGCCUAUUUUGAUUCACUAGCAACUUGUUGUUCUUUUGUUGGUUUAAUAUACGUAUGGCUGAAUCUGUUUGCAUAAGAUGGAGUUGGUAAAGGGGUGAUUCGUCCUUGUGAGUUAUUUUAGUAUAAUUUGAGGAAUUUGAAGGCAGUCUAAAUGUAUGCUUGAGUAAGUAAGUAUGAGGUGAGAAAUCCGCAUAAGUAGAUAAGAUCGUAUAGGGUUAUAAUAUCAGAUUAAGGUUGAUCAUGUCUAUUAUGUGACCUUACCACUUGACUUUUUUCGUUGGUAUUUGUAAACUAGUACUACUUAUGAGAAGGUAUGUAGCAAAUUAUGAGGUAUUUGGAUAGUACUAAAUGACUGGCAGAGAUUUUUCAAAGUUUUACAGGAGUUCUUGAAACUAUUUUCUAAAAAAUUAAGAGUACUUUGAAAAAAAUCUAUAUAAAUCUUUUACUUACUGAUUUCCUAGACAUCAAUUAGGACGGGGAGUCAGGGGUGGAAGUCCCAACAUGAUGAAAUACCUAAAAGAUGGCGAGGGCAAAUCAAGGAUAGUAGGAGGUCAACACGGAGUAGUUUCUUUCAAACUAAUCAUUUUUUGUGGAUGCAGGGAUCGAUACACAAAAUGAGCGUUUCUUUCGAAAAAUCCCCAAGCAAGUCGGGAGCCAUGAUAGAGCAUAUAAUGCUUAAUAACGGUACUUUUGGUAGCCUAAAAAUCGGCUCAACACCCAUUUAUUGACGACCUUUUGAAUUGUCCAUCUCAUUUCUUGAGAUCAUGGAGGACAAACAAAAGUGUCUUGUCUUCUUUACAAAUAUUGUAUUUAGAAUUUUUCUAAAAAAAAUAAUCGCUAGCAAAAGCAACUUUGUGUCUACUAAUCUUCUACCUUGAGUAUAGGUACAUGCAGAAAGCAAGACCUUGACAAAUGAUUUCAGGAGAAACUAUUUUUAAUUUACCGAAAGAACCAUUGCAUGUUAUUGCCAAGAGGUCCAUUGCAUAUCAUCGUUAUUCAAUAUCUGUUCACGCGCUAGAUACAACGCUGGCAUCGAGGAUAUCAUUAGCAUUUAAUAUAUCCAUUGACACAAAAGACACAAUGCUGGCGUCAAGGAUAUCAUCAUCAUUCAAUAUCUAUUGACGCGCUAGACACAACACUGGCGUCGAGGAUAUCAUCAGCAUUCAAUAUAUCUGUUGACACGCAAGACACAACACUCGCGUUAAGGAUAUUAUCAUCUUUCAAUAUUUUUUGAUGCGCUAGACAAUGCUGGCAUCGAGGAUAUCAUCAGCAUUCAAUAUAUCUGUUAACACACAAGACACAACGCUGGCAUCGAGGAUAUCAUCAUCAUUCAAUAUUUGUUGACGCACUAGACACAACGCUGGCAUCGAAGAUAUCAUCAUUAUUAUAUAUCUGUUAACACACAAGACACAAUGCUGGCAUCGAGGAUAUCAUCAUUAUGCAAUAUCUGUUGACAUGGAAGACACAAUGCUGGCAUCGAGGAUAUCAUCAUCAUGCAAUAUCUGUUGACAUGCAAGACACAAUGCUCGCGUCGAGGAUAUCAUCAUCAUGUAAUAUCUGUUGAUGCGUAAGACAUAACACUGUCAUCAAGGAUAUCAUCAUCAUUUUAUAUUUGUUGACACGCAAGAUAUAAAUGCUGGCAUCGAGGACAUCUUAUCAUUUUAUAAAUCAGUAUAUGAAUGCAUCGAGAGCAUACGAUUUGAAGGGACACCUUUAAGUCGCUAUCUAAGGAUGAAUGUAUAUAAGAUUUCUUGGAAAUUAACAAUUUGAGGGUCAUAUAUAAGUCAUAUUAUUUGAAAUAGGAUAGUGUGCAAGAUCACCUAUAAUUUGAUAGCCGGUAGGUCAUCCGUAAGCCACAACAACCUCCUAAUCGGAUAGUGUGCAAGAUCACCCAAAAAUCGAUAGUUCAAAUCCAUAAGUCGAAACUAAAUCCUUACCGGAGAAUAUGGAAGAUUAUCAAAUUGAUACGUCCAAGGAUUCUCUAUAAGCCGUGUCAUAUCUAAGAUCGAUUAUGUGCAGGAUUACCCAAAGACUAAUAAUUUGAGGGAUUAUCUAUAAGUCAUAUUUUAUCCAAGGUCGGAUGAUGUGCAGGAACACCUGAAAGAUAGCGAUUGGAGGGAUAUCUGUAAGCCAUCUCUUAUUCAAAGUAUGAUAAUGUGCAGGAUUACCUAAAAGCUAGAAAUCAAAAGGAUAUCUGUAAUUCACCUCGUAUCCAACAUCAAAUAAUGCGUAAGAUUAUCCAAAGAUUGAUAAUUUAAAGGAAAUUUAUAAAUUGAUCAUCGGCUAUAAAUGGUGAGAUUAUCCAAAGGGUUGCCACACCAGCACAAGACUACACGGUUGUAGAGACUGUUCUGCAUAAAGUAUCACUGGUGUCCAAAAUGGGCACCCACUUUGAAGACAUAUUCAACCGACAAAUGUCAUAAUUAUACAACAACCAAGAGGGUUGUUGUGUUUGGUCUUGUGGUUUAUUUCAUUCCAAACAGGUACAUGAAGAGAUGACUCCGCUUUUCAAGCCACAACUCAUGUGCAGAUAUGGUAAAAGACUGCAUACCUCUUUAGUGAAUUAUGUUUAGCACUAACACUUUUUGCUUGAAGCAUUGUCAAGAGUAUCCGAGAGGAUGAAUAUCUCAAAUGAACACCACAGGUGCAUAUGACUUCAAAUAAGAUGCAACACCCGAAUCCAACCCGUUUUCUUUUUCCUCUUUAUGAUCACGCAUGUUCCAUGAGAAUCCAUACGAGAAGAUGUCGAGAAUCUUCUAGAAACACACUUAGGUGUCUCAUCCAACGUUCAAAUCCCAAAAUUCUCGGAUAGAGGUUUACGAAUUCGUACAUAGAUGGAGUAUUUUCAUUGGCUUGUGAAGAUUAUUCCCUUUCCACCAAUUUCUAUUGGCGACUUUUUGGAAUUUCGUUCAAGAAAAUCAAAAUAGAGGUACAGUUCGUUAGGGUCCGGAUCUUUUGAAUUUCAAAAAUGAACCCUCAAUUUCCUUCUAUAAGUAGCUCUCUUUAGAGAAAGAAAAAGGGAUUUUUUUGGGGAUUUUGGAAUUUUUUUCACUGGCCUCUCCUUUCCUUUAUGGGUUCUCCUCUUCUUUCUCUUUGGAGUUCAAAAUUUUAGAGGCAAAGAGUGUUCAAAAGUUUUGGGUUGAAAAUUUAGGGUUAGAGAAAAUCUUCAAAAAUUCAGAAAUACACAAAAAAAAAAAGGGUUAGAAAGGGGGCUCUCAGAGGGAAAAAAUAUUCUCUUUACGCCUAAGAAACAUACAUUCUUAGGAGGUGCAUCUGAACUGUCGAAGCAGUUGUGAGUUUUUCAGUGGUCGGAAUCCUAUAAUCAGCUUGUUAUCCCAUUUUGCUGCCCCAAAAGAGGUAAAUACACCUUUCUUUUUAAUUUUGUUGUGGUUAUCAUUUUCUUCUUCGUGGUUCCACUUCUGUUUGCUGGGAAUGACUGCUGUAGAGGCCUGGAAGGCAUAGGAUUUUCAUGUUUGAUAUAUUGUUCUACUAAAAAACUCAUUAUUGCCCGUGUUUGAUUGGUUGUCGUUCAUGCUUGAUCUCUCUUAUUUUAUUUUGUUUGAAUGUUACAGUUAGCUUUAAUGCUUCGACUUUAGAAACUAUUUUGCUGGUCUCAUAUUCGAUGUUUCUUUGUAGUUCAUAGAGUAGGAGAAUAAAAUCUUUACGUAUUUUCUAAAUUCAAAAAAAUGUUCAAAGAAUAGAUAUUAGGCAGCCUGUUCGCAUAUCUUUUUCACUCAAACGCAGGAAAUUGUUAUAAAUAAGAACUAGAAUGUUAUUUUCUUUCGACUUGCCACUUUAGAUGUACAAUAGUCUUAUUUUAUUCUAAAGUUUAUUUUAAAAUAUGAGAGUGGACCAUAGGGAUGAAUUAUGUUUUCUUCAUGGCUAAUUCAAUUUGCCGUAAUUGACUCAUGAGAACAAAUUAAAGUUUGACGGGNNNNNNNNNNNNNNNNNNNNNNNNNNNNNNNNNNNNNNNNNNNNNNNNNNNNNNNNNNNNNNNNNNNNNNNNNNNNNNNNNNNNNNNNNNNNNNNNNNNNNNNNNNNNNNNNNNNNNNNNNNNNNNNNNNNNNNNNNNNNNNNNNNNNNNNNNNNNNNNNNNNNNNNNNNNNNNNNNNNNNNNNNNNNNNNNNNNNNNNNNNNNNNNNNNNNNNNNNNNNNNNNNNNNNNNNNNNNNNNNNNNNNNNNNNNNNNNNNNNNNNNNNNNNNNNNNNNNNNNNNNNNNNNNNNNNNNNNNNNNNNNNNNNNNNNNNNNNNNNNNNNNNNNNNNNNNNNNNNNNNNNNNNNNNNNNNNNNNNNNNNNNNNNNNNNNNNNNNNNNNNNNNNNNNNNNNNNNNNNNNNNNNNNNNNNNNNNNNNNNNNNNNNNNNNNNNNNNNNNNNNNNNNNNNNNNNNNNNNNNNNNNNNNNAAUGCUAUGGCUUAUUAAUUGUUAAAAUCUUGGACGUAUGUUAAUUUCUUCAUUCCUUUCUUUUCAUUCACCCCCUUGAAGUUCAAAUGGGCCCCUUCUCUCUUGUCAUUUCAUAAAUGGGCCAAUGAGGCCUAUCCUUCCGAGUUAAUCCCAAAAGAAAAUCCAAGAAUCCAUCACAUGGUGUAUGAAUACGAGGAAUCGAAAGAAGAAUGGGUUAAAGUUCCAUCUUUGAAGCGGCAAAGGGGACUUGAAAAUCUCGUUAUUUCUUCUUUAUUAAUUUAUUUAUCCAUUGUUUCCAUUAUUUAUUUAUUUACUUAUUUAUAUUUUUGUUUAUUUAGUGAAUUAUUUAUUUAUUCAUUUGGGCCUCGAAGCCAAAGUUGUAAAUUUAAAAUAGGUGGAACGAGACUUGAGCUAUUUGCUUACUUGUUUUACGUGUGUUUUACGAACCUAGUAAAAUCCUUAGUCAAGUCGCUAAAAAACUGGUUUUGUAUAAACACCAAAAUAUUUCUAAAAUUGCUUUUCUUUUCAAAAAAUAAACUUUUUCAAAGUUAAUCAAAAGACGAUUUUCAAACAAUCCGGAUAACCAUAAGUUAGCGAACAUUUUAGAUGCCUAAUACCUUCCUAAAACGUUAAUAGGAACUGCUUAUCUAGAAUCUCUAACUUAAAACGAUUUUUCUAUUUUGAAUCGUUUGCAGUAACUCUCUAACGGUUUCUUAAUUCCUUUUCAAAAUUAAGUGGCGACUCUCAAAAAGUCAAAAAUUCCGCAAAACAAUAUCAACCACAAUCACAUCCCCACAUCUACUACCCCCACCCGAAAGUAGCAGAAGAAUAAAGGUUUGUAGUAAUUCAAUCCUCUUGACGCUUGCGCUCCUUCUCUUUUAGUUCAUUAACAAAUUUGUUAAAUAUUUCAAGCAGCAAGCCCUUAUCACCCAUUAUUCUGUAAAAUAAUAACAGCAAAGAAAUUCACAUUCAAUAGAUUACGACAUAAUGAGAAUCAUGAGAUUAUGAAUAAAAAAGUAAAAAUCCAGAGCAUUUCAUUUUAUAGCCAAAGAGGCUAGACAAAUUAAAACUAGAGAUUUAGCAGCAUACUUCAUCAGAACCGUGAAACAAUCACAAAUGCCAGAAAUUAAAAAACUAAAACAAUCACAAAUGUCAUAAAUUUAAAAACUAACUGCUAGACCUAUUAACUGCUAGAUAUCAAAACAAGAUAACCCUUGCAAUUCUCUCUUCCCACAUACAUAGAUUAUACGCCAUGACCAUAAAUAACCUCCAAAAUCCAAAUGAUAUAUGAAGAAUAUCCUCAUUACAAAAUAGAAAAUGAUCGUUGAUAUCAUCCAGUUAUGUUGUUUAACCAGUUUCGUAGAGUAAAACUCUUAUCCACUAACUGUAAAAACAGAAAACUACAAGGCAAAUUUCUUUGAAUUAAGCAACUUAAUAUAUGUACGGUAGGUGUAAUAUUAAACACCGCCGUCCAGGAAAUAAAAACUAAGGAAAAUGGUACCAAAACUGAAGAAUUGGAAGCAAAAGCUAACAUCAAAUAUUUGAUCAAUGUGGUCCUCGUCUUUAUUCUUGAAGGUUUCAGGCUUACUUGCUAACCGACACACUACUAUUCUAUUAACUCUAUUACAAGAAGAUCCAAAUUUAAUGUGGGAUAGGUUAUGGUUGAUACUAAAUAAAAAUGCCACUAACCACAGUUGACUACCUACGAGUUGCCAAUUUAGCAAUCACAAACUGACCGAAUUCCAGUGAAACAUAACAUGGAAGUACUACUAAUGCUUUUGCACUCAAUCCACUCAUCUUAUGCAGGACCUGUCCCAAAGACAAAAAGGGGACAAAUACAUAGAAAUCCAUUUAGUGACUGGGGUACUUCAAUUUUCACAACAUUUAAUUCAACAUGGGUCGAUGUGAAACAGUAUACAGUGCUUAGCCAUAAUUAGACCUUUAAGUUGGUAUCUGUCAUUAGUGGAGAGCUAAUAUACUUGUCGAUUGCAACCUUAAAAUCAUCAAGCGUCCAGGCUGAUGUCAAUCCAAUCUGAAAGUAGAGACGGCUCAGCCAAAAUAUUAGGUACUAACUGAAGCACAACAAAGGUUAAAAUGAAGAGUGGUGAUUACCUCGACCAUCCUAAUUGCAUCUUUAAUUUGUGACUUGUGAUCAAGAUACUGAAGCAACAUACAAGUAACACAAAUUCAGAAUGCUUAUAAGUAACAAAAAUAGGAUACCAAAUGGAGCUUUGUCCAUGCAUUUGAGUUACCAUAAAGUUUAUAAAUUACAAGCAGGGUGAUGGGGAUGAAAUUUCUUUCAUGAAUACCAACAUUUCUCCACUUGUUCAAAGUCAUCUACAAUAUCACAAGACACUUGACACAUAAACUUAAUUGCACUGAUCAGGUUAAAUUGAAGGAAAAAUCAAGCACCCCUGUUUGGAUAAUAGAAAAAAAGUGAAUAAAUAAAAAUGGAUAGCAUCUCUGUUAACAGCGCUUUCGUUAUAUUUACUUAAUAAGAAUCAUUUAUGCACACAAACAGUAAUACAAACUUUAAAGAUAGAAGUUGACAUCUUUAUCUUACAAGGGAAAAAGAAAAGAUUUUCCGCAUCUGAGUUUAUGUAUAACUCUCACCAUCCCAUAGCAAGAGCCUAACUCAAGAAAACAUUACCAAAUUCAAUCACUGAAUAAGAGUACGAACAAGAUCAUUACCAUGCUAGGAUACCAGGUAAACUCCCUCUUUCAUCAAGCAAGGAGAUAAAUGCUAAUAACAUUUGAUCAUUCAACUUCAAUUCUUUUCGGAAAGGGCAGAGGAUGAAACAAUAUAUCGUUUAGUUAGGCGCAAGUGUGUAUUACGGCAAAAAAAAAUCAUAGUGAGGGAGAUGCAACUUUAUUUAGAGAAACAGAGAUGCUCUCAGGUUCUUUUUCCGAGGCUAAUCUUUUCUAAGCCUUUACUUUCAUUACAUCUCAACUACCUCUUCAGAGGCGAAUUCUGGCACUAAGUUUAUUUAGUCCAAUUUAUAUGGUUGAUAACACAAUAUUUUGAAUUAGGUUUUAAGUUGCACGAUAUCAUCCGAAGUUAAAUCAAAACUGGGGUGUGGUACAAAUGGACAAAACAUGGUCGAAACUUGACCAGACAAACUACUUUCAGGUCUCAUUUGUUUGCACUUAUUGGAUUUAUGAACCUGUUCAGACCUCAAACCAUUAAGUGCAUUUAUUUUUUUAGGAUUUUAGCUCUUAAUAGGUCUGAGUAGGUCUUAAUCAUUCAGAUGUGGAACCAAGUCUAAAUAUCAUUUACAGAUAUUCUUGUGUAGGAUAAAAUUCACCACUACUCUAUCCACAAUCACUUGCCACCACCACCAACCACUUUCACCAUCAAAACCAACAUCACUACCACCUACACUGCCAGCCGCUACCACACCUACAACUUCCAUUAUUCUAAUUAUAUCCACCGCCAACUAGGGGUGUUCACGGUUUAGUUUUUAACCAAACUGAACCGCGAUCCAAACCACACCGAUUAAAAAAACCUAUAUUUGGUUAGGUUUGGUUUGGAUUUGAAUUUUAAAAAACCGAUACUAAUUUUGUUUGGUUUGGUUUUCCUCUAAAAUAACCGACAAAAUAACCAAACCGAACCAAUAUACAUAUAUAUAUUAUAAUUAUUUAUAUGUUUUUCAUAAAUAUAAUCUAAAUAUUUGUUACAUUUUCUAUUUUAAUCAUGAUUUAACUUUAGUCGUAACACAUUCAGUCAUAUGUCUUCAUCUAGUUGACAAUACAUUAUGAGAUUUUAAAUGAAUUUCAUAUUUUGAAUGACAAAUGAUACUAAUUGUGAAAAUAAUAUCUUGUUAUAUAUUGAAAUUUACAGCUGAAAUUCUUUAGACUAUACACAAUCACUAAUUUUAACUUUCUUUUGAACCUUGUUGGGCAAGAAGUUUAUGUGUUUACCUUUUGGGGUUUAUCAUAUCAUUCUAUUAAAUAUAGUUUUUAAAAUUUUUUUUAAAAGCGUUCAUAUGGUGUUAUCAUGGGUUUGCCGAAGUAUAACACUCAGUUGAGAUCAUAUUUUCAAGAUUGAGAUACAACACUCAGUUGACAUCUCAUAUGUUAGAUUGGAUUUGUUUUUUAAAAUUCUCAAAUUUUAUCAUUAACUAAAGUUAUAAACCAAAAAACCCGAAUCAAACCGAACUAAACCGAUAAGAACCAAACAGAUGGUUAUUGUUUUUUUUGGUUAGGUUUGGUUUUAGAAAUUUAAAAACCGAUUAAGUUGGUUUGGUUAUGGUUUUGACCAAUAACCAAUCCAUAUCGACCCAUGAACACCCCUACUGCCAACGCCGCCACCAUCAACUGCUACCGGUCGAUCCCUACUACAAACCAACUCAUCUAUCAGAACUAGCAUUACCACUAAUAACCACCAACACAUCAUCAACUUCCACACAUCGCUAACAACCACUAACAGAUCAUCAACUUCCACACAUUCUUCGGACACCAUCACCACCACUGUCACCGGCGUCACCACCUCUACCACUACCAUCACAGCUAACAGCGUCUCCAAUGACCACUAACACAUCGUUAACCAUCAUGCAUAUAGUUUUCCUUCACCACAAUCAACACCUCCAACUACUAACAUUAACCAACUUCACAUCACAACCACCACUACCACUACUAAUCGCCAAUAUCAUGACAGUUACUACAAUGCCAUCUAUCUCUACUAUCACAACUAUCAUCACCAACAUUGCUAAUCACUAACAUCAAUUAAUUUAUUACAACCACCACCACCAUUACAAACCAUCUCCACUAUCACUAACAAACAUAAAUGUUUCUUUUUUUAAUCAAAUAAUAAUUUAAUUGCAUUAAAUUAAAAAACUUUCUAAUAUAUAAUUAUAUUAUAUUUAGAAAUAAAUAAAUUUUACACAUUCAGAUAUUGAGAAACACCCAACCUUAAUCAUUUAGUUUUCAGAUCUAGAGAUAAUAUCUUAACCGUUCAGAUGUGCAUUCAAAAUGAUUCAAAUAUAUGAAUAUUAAUAAAAACAAAUGCAGUCUUAGCUGAAACACAAUGGUAUGGUUGUGUGAUACUUUAAAGGAGUCCUCGAAAGCCAAAGAAACUACGUGAAAACAUGGAAGUUUGAUCAUCACUUCUCAGAGUUGUUCUACUCGAGAAACUAUAACAAUUAAGGUAAUAUAACCAUUAACAGCAUUCAACGGAGGAGAAGUCAAUUACAAUUGUCCGUGAAGUAGCAUUUAAUACAGCUUUGCUAGAUUGAAAGAAUCAUCUAUAUCUAUACUAAAUUAAAAGCAUGGAACCCCUAACUUAAAAGUUUGCGACAAUACCAUUCCUAUCAGCCUAAAUACCUACUAUCUAGUAAAAAAAGAGGAAACUAAUUGGCAUAAAGAGAAACAAUACAGAUGUUAAUAGGAACAACCAGUCAUUGUUCUUAUCUCAACAAAAUAUAUGUUAUUUAAAAAAAGCAAGCAGAGGGGUAACUCUCAAAUGUCAAUCUCAUGCUUUUAUCCUACCAAGUAUGUUCUAUUCUUUAAUGCACAACAACAAUAACAACAACAAAUCCAGUAUAUUUCCACAUACUAAUGCACUAACUUUCUUUUUUACCUAAUUAAUUGAACUUUUUAGUGAGGAUCUAAAUGAUUUUCAGACUUUGUUUAACAUCUGAUUCAUUAAGAUGUAUUAGUAAUAGGUUGAAUCUUUUGAAAAAAAACACUUAAUGGGCUGAUAUCUUAACCAUUAAGAUUCAGACCUUCAUUAAGUGAAAGCAAAUGAAAAGGGAUUGUAGUGUAAAGUCUAUAAAUAUGGCUUAGAAUAACAAAUGUAGUUGACACAAUUCAAUACUCCUAUUAUCAACCUAUUUCACCUGUUUCUCCAGCUCAUCCAUAACAUCUGUAAAUAAGUCUUUUGCUAUUGAUUCUAAAGUAUUUGAUGAGACAGCUACAUAUGCAGCAAAAUCUUUAAUCUGCAAGAACAAAAUAAAGAAGGAAAUUAUUGGAUGAAAAAAUCAAAAAGACAAAAAGGGAACUCAUGAAGGUAAUCACUCACUGAACACAAGAAAGAAAAACUAACUUUGAUGCAAUAAUCACGCCAGUUAGUUUUUGCAUUAAGUAUUCCCGCAGGAACAUGCUCUUCCAUCAGUUUUCGAAACUCAUCAAAAUUUUUACGUUCAGCUUUCCUCAAUUCUUCCUAUUUGAAUCAAUGGUGUAUGCCCAGUGAGAAAGAGAUAAAUCAAAGUCUCCAAACAUAAAUUUAAUUUUAACCCCCGAGUCUAAUAAGCAAUAUACCAUCCGUAGUUUCCUUUGCUCCUCCUCUUUGCUCUCUAAAUCACAUAUAUAUUCCUAAAACAGAAAAGGUUGCAACAUAACUUUAAAACAGAGGUGUACAAAUGAGAUGUUUGGAAAAAGUUAUUUAUGAUGUAUUAGAAAAAUGAGUUGUACCUGGAAAAUCUCCAAACGAUCAAUUUUGUCAAGGCGGGAGCAUCUUUCAUCAUUUUCCAAGCGGUCCUGAACUUUCCGCCACUGGCUACUGGCCUGAACAAAAGAACUCAGCAACAGUGGAACUAUAGAAGUUCUAUCUCCUGGAAAUAGAAAAACAUAAUCUAGGAACUGAUGCUAAUUCCACUAGAACAAAUACCUUAAUAAAGUCACAGGAUUUUAAAAAUUCUAAGUACUCCACUCUAUUGCGCUUCUGCUCCUCCAAUGCCUUCUCAUGCUCCUAAUAAAAUCCAGUACAAAGUAAAAAAAAUAAAAUUUCUCUAUAAAGAAGACAAUAUUUACAAAGAGACUUUAACUACACUUGCAUGAAAGUAUUGAAAAACUUUUUCUAUUUUACGACGGAGGGGGAGAGGAAGAAGCAUAUCAUAGUUUCAAGUUUCAAGAAAAAUUACAUACAAUACAUGGAAGUCUAUUUAUAUUAGAAUUCAAUGGUGAACAAAUUUAAAUCUUGUACCCUUGAGAAGCCAUUAAAAAUGUAUUCAAAGAACACAAGAUUUUAAGUUGAAUAUCUACAACAUUCCUUCUUUCUACUCUUUAAGCAAAAUAAAAAAAGGGAACAAACUAAAAGACAUCCUGCAAAGGAAAGGAAUGGAAUGACUGUUGUUAAUCAAGUGGACCAGUGCCUAACUCAACUUCGAAAACUAGGUCAGGUGGUGAAGAUUGUCCUUGAUCAUAUAAGGAAACUACAGCACAUACACCUUACUAGUGUGGGAUUCUCAUACACUAAUCGCACACCAAGACUAGACAUUUGUAGCAUCAGUUAACCUUGGUUGGCCAACAUCUAAUAGUCUAACAUCAAGAUAGAUCUGCCUCUAAUACCAUGUUUAAGAAAUUGGACCUUGUUUCUAGCUCAAAUGAAAGUCUAACUCAAUUUGUGAGGAGCCAAAGACCAUAUAAGGAAACUACAGUCCGAACACUUAGUUUUUAACAUAUAGAAACUUACAAGAAGGUUCUGCAAAAGGAGCUUCACCUUUUUCUCAAGUUCCUCCACAUAAUCUUCAAAAAGGUCCUCACAGUCUUUAGCUCGCUCAACAGCUUUAAAACGCUCAUCAUGUUCGAAUAUGUUCGAAUAUGGAGAUUUCCUUACUGAAUAAUCAAUAGCAAAUAGUCAGUGGAUCAAAUGGAACUUACACAAGUAAUGGAUCAACUUCAAGGUACCAAAACACAUACAAACAAUGACCAAGAUUAGAAAACAAGCAGCAGACAACUUAACAUUACAAGUGAAAGACAAACCUCCAUCUUGACGAUGGUGACAGCUCCUUGCAAUCCUGUAAGAUUGAGAACAACGGACAUUGUUGUGAAAAAUACCACUUAUUCUUUUGAACAAGUCAAAUACCAGUCUCUAACACAUCAUGAAUAUUAUGAUAAUAUCUUUUUAUUUUUGAAACUGGUAAUGUGAAUAUCAUGAUUUAUCAAAUGGAAGACAACCACAAAAGAAAAUUUCACUUACUUCUAACAUUAUCCUGAAAUCUUCCCGAGCUUUUUUCUGUUUAACACACCUCUCUUCAGCUUCCAGUUUUUUCUUUUGGCUCAGAUACUAGAACAGACACACAACUUCAAAAUGAUCAUUAUAGACCUUGGGUGUGUUUGGUAUGAAGGAAAAUGUUUUCCUAGAAAACAAGUUGGUUUCUUACUUGUUUUCUUAUGUUUGGUUGAUGAAAGGAAAACAUUUUUCAAAAAAUGUUUUCUAGUGUUUGGUUGGUGAAUAAAAAAAUAUUUUUCAGAAAAUACAUUUGAGAGUUGUACAAACAUUUCAACUUAAGAGUGAGAUUGAAAGAGAGUUUUGGAAAAUGUUUUUCCUACAUUUUGAAGGGAAUUCAUUUUCCUUAAAUUUAAGGAGAAUAAGUUGAUUUGGAAAAUAUUUUCCAAAAUUUUUAAGUCAACCAAACAUGGAACAAUUGGAUAUCAAACACAAUCUAUCUUUUUGCAAUACAGUAUGCUGAAAUAUUGAAGCAGCAAUUAACCCAUUCCAAUGCCGACUUGGAGAGAUACCUCAUUAAAAGCUUGCUUCCACUCACAAAGGGAUUUUAGAGCUCCAUAUCUCCGGUCAUUAAUUACUGCUCUCAUGGCCUGACAAAUACAAUUCAUGUCAAAUGAUCUCCCUCAAUUGUUUGGUACGCACAAAAUAGUCAAGUAAUAAACCUGAUCCUACGUGCAAUCAGACCCAAUAUUUGCAGAUUCCAAAAGAGUUUUGAAUGCAUUCUUUGCCUCCUAAAUAAAAUCAGAUACUUAAAAUAGAAAUAAGAGAAAUUUCGAGAACAUACAUUAAACAAGGGAAAAAGCAAUAAUCAACUAUACCGCUUUGCUCUCAUAAACUAAUGGUCCCAGCUCGACUGUUUUCUCAUCUGAUGGAGUAGCACCUCUGAUUUCAGUUAUUGCAGCAUCUUACUUGACAUUCUACAUUUUAGGCACAACAUCAAGCACAAAGGGAAAAAUCAAACCUCAUUGGAAUUUGUAGCAUAUUCUUUACCUGUUAGCAGUUGACUAACAACUGCACUACAAAAUUGUUGGAUCAACAUCUAGCAUAACAGCUACGAAAAGCUUUCUUGGUGUUUUAACCAGUAACCAGUAGUAAUUAACUAAUCUCAUAAGUAUUUGAGAAGGACAAAGUACCUUUCUAUUCUCCGAAGAAAAUCCAUCACCAUACACUACUGCAUCUUAAGUUGUAGUAGUCUCAGAACUACAGAAAAAUUGAAUUCCAAAUAAGAAGCAACACAAACCAGAGGCAAAUUUAUAACAUAUAAAUUUGAAAACAUACACCGGUGGCGCGACAAAAUUUCCCAAGGUUACUGCAAUUCCAAUUUUCUCCGAAUUAGCAACAGCUGGCGAAGUAAGUUCUGAAGAAUUCUUCAUUUUGACUGUUUCAAUCAUCGGAAUAGAAACCUUACCAGAUAAACUUGAUGAUUCUGAAGCCACAAUAGUUGGUAAGUUAGCAGCUGGUGACAUAGCAAUUGGGCUUGAUUUAGUACCGUGUGCCAAGACUAAUAAACCAUCUGCACCCGGGAUGAUGUUUUAACAACAGAAAUGGAUCCAAAAUCAGAAGCGUGCGAAAUGGUGUCCUUUUUACGUGCCAACUGUGAAUUUAUAAAUAAUUGAACUUUAUAAGAAUAGAGUUUCCAAGAAAACAGAAUAUUGCCCCUUCUUAUCAUGCUAGCAACUGUGAAUGCAUAAAGAUUUUAUGAGAACUAGAGCAUCCGAGAAAACAGAAUAUUAUCCCUUCUUAUCAUGCUAUUUAAAGCAUAUAACAAUCCCUUCUUAUCAUGCUAUUUAAAGCACGAAAUAAACCCAUAUUGGAUUUAAAUAUAACAUCACCUUGACUUCAUCAGGCAUUCUCCAUUUGGACGUUCUAGUAACCUUCUUGUAGUAAUACCUACAGAAAACAAACAAAGAAAUCAGCAUUAUGCACAAGUAACACACAAAAGUACCCACUGUAGAAGAACAAUUGGAAAGAGGCCAAAAAAAUAUAUAAGUUACACAUUUUCUUCCCUCAGGACUUGUAAAUUUUCUCCGGUCAGUUAAUGUGUCUGCCCUCUGUCCCAAUGAAAACAACAUAAAAGCAGGUCAAGUCAAAAAAUAGAACAUAAACAGUACCCUGAGAGUAGAAUUCAGUAACUUCCAGCAGUACAAUACUGGAUGGAAGUGUUAGAAUAUGAAUGAUAUAAUGUCCCACAUGGAAAAGGACUAGAAUUUACUGUGUAGAAUAUAACUACAAGCAAGGUGGAAACAUUGCCAAGCUGCGUUCGAGCUACAGCUAUCCAAGGGUGAUCAACUGAAUAACAUUCGCCUGAUAAUCACAUUUUGUAUAUAUAUAUAUAGGUUAAAUUCUGUCAUUUCUAAGUAUUUUUUUAUAAACAACCUUGCCACAAAAAAUAAGACUGAGUAUGAUAGUAAGGGUGUUCAAAUCCUACACUGAGGUUCUAUGUUCCAUACCCAACACAGCCCUUCCAUAAUUGUUUCUCCAUUUGGACACGUUUGAAAAUCAUAAACUACAGUUAUGCUUUUUUUCGAUGAAUAAAUUUCUGAACAUGCGUUUUUUGUCCCAAUUAGCUCUUGCAAAAGAGCUAGCAACUAGCAUGCCAUGUAUAAGAAUUUUGUUAAAAUAAACAUAAAGGUAAAUUUAUAAAAUGGUUGUUAUACUAGCUAUCUUGCAUGGGGCAGAGUGUUUAGCUGGUCAAGAGCUCGCAUGUUCGAAAGAUAAACGUAGCAGAAAUGAGGAUGUUGAGAUUGGUGUGUGAGCAUAGGAGAGAUAGAAUAAGGAACAAAGAUAUGCGAGAAAAAGUGGUAGUGCUCUCUAUGGUGGACAAUUUACAAGAAGAAUAGAGGGUUGGGGAUAAAGAACCUAAAAAUUCAAAGUAAGGCUCUCAUGUUGAAAUGGUUGUGGAAAUAUGAAAACAAUAACCAGCUGCUAUGGAGGAAAGUGAUUAGGGCUAAAUAUCCUGAAGAAGAUAGAUGGAUAACUAAAGAAGUGACCACACCAUACGGAGUUAGCCUCUAGAGAUCUAUUAGAUCUAUUAGACACUAGUGGAAUGAAGUUAAAAGCAACUCAAAGGUUAAAGUGAUGGAUGGAAACAAGACUAGGUUCUGGAAGGAUAAUUGACAUGAGGAUGGGAAUAUGGAAGUGACUUUUCCAGAUAUCUACAACUUGGUAUUGUUUCAAUAGAGGACUAUAGCAGAAUUAUGGACACCACAUAGGUGGAACUUCAAUUUCAGAAGGCAACUUAAUGACCGGGAGGUAAUGAGAGUAGUUGAAUUUUUUAAUACCGUAGGCUUAUUCAAUGGACUGCAGACUGUGAAGGACAUACUAUGGUGGAUGGGAAAUGAAAAAGGAAUGUCCAGUGUCAACAAAGCCUACAAGAUGAUGAACCAAAUAAAUCACCCGAAUCCAAGAUGGACAUGGAAGAAAAUAUAGAAAAGUAGGUUACCUCACACAGUGUCGUGCUUUGUCUUUGUGUGGUUACUAACCAAGGAAGUAGUUCUUACACAAGAUAAUGUCAUGAAGAAAGGGAAAACCUUGUGCUCCAGAUGUUUCCUCUGUGGAUAAACUUUAGAGACGUUUAACCAUGUAUGUCUACAUUGUAAGUACACCCAACAACUUUGGAGAAUAGUCUUAAGACUAAAAGUCAUUUCCAGGACAAUGCCUAGGAAAGUAUCUGAGACUUUAAUGUGCUGGGAGAAGUAGGUGUACAUGCGAAGGACAGAGGUAGAUGGAGACUUAUCCCUGGUGCUAUAUGGUGGGCUAUUUGGAAAGAAAGGAAUUCUAGAUAUUUUGAGAGCAUAGAGAAUAGUGUGCAGAAGGUUAAACUCAACUGUAUUUUGCUUUUAUGUUUUUGGUGUAAUCAACUAUACUCUAAUGAUACUGCCUCGAUAAUUGAUGUUCUAGACUAAAUUUAGAUAUAGAACAGUCGAUUUAGGAGUACUCUUGUAUAUAAAGGUUUCAGUACAACCCAUGUGCUGUUUGAUAUAAUACAAAGUUACAAAGUUAAAAAAAAAGAUAAUAAUUUUUCAAGAACUAAAAGUUUAUAAAAUAACAAAUAAAGCAAUUAAAUCUGAGUUCAAAUUGGGUGGGUUGGGCUAUGACCCGCAUUUUAGAGCAUUUCAACCCAACCCAUUUCAGCCCAAGUAGCUUUAGGGCGGGUGGAUAACCCGCCCAUUUAUUAACUCAGACCUCUUUGAUCAGCCCAAAUCUAGCCAGCCCCGCCCAUGUGACACCUUUAGUUUAAUAGAAGUAAAGUGGACCAUGCCAAAACAGAUCUAUUGAGUUGAAGUAAAGUGGACUAUCAAAGGACACACAACAAUCUGUUGAGCUGUUGGAUUAAAGGGGAUUAGCAAAAGUUAGAAGAAAUGGGGGAGAACAAUCCUUCCUUGUAUUUGGUGGACUGUAUGGAGCGAGAAAAGUUGAAGGAAUUUUGAAGAUAAAUAUAAUUCCAUUCAGAAAGUUAAAUGGAAUAGCAUUGUAGAUUUUUGUUUAUUGUUUAAGGGCCAAUGUGUACAGAAUGCAUAACAGGUAGUAGAUCUCUUCAAAUCCUCGUAUUAUUUUCAUUAUUUUUCAUUUUUUUUUUUGGACUGCUAGCAUAACCUUAACUCUGACGAAUGCAAAGUAAUAUCUCCAAAAAAAAAAUUGUUUAUCUCGAAAAGAAAAGAAUAAAAAUGUUCAAACUUCCUUACAGCUCUAGUUGUUGGUCCCUUAAUACUUGUCCCUCACAACCAGCCAAACUUUCUUUGAUAACCGUCGUGUUUGGGCCAGCUUGCACCUUGACUAGUUACACCAGGUACUGCUACCUCCCACCAGCAUAGAUACUGGGUAACUCUAUCCAUCAAGGCUUGGACAGACGGUAAGAAAUCACCUAGUGCUUUUAUCUCUGUUGGAAAUUAAACCUGAGACCUCAUGGUUCUCAAUCUACUUCAUUGACAACUAGGUCACACUCUUGGGUGCAAGUAUGCAACCAGCCAAACUAUUAUUCUGUAAACCAGAAUGAGAAGUGUGAACCGCAAUAUUAUAUCAAGUUUACUCUCUCCAUAUCGCCAUAGAGUUACAAUAACAUUACAUUAAUCAGAAAGUAAAUAAAAUUGUUUAAAAUAGACCAAAUAUAAUCCUGCCGUGUAUACUUAAACACAUUUUUUAGAACAAUAGUGUUAAAUAUAAAAUCUUUUAGAACUAUAUUGGAAAUAAAAAGCCAAUACAAAUCCUAAAUGAAGCCUACAUAGUAUAGUAAGAUCGAGGAAAUCUGCUCGCUAAACAAACUUUCAACAGAAAUCACAUAUACUUAGGAAAGAAAAAGUGGUUCUACGAAGCUUCAUAGAAAAAGAAUUGUGUACUUCUUUUUUCAUUGAUACGCACAGGAAACUGGAUAAAACUACCCAUGAAAAUCUCGAUGACACGAGACCUCACCUCCAUUUCUGUCAUCAGCUCUCGAGGUUUCUCCCAGGUAGAGAUUCUUGUCCUUCUAUUAUAAUAGUAUCUAAAAAUCAAUUCAAGAAUUGUGAAUGUUAUUUUAAUUGGUUGGAGUAAUAAAGCAAUAGGAGUCAGGUAGAAUUUGGUAGCGGUGAACGGCAGCCCAUAUGAUAACUUUGACAAAGAGGACUGAAACAAAGGGGCCUAUUAUCUCCAGUGCUAAUGGAAGCAAAAUGAUGUACAAAGCACUAGAUGUGGAUACUUGAGGGAUUUAUUGGCAGUGAUGGGGGCCAACAUAUCCACCACUUGUUCAUAGACAUGACAUUAAGUGUUUGUGAUGUAGACAUUAACCUAUUCAUACGAGUAACCUAUGUGAAUAUAAUCCAAAAGCAAGAAUUCUGGAAAGCCAAAUCGGCAUGCUCUUUCUUCUGUCUGGAGAACACAAAGUGGUAAAAAGAUUGGAUCUGAAUGAAGAUGAUAUUUUUGCAGAGCUCCUUUUCUUGUAUACCGUGGUUUUACACCUUUUUUGUUCACUGGAAUCUUAAUUUUCUUACAAAAAACUAUCAUAGAAUUCAAAUGUUGACUCUCUCAGUCAACACAGACCCAUUAACCCAUUAACUUAAGCAUACUUGUUGACAAUAUUUAUGCAAAAUGGGUACAAUAAAACACAUUGAAUUCUCACCAGAACAACCAAGGGAGCUGCUAAUUCUCCAGUCUUCUGCAUAGUUGUCGCAAAAUUCACAUUAUGAUUACUUAUUGGCAUCCAGGGUUGUACCCCUGAUGGAAACCUAUGAUUAUUUAUCUGUGUCUGAUACUGGGAGCCAGAAGAAUCUGCAUUUACCUGCUGUUAAAGACGAUAACAAAAUGUAUUUCAUCAAUAUAUGAAUGAAACAUCGAAAACUGAUUGACUAUAACCACAAAAGAUCUUCCCAAGGUCUUACAUUAUAUGAUGAAGAAAGAGGUAAAUUUGGCCCACCAGAACCAAGCAUGUGGUUAUUUGACAUCGGAAGAUUUUGCUGAAAAUCAUGGGGAAUAGGUGGUCCCUGAGGCAUACUAUACAUUCCUACUACAGGGAUACCAGUAACCUGUUGCAUAGGUUGAGGAAAUUGGAUUUGAGAAGGUUGAGACAUCGCAACAUUUGCAUGUCCAAGUGGCAGAAAUUGUUGAGAUGGCCCGGAACCAUAAGGUUGUGCCUGCUGGACUGGAAGCAUAGGCUGGAACUGCUAAAGAUGUGGGGAAAAUAGUUAUCAUAAUGUCUCUACAUUCAAAAGUCAUUUAUCCCUCCCCCAAGCCUCCACAACUUUACCUGCAGUGACAUGGAUGG
rnacentral:lncRNA from 1 species